rnacentral:lncRNA from 1 species
UCGGUUCCGCUCUAGUCCGUUGCACAUCAGGUUGAGGUUGCACAGGGCUGUGAACAUCUUUGCAUGUAUGUCCUCCGACCUGGGUGGGGUUGUCCUCACAGAUUGUCACGUGACUUCCGACCUGGACCGAGGUCGGUUGUCUCUCGUCAGUUGUCAUGUCUUCGAGGUCGAUUACCGAAUCGGCCCCACGGUGGGCGCCAAUUGUUGAUUGUGUUUCUCAACUAUUUAGGGUUGGUUCGGUAAUUCUAGUUCAGAAGAUUGAUUUUAUUUAAUUAAGUUUCAAUUUAUAGUUCGUUCAGUUCGGAGGUCUCUCGACGAACUGGAUACAAUAAUACUGAGGUCUCUAUGUCUCCGGGUCCAAAAAGGGAUCCCUUCUACAGUAACGAGCCCUCUAUUUAUAGUACAUUAACAAGGAGAAGAUUUAAGGCUUUCCCGUCGACUUUCACUGCUUCUUGUCGCUGGGCCUGUCUCUCUGUGGGCUGUGCUGUCAGGCCAGGCCCAUUUCGGCUAAAACUGUUGUAAAACGGGAUCAAUUGGGCCAGUCUCGGUCUUUAACCGGUCCAAACCGGAUAGCGGAGCGUACCACCAACAAUGAGCAUCAUAGUGAUCAAGAAGAAGAUGAUGGUGAUAUCAAAUAUGUUCCAUACGUGCCGACUGGUGAUACAGUGAUGGAAGCUCUACGUGAUUCUAUUACGAAGGAGAUAGCAAGAGGAAGUCCACUCCCAUAUUAGUAUUUGUAUUAUUCUAUGUUAUUUGCUUUUAUUGGAUUUUAUAUGUUAUUAAAUGUCUUUAUAUCUAGUUAACUACUUUAUUAUAUAUUAUGAAUGAAAUGAGUAUUGUUUACGUUUAUGACUUGCACUGCACGUGAUUUCAAUUGUAUUUGCUUACAUGGUAUAAUUAAGAUUAGCUUAUAAUUUUUCUGUUUUUUCCAUGUAUAUAAAAGUUAUUAGUGUAUUUUAAGAUUUAUUAAAAACUAUUUAUCAAAACAAAAAAGUUCAUUAAAAUAGAAUUUCAUUUAAAUUGUUUUCUAAAUUUCUAAAAUUGAAAUUUUAAAAUUGAUUUGAAUGUGAGAAUUGUUUAAUCGUAAAUAUAAUUGUUUUCAUUUAAAAAGUUUACUAACCUAAAAAUAUUGUCUUUUUAAAUUAAUUGCAUCUGAAUGCUAUUCCAAAAUCAAAAACAUACAAACCAGCAUCUAGAUGCUGCAUUUAGAUGUAAAUGCCAAAUUUAAAAUCAAAAUCUGGAUGUAGCAUCUAAAUGCAACAUUUGGAUACAUCCAGAUGCAGCAUCCAGAACAGGGCCUAAUAGUUUUUAUGAAUCUAGGUCCAUUGUUUGGGAGUAAUCUUGAAUAUUUGGAUGUGACAUAUGUACCUUUGUCGCUUUCGUAAUUGAGUAGCGUUUUCAUCUUUCUUGCCGUUUCACCUUCUAAAGCGAUUUAUCAUUUUGCUAGGUUCUUUAAAACUUCUAUUGCGAUUUAUUAUUUUUUACUGAUGGACUUAGUUUUGUAGGCUUACUUGGCUAUAUGGUUUUGUUUUCAUAUGUCUCUCUAUUAUAUGGUUUUUGUUUCCGAAAUUUUUUUGUUUUCUGCCGGCUUAUGACUCAGGAUGCCAAUUUUGUCUCAGAAGAACUUAUGUUCUGCUGACUUUGUAGUUUCAACAUUCUAAUUAUAAAAUAAAGAUGCCAGCCUUAUUUUGAAUCUUACUAACAUGAAUUAUGGAUACAUCAAUAUAAGGUGGAUUACUCAAGUAUCUUGCAAACCAAUGUUUAUUAAUAGUUUGACACAUUUUUAUUGUUUAUGCUAAAUUAACCUCGUAUACCGAUCUUACCCUUUUGGGCUUUGUUGAAAAAAAUAUUAUUACGAAAAUACCAUUAUUUUUUAUAUGCCACGUAAGCAAAAAGUAUCGCGACAUUAUGCAUAAGUCUACCACUAUUUAUAGUAGACUUGUUUGAAUUUAGUCAACGCAAUUUUUUAAUGGUAGAUUUAUUUGAGAGUUGAUAGAUUUGUUGAACCUUAGUAGACUUGUUUUGGUAGACAUAUUUUUAUAGCAUAGUAGACUUAUUUUGUGUUGGUAGACAUAUUUAUUGUUGGUAGAUUUAUUAUCUUUAAUAAUAGACUUAUGAAAAUAUCGUUGACUUAUCGUAAGUGUUUGACUUUUUGGUAGAUUUAAAUAAUAAUGGCGACAGAUUUAUUUGUAAUGGUGACAGAUUUAUUUAGUUUGAUGUACAGUAGACUUAUUUUGCUUGGUAGACUUAUUGCUAUUAAUAGUAGCUUUAUCAGGAGUUAGUAGACUUAUUCGUAUAUAUGGUAGACUUAAAACAGUCGUAUUUUAGAAAAUAAUGUAGUAGAUUUAAUUAUAAGUAUGGUAGGUUUAUUAAAUUUUGGUAGAUUUAAUAUUUGUAAUUUACAAUACUGGUAGACUUAUGUUUGUAUUUUGUUCUUACUCAAUUAACCUGCACUUUAAAAAAUAAUCUUCAGUUUAGUAGACUUAUAAUUAUUUGGGUGAUGGUAGACUUAUGAAGCUGGUUUAUAGUAGACAUUUGACUUUUUAAAAUUUGAAAAGAAUUUUUGCCCAAAUUUGUUCGUAAAUAUUACAAAAAAACUGAUUGUGUCAUCUUCUUCGAUUAGGGUUGCAGCCGUCGAAGUGUGAUACUUGAAAAUAUAUAUUUUAUGGUAGACAUGUUAUUUGAAUAACCACUUGUAGUAUACUUAUUUAUAUUUUAUAGUGAACAUAUUAUUUGAAGUAGCAUUUGUAGUAGACUUAUUCACAUGUUUUAUAAGCAGAUCAGGGUUGAAGAUGCCAAAUUUUUGGCUGUGCAAGUUAUUGAUGCAGAUCAGUCAGAGGUUAUUGGCACAACUUCUGCCCAUGUUGUCAAUUUGAAAGAAAAAACAUGUACCUGCCGUCGGUUUGAUAUUGAUAAAAUCCCUUGUGUACAUGCCAUAGCCGCUGAGGAAGCAAGAAAAACUUCACGAAUCUCCCUAUACCAUCCCUACUAUCAAACAAAUUACUUGCAACAUGCUUACGUAGGAAGUGUAAUGCCAAGAGAUAUAGCACUACCAGUGCCAGAAGAAAUGGCUAACAAAAUUUUUCAUACUGUUUUCGUUCGCAAUCCUCCAGGCAGACCAAAGAAGACACGCAUUAAGAGUGCAUUCGAGAUCGCGACAGCGAACAAACGUCCAAGACAGAUGCCUAAAUGCUCUACUUGUGGUAAAAGUGGACAUAAUCGCAUCACAUGUAAAGCCUAAAUUUUCUACUUUCUUGUAAUAAUCGGUUUGUUAGACUUGUAACACUUGCUUCAUUUUUGUACUCUCUUCUAGUACUUGUAUUGUCGUACUUUUUUAAAAAAAUUAUUGUCGACCUAAUUGAUGCAAAAUAUUCCAAUAAUUAACCGUUUUAACAUUAAAUAUACCAAAUUUUCAAAGAACCAACAUCAUGCCAAAAAACAUCAUGGUCCUUUUUAAGUCUAGUUCAUCAAUAUGUCCUAAAAGAAUCUGCCAUAGAAGUCUUCCGUCGUUAGGGUUCGACAUACAAAACAAUAAAAGUCUACCUUCGUCAGGGUUAGACAUAACAAGUCUACCGUCAUAACUGUUUGACAUACAAAAUAAGUUUAUCACUCUCAAUCAUUUAUGAAAACUCUUCUUCUGCAGAGGUGAUCUCCCAGGCGAAAAUAGUGUGGAUGGGUACUCCUUUGUCUUGCUAGAAGAGGUCAUCUCUGCAUAUAUGUAAUAAGAAUUAGUCUACCAUUCUUAAUCAGUUACAAACAAGUCUACCACUCUCUAUACAAAUAUGUUUACCACUCCUCAAUCAUUUACGAACAAGUCUACCACUCACUAUACGAAUAUGUCUACCACUCUCAAUCAUUUAUGAACAAGUCUACUAAACUAAACUCUAUCUUUACUGAACAUGUCUACCACUCUCAAUCAUUUAUGAACAAGUCUACUAAACUAAACUCUAUCUUUACUGAACAAGUCUACUACUCUUUCUGCUUUUCCGACAAGUCUACUACUCUUUCUCAUUUAUGAACAAGUAUACUAGUCUUUAUGGAAACAAGUCUACUACUCAUUUUAUAUACCAAUAACAAAAACUCAGCUUACUUAACAAUAAAUCGACCAUAAUAUCACCCUAACUCACCGCAGAUCUUCACCCUCACCGGAUUUCCUCUAACCCACCGGGAAUUUCUCUAACACCUGCAAACAAAAAAUUAGGGUUAGAUUUUACCCAACAAAAACGGCGCCGCAAGGUAAUUUUCGCUGUCUAAUCCUUGCUGUCGAAAACUAAAACGGCACCGCAAGGUUUUCGCAAAAAAUUCCGGCAACUCCUCGAAAAUCUGCGGCGACUCAAACCCUAAAAAUCGUCGAACAACUCUGCAGAUGCUUUGAACGGUGCAGAAACUUCUGUAAACAAAGAGGAAAGAAUUUAGAAGUGUCAGGAAGAAGAUCUUACCGGAAAACCUUCUAUCUCCGCCGGAAUCUGGUCGACAAAGUUCGUUCGUUCCUUUUCGCCUUCGCCGUCGCCGCUAUCGUUCUUUUUUUGUCAGAAACCAACAACUCCUCAAUCUUAACUUUAACCUAUUUCUAUUUUUAUUAAUAUCUAUUUAAAACUAAAAUAAUAUAAUUGAAAAUGGCAAUUCUGUAAUACUGUGUAUCCUCGGGGUAAAAUGGACAUUGACAAACUUAUUAAGGAUAGUCUAGCAAGGUAGACUUAUCCAAGGAUACACUGGCAAUAAACCAUGCUUAGGAGGAUAGUUUCAUGCAUUAACUCCAUCAAUAUAUCACACCAACGUUAUUGCCAUAUAACAUACAAAAACUCACUAAUAUAUUUUUCCCACAAUAUAACAUCCCUAUUGAUCAGUUAAGAGAGAAGAGAGAUCAACUGGGAUGGAGUUUGGACAUUCAUGACUAUAAAUGAAUUUCUAUUAGCAUACUAGAUUUAGCAGGUGUGGCCCAUAACAUAAGCGAGAAAAGUUAUGCAGGAUAUUUUAUAGUUACUAGGAGAGAACUCGUACUAGACACAUGUCUUGUUUUAUUAUGUUUUAGACUUUUAGUUAAAUUAUCAAUUUGUUUUUGUAUAAUUUGUAUUUUUUUCAUAAAUCUAGUAAUAUCUUCUAUUUCUUAUUUUUUUUUCUAUUUUGUUCACACAAAUUUCGAGUUCUUUGAUCUAAAUUUUGAUCUAGAGAUAAUUUUUUAACUUUCUCAGCAUACAUAUUUUUUAAACAAAUUUACUAACCUCUUUAUAUGUUUUUUUUUGUUUUUCAUCAAAAUCCUGACUAACAACAAUUUUAACUUUCUCAAAUUUAUCAUUUUUAUAUUUUCUUAUUACACAUUUACAUUCAAUCCAUAUUUCCAUAUGAUAUCUUGAAAAUUGCUGCCAUAUAUAUUCUUUUCUUUUCUUCUUUUUUUUUUAUUUUUCUCUAUGUUUGAUAUCUUGAUAUUUUUUUUGAUUCUUUAUGGAUUUUUUGGUGUAAAAAAAUUAUUACUCUUUUUUUGUUAUUCUUUAGUUGCUUGUUUUUUUAAAACAUAUUUUUUAUUGUUUUAGCCUUAUACCUUGCUUUUUACCAUUUUGCGUUUUUAUGAUCUUAAUCAUUUCUUUCAUCCUAUUUUUUUUAAAAAAAUUAUUUAAAUUCUCACAUAACAAUUAUUUUGUUAUUACAUAUGGUUUAUUGAAUCCAUCUUUCCAAAUAUAUUUAUUUGUUACCAUAUUCUUUUUUCCAAUCAUUUAUCUCUCUACUUUUGAUAUUCUUUUAUCUUCUCGAUUAUUUAUUAAAUUUUUGUUUUGUGUGUUGUAGUUUUAUAGUUCUUGUUUUUGUUCUUCAGUUGCUUAAUUUGUUUUUGACUUUUGUUAUUAUUUCUUUGUCUUAAAAUUUGUUGUUUGUUGAUUUAGUUAUUUUAUAGGUCAAAGAUAAUAACUAAAUUAGAUGUAAAUAAAAUAAAAUGACAAUCACUAUACUUUAACAAAGUUGAAUUUUAUUUAUUAUAAGUUUAUGCUUUAAUAUUUUUAAUAAAACAUAUUUAAAUAUAAAUUAGAUAGUUUAUAUCUACUUAUGUUAUUUAAUGGAUUUUUUAGUUUAUUAUUUUUAUUAAACAUAUUGGUUUCAUUUUUAACCUCAUAACUUGUUUUUUACUAUUUUACAUUUUUCAUAAUCUUAGGAACCUCUUUCAUAUAUUUUUCUGAAUGUUUUUUAUUUAAACCUCACAUAACACUUAAACUUUUACAGUUUAUUAUUUUUAUAUUUUGUUAUUACGUAUUUUCAUUAAAUCUAUUUUCUAGUCAGUACUUUUAAAAUUUUGUAUAUUUAUUUGCAACUAUAUUUUUAUUAUUUUUUCUCUAAUUUUAAUAUUUUCUUAUUUUUUCGAUUAGUUAUUAUUGUGUCUUGUAGUUUUUUUAGUUGCUUGAAAAAAUUUGAAUGAUUUUUUUUAGUUUUAAUCUCAAAACAUGUUUUUUUUACUGAUUGACGUAUUUUUGUUAGUUUCAAGAUAAUUGAAUCAUAAACAAAAAAAAAUAAAAAAAACAAUCACUAUAUUUUAAUAAAUUUGAAUUUUAUUUAUUUUAAAUUUAUGCUUGAAUUUUAAUUUAAUAUAGAUAAAUAUAUUAAAUAAUUUAUAUAUAUGUAUGUUGUUUAAUGGAUUAUUUUUAGAUUUCAUAAUUUUUAUAUUAAAUGCUGAUGUUGAAAACAAACUUAAAUGAACCAAUCAAGGGGGCUCAUGUGUUGACGUUGGAGAGCCCCCUUCUCAUUUUAUAUAUUAGAUAUUUGUCUUAAAACCUCUUGUUAGUGUUUAUAUAUAAACAAAGUUUGUAGACUUUUUCUAAUAAGAUAGUAUUAUUUUUAGGGUUUUUUUAACAAUGUUUAUAGGUUUUUACUAACAAAUUUAUUGAUUUAGUGCACUAUCAAAUAAUUAUUAUCUUUAUUAGUUAAAUUAUCUUUUAAAAAAAAAAUUAAAACCCACAACACAAAAUGAUGGUGAUUUGUUAAUGGAAUUAAAAAUACUCCAUUAGUACCAAAUGAACUUUGAAUUCUUAUUAAAAUGCUUGAUUUUUUGAAAAACAAAUAAGAGAUUGUUAUCAAACAUAUAAAAAGUGUCUUCACAUAUUGUUGGCCUUUAAAUUUUUUAAGUUGAAACUAAUAAAAAAUUAUUUGUGGUUACUAUAUUACAAAAACGAUUGAAUAUAUAAUGGUUUUAUUAACAAUUAAGAGAACUAUGAUUGUAAUAUUCAACCAUAUAAAUUUAACGAAUGAUUUUGCAUGUAAAAAUUACAAGUUAAGCCAUAUUUCAACAAGAAUUUUAUUUUCUUAUUAUUUUCUUUUCUUAGAAACCGUUUGUGGAGUUAAAUUAUAGAGUUGAAUAAUUUAUAAAGUUCUGUAUGACUUUUAUACUUAUUUAAAGCAUUCAAAAAUAUUGAAUCAACACUGAAAGUUGAUCAAGAUUAUUGAAGUUCGCAAGGUAUUGGCAAUUCAUUAUUGCUAUAAUCUUUUUACUCAGCAAAGUCUCAACCAAUAAAAACAAUAUAUUGCAAAAAUACAAAUGGACAAAAAUAUUAAAUGUGUAUAAAUUGUGCAUACAAAUUACAAAAAAAAAACAAAAAAAAAAUAUUUAAACACAUCAUGAAACACAUGGAUCAUAUAAAUCCUAGUUUCUCUAUAUGAUAAUUGUAAAAAAAAUGUUAUUGUGGAACAUGAGAAAUUAGUGAUUGUGAUCCAUAUGAUGAUUGUCAUCUACAUCCAAUGUUGAAAACACUAGUGAAAGCAUUGAAUGUUGUUUACCAACCAUUGAUUCCUCAAUUUUUAGAAGAUUUAGACGAUUAGUGUAGAUUUCUUUUUUUUUGAAUUAUAUGCUUUGUGUAUGAUCAUUGUUUUUUUUUUGCGUUACUUAAUCUCUCUAUGUCAACUUCUAUAUUUAUCUUAUACAAAAAGAAAGAAACUCAUUCUAUAAAACAUAACAAAAAAAAUCUAAGAAAGUGGUGUUUGAUACCAAUAUGUUAGAGAUACAUAUUUUCUUAUGCAGUCUAUUUAACAUACAAAUUAUAUUAGUAUAAAAAGAUUCAUAUUGACUACAAAUUUAAUUAUGAAAAACAAGCACAAGUAUUCAAAAAAUUGGGUUGUAUUAUUAGUUAAAAAUAGGAUAUUAUUCAUACUGAACAAAUAUCCCAUCUAUAUUAGGACUGUUCUCAUUUACAUCUGCUGGGAUGUGGAAAACUUGCUAGUUUUUCGCGACCAUAAUUCUCUGCGGGUCUUUGAAGCUGUGAAAAAAGCAUUAUUUGACAUGUAUCCAUAAACAAAGCUAAACCAGAUAUUUAUUAUGAUUACAUGGAAUCCAAAACUCAAAAGACAAAAGAAACACUAGUUAACUGCAUUGCUUGUGGGCUAAAAUCCAAAAAUAAGCUCAUUCAUAAGUUCAGUUGUUCAACGAUGCAUUCAUUAACGACAUCACAAGUGUUGUGGCGUCUUGGUGUUGCAAGGACUUCUUUGAAGAUGAUGCUUCUCAUAAAAGCACUUCACACCCUAAAAAUCAAUUUCUUCGGUGUUGUUGAAUUCUUCAGGAAGUAUCUUGCUAGCUGCAUUUCUAUUUCAUAUUGAAAGUACAUAUUUUCUAUAGAAUCUAAGAACACAAAUAAGAAUGAAUAAAGAAUAACUCUCUUUGUAUUAUUGCUUAGGAAAAUCACUCUUAAAACCUAAACAACUCAAGUAACUCUUAUGUUAUGUCAUAGCUCGACACACAUAUAUAUAGUAAAACAAUUUCCUUUUCCUAAUAGUAUUAGAUACCUCCUAAUCUUAUCAGAAACUAUCAGAAACCGACUUAAGCCCUACUUUAUCCUAAUCCUACUUGAUAUAAGAUGUCUUGGGCCUUAAGCAAUGUUGAAGCUUAUUCAACAUUCUCCCUCUUAAGCUUCAACUUGUCUUGAGACAUGUCUUCUAAACCGAUCAAGCUUCUCAUUUCGACGAACUUCACUCUCGCCAAAGCCUUGGUUAGAAUUAGGCCUGAAUUUUUCGGGAAGGGUAACCCGUCCCGUCUCGUACCCGUCCCGAAAUUCCCGAAUUUUUCGGGAAAGGGAAAUUAUAAUUUCCCAUUCGGGAUUGAAAAUAAUAUUUGAAUGGGUAAGAGAAAGGGUAGGGACGAGAAUGGGAUUACCCGAACUUCCCGUUGGGUAAUUAUAUAAAGUAAAAUUUUAGACAUUUCGGUUAUUUGAAAUUUUUUUAUAAUAAAUAAUGAUUUUUCCAAUUUAUUAACAAAUAAUAAUUUUUAAAAAAAAACAAAAAUUGAUUUCAAUCUAAUUAUCUGAAUUAUCCGAAAUUUUUUCCGUCUCUUUCCCAUUCUUUUUCCGAUUAUAUUUUAUUUUGGGAUUGUAUGGGAGGUAUGUUUUGAUUCCCGAAUUUCCCGUUCCCGUCCCAUACCCGUAAAUUCCCCUCCCGUUAUUUUGUGGGAAUAAUUUGGAUAGUAUAUUUAGAUUCCCAAAAUUCCCAUUCCCCUCCCCUACCCGUCAAUUCCCGUCCCAAUUCCCGAAAAAUUCAGGCCUAAUUAGAAUAUCAGCCUUUUGCUCUGUUCCUGGUACAUGUUCAACAUUCACAAGCUCCCUCUCAAUGCAUUCACGCACAAAGUGAUACCUCUUGUGAAUGUGUUUGCUUUUGCCGUGAAAUACUGGAUUUUUUGUGAGUUCUAUAGCCGACUUGUUAUCGAUUCUGAUCACGACUUGCUCUGGUUCCCAACCUGUGACUUCGCUAAGAACAUCUUGAAGCCAUAUAGCCUGCCUCGCUGUUUCAGUUGGCGCCAUAAACUCUGCUUCGCAUGAUGACAAAGCAACUGUAUCUUGUUUCUGAGAGCACCACGUUAUAGGUGAGGCUCCAAGAUAGAAAAUAUGUCCUGUGGUAGUUCUCCCGUCGUCUUGAUCAAUAUUAUGACUGCUGUCGCUGUAUCCGACGAUUUUCAUUGUUGUGUCACGUAUGAACUUUAAACCGAAUGCCAUAGUCCCUUUGAGAUAUCGUAGGAUCUGCUUCAUUAUCUCUCCAUGGGAUUUUCGUGGGCUUUGCAUGUACCUGCUUGCAAUGCCAACUGCGAAUGCUAAAUCUGGACGAGUAUGAAGUAUAUACCUUAAGCAGCCGACAUUUCUCCUAUAGCCUGUGGCAUCGAUCUCUGGUUCUUUCUCAGCCUUUGAAACCUUAAGUCCGAAAUCCAUGGGAAUCAUAGUAGAGUUGCAGCUCUCUAAACCGGCUUCUCUUAAUAUUCUGCGUGCAUAAGCUUCUUGCUUAAUUUCUAUUCUAUCAUCACUUUGAUGAACCUCUAUGCCGAGAUAGUAUGUGAGUUUGCAAAGAUCGGACAUCUCGAAUUUUGAUGACAUUGCAAUUUUAAAAUCCCUUAGUGUCUUAAGAUGAUUGCUUGUAACAAACAAGUCAUAUACUUAGAUUGCAAUUAUCAGCAAAUUCCCUCCUUCUUCCUUUCGAUAUACUGAUAUCUCUUUCAUGCACCUCACAAACUUCAUACCCUUUAAAAUUUGAUCCAGUUUGGUAUUCCAUGCUCGCGGAGCUUGUCGAAGGCCAUACAAGGCUUUGGAUAGUUUGUAGACUUUCUGUUCUUCACCUUUUAUUUCGAACCCUUCUGGUUGCUCGACGAACACAUCUUCCUUUAAUUCACCGUGUAAAAAUGCUGUUUUAACGUCCAAGUGGUGAAUUUCCCAUCCGUGCAAUGCAGCUAGAGCCAUUAACAGUCUGAUGGUCUCAAUUCUUGCAACCGGUGCAAACACCUCGUCGAAGUCCACUCCUAACUCUUGUAUGUAGCCUUUAGCGACAAGUCUCGCUUUAUACUUGUUAAUGGUGCCGUCUGCGUUCUUCUUUAUCUUAAAGAUCCACUUGAGACCAAUAACCUUCAUGUUACUUGGUCGAUUAACAAGAUCCCAUGUUCUGUUUUUGUUAAUUGAGUGGAUUUCUUCUUCACAUGCUUUUCUCCAUUCUUUUAUAUCCUUUGCCUAUCUGUAGCAUCUUGGCUCGCUGUCUAUGGAAAGGAGAAGUCUUUCGCAUUCAACUGCAGCUUGCAUCACGAAAUCGUCGAAGUAACUUGGCUUUCUAACUUGACGUGAUGAUUUUCUCAGCACCGGUUCUCCUUGUACUGUGCUGUUUUCAUUGUGCUCAUGAUUUUGAUGGUUUGACCCACUAUCGUUGUUAUGCUCACCGUUCUCGAAGGUAUUUGUGUCUUCAUUAUCAACGUCACUUUGAUCUUGUGUAUUAGUUGCUACAGGGCCUUCCCCUGUAUCUACAAUUUCGCCCCAUCUCAUUUGGAACAUUCCUGGAUCCCUGCUUGGUCCACUCGUUGUUGCUUUCCAACUCCAGCCCAUCUUUUCGUCGAACACGACAUCACGGCUGACUACUAUACGUUGAUUCGAUGGAUCAUAUAAUCUGUACGCUUUUGAUCCUUGUUCAAUCCCCAAGUGAACAAGCGUUUGUGACCUGUCGUCCAGUUUUCUGAGUUUUGAUGAAUCGACUUUUGCGAAUGCCAAACAUCCGAAGAUCCUUAAGUGCUCGAUGUUGGGUUUCUUCUCCCGUAAGCUUUCGUACGGAGUCAUACCAUUCAAGGCUCUUGUGGGAACUCGAUUUAUGACAUAUGUGGCACGUCUUACAGCCUCUCCCCACAAGUAGUUUGGUACACUUUUGUCUUUAAGCAUACUCCUCGUCAUCUCCAUUAGAGUUCUAUUUCUCCUUUCGACAACUCCGUUUUGUUGAGGCGUAUAGGGUGCCGUUAAUUGCCUCCUGAUUCCAUUUGUUUCACAGAACUCAUGAAACUCAUUGGAUGUGAAUUCUCCCCCUCGGUCAGUUCGAAGUGCACUGAUUUCUUCGCCAAGUUCUUUCUCGAUCAAGUGCUUAAACGUUUUAAAUUUGUCGAAGGCAUCUCCCUUCUCCUUUAAAAGAAUGGUCCACAUGUAUCUUGAGAAAUCGUCUAUAAUGACAAAGACGUAUCUGUUAUGUGCAAUGGUAGCUGGUGUUAUUGGCCCACACAGAUCUGCAUGAAGGAGUUUUAGAGGUUUUUCUGCUCGAUACAUGGUUGCUUUUGGAAAACUUUUACGAGUUUGUUUUCCAACAAGACAUGAUUCGCAUAUCCUCUUCUCUUCUCUCACCGUUGGUAAUCCAUGCACUAUCUUCUUUUGGGACAUAUCUUGAAUCGUUUUGAAGCUUAUGUGCCCAAGUCUCGCGUGCCACUUCCAUGUACUAUCUUCUAUUUGUGAUUGCAGGCAUGUGGGUUUGCCGAUCUGAAGUUUGAUCUUGUAGAGCCGAUUUGGUGAUCUGACAACCUUUACUAGAAGUCUGUUGUUAGAAUUAUGCACGGUUAGAUAGUUCUGCCUCAUGCGAACAUCACAUCCAACCUCGGUAGCUUGUCCCAAGCUGAGAAUGUUGCUCUUAAGAUCAGGGAUAUAGUAAAUAUCUUUCACAAGUAUUUGCUCAUCCGAUUUGCUUUGGAAGAGUAUGGACCCCUUUCCUUCUAUCUCUACACAUGAGCCGUCUCCAAAUUUAACCUUGCCUUUAAUGCUUCUGUUGAGUUCCGAGAAGUAAGAUUCAUUGCCAGACAUGUGAUUGCUUGCACCAUGAUCCAAGUACCAUAUACCUUCUUCUUCCUUGUAGUUCUUUGGUAUGAUCUUAUCUUCAUUUAAAAAUAUAAUCUCGUGCAUAUACAAAGCUUCCCCUUCCUCGGUUUCCUCUGUUUCUACUACAUUAGACUCUUGAAACCUCCGAGUUCUGUCAGGGCAUUUAGACGCAAAGUGUCCUGGCUUGUCGCAGCGGUAACAGAUUACUUUCGAGAGAUCUCGUUUUUCUUUUGUUUGAUCGUUUUGAUCAGUUGUUAUGUCUUGAGAGUUAAACCGUCCUCCUCUGCCUCGACCCCUGUAUCCACGUCCUCUUCCUCUUCCGUAAGAGUUUUGUUGGUCUGAAUUUGCGUACAACAACUUGCCUUGCGUAUCAUCUUGAUUUUCGUCAUCCAAGAUACGCUCUUCAUAGGCCUUAAGUCGCCCGAUGAUGUCUUCAAAUCCAGUUUUCUUUAGGUCUAACACUUGUUCCAGAGAUGCAAUGAUGUGAAUAUACUUUUUCCUCGGUAAGCUAUUAAGAAACUUCUUAACUAGCUUAGUUUCAUCGAUCGUUUCUCCAAGUGCAGCUGACUUUGUUGCGAUUUCUGAUAACUUUCCCGCAAAGUUAUCGAUUGUCUAUGUGUCUGUCAUCUUCAUUCUUUCAAAUUCUGACAUUAGAGUUUGAAGCCCUGCUUCUUUGACACGCUCUGCUCCGAGGUUGCGAUCUUUAAUCGCUUCUCAUAUCUGUUUUGGAGAUUUUUGUUCACUGACUUGUAAAAUCGAAUUCUCCGGUAUGGAUUGGAAGAUUAGACCCGUUGCGAUAUCGUUUUUGGUGGAAUCAUCUGAUCCUGGCUCGAUCGUUUCCCACGCUUUGUGAAUACGCGGCAUCACUCUCAUCCUCAUCGCCCAAACUGUGUAAUUAGUAGAGGUUAACAUCGGACACUGUAUAGACGACGGAAUCGUCUCCUUCGUUUGGUUCGCCGGAAUUACGUCUCCCAUCUUCAAAGUACUGUAUGAUCUUAGAAUCUGAUGUUUAGAACCAGCGCUCUGAUACCAAAUAUAGAAUCUAAGAACACAAAUUAGAAUGAAUAAAGAAUAACUCUCUUUGUAUUAUUGCUUAGGAAAAUCACUCUCAAAACCUAAACAACUCAAGUAACUCUUAUGUUAUGUCAUUAGAGGUGUCAAUCGGGCCUUUUGUCUGUGGGCCAGGCCCGUUAAGGCCCUAAUGGAUGCGGGUUUGGACAACAUAUAUUUUGCCCAAUAAGAAGUGGGCUUUAUGGGUUGAUCCGCUGUGGAUCGCGGAUUAAACGGGUCAACCCGUUGCGGACAUGCGGGUAUGUGGGUUGACCCGUAAAUAUAUAUAUGUCAAAGAAAAAAAAAACGUUUCAGAAAAAAUUAAGACCUUUUGUUACUACUAGAGUCUCUUAUAACUUAAUUAAAACCCCUAAAUAUAGCAGCCAAGCAGGAAACUCAAAAGUUAAAAAACUAGAAUAUUAAAAUUAAAACAAAGCUUCUCAGUUCUCCCGUCAAAAACAACAUCUGCUUCUAGUCAAUUAUUUGCAGAAAACUAAAUUCAACAGUUCAGUCACCUUUGUAAUGGUAAGGUGUUUAUUUUUUUAAUAUUGUUUAUGCUUUAUCAAUUUUAUAGAUUCUGCCAUGCUUAUAUAAGUUUUUGCAGUAACUAAAAUUGAAUUCUCGAUGUAUAAUUCUUUUUAAUGUAUCUUGCAUACUCUGUAUAUAUUCAUAAGUUUCUCAUUCAAUAAAAUUAUAGAAUUCCAUAAACUUCAUAUGGUAAACCCUAAACCUUAUAAAUCUUCAAUAAAAUUAAAGAUUUAUUUUCAGCCCACGGGCUAGUCCGUUUACCCAUUGGGCUUGGCGGGAGCUUGGACAUAAUUUUGUUGUCCGUAAUUUUAGCGGGCCAGCCCAUCAAAGACCGCAAAAAUAAAAAUCCGCAGCGGAUGUGGUCCGUUGGGCGCAGGCUGGCCCGUUUGACACCCCUAUAUGUCAUAGCUCGACACACAUAUAUAUAGUAAAACAAUUUCCUUUUCCUAAUAGUAUUAGAUACCUCCUAAUCUUAUCAGAAACUAUCAAAAACCAACUUAAGCCCUACUUUAUCCUAGUCCUACUUGAUAUAAGAUGUCUUGAGCCUUAAGCGAUGUUGAAGCUUAUUCAACAUUUUCCAGUUCAACAAACUUAAGCGAAGAUACCAGACACGGAGGCACCAACAUGGAGGCACGCAUGGAAACAUUAUUUUCGUUCCAAUUCCAGCACAUCAAAUUUGAGGUGGCAGUUGUUGUCAAAGAGAUGAACUAGACCACUGAUGCCUUCACCCAGAAAAAAAAACCGCUGACAUAUUUUUGAGUUUUGAGAUUAGAGGCUUCUCAAUUAGGACUCAGUGAUCAAUCAUUUCUUGAAUGGAUAAUAUAUGGUUUUGGACUUUGGUUCCAACAUAAAAAAAUAUGUUUGUUAUGACUGAAUUUUUUUUUAUGGAUUUCAUGAUAUUUCAUAAUCCUUUAUUCAAUGAUGUUUAAAUAUUUAUUUUGUUUCACUUUAUUUUUUAUUUAUUUAUAUGCAUAAUUUAUAUAUAUUUAAUAUUUUUGAUCAUUUAUAUUUUAUAAUAUUUGUUUAUUGGUUGAAUAGAUGUCAAUUAAAUUAAUAUCUUGUUUAGUAGAAAGGAAUACUUAUAAUUUACUAAGAUUUUUUUAGUUUUUCGCUUUACGUAGACAUUCUUUUUUAUAAGAGAGGGAGUGUUUUCUAUCUUUUUUUUUUACUUCUAGGAGUAUUUUCUAUCUUGAAGCACAUAAUUUUUAUUUUUUUAUUAAUAAAAUCAUAAUGGUUGUGGAAGUCUCCAAAGCCUAAUGGUUGAUCAAAGAUUAUUGAUGUUUCAGGAGAUUUGGAUUUUAAAUCCUAGAAAGUGUAAUUUAUUAUUAAUUUGCAGAUUGAAAGAAUAUAGGAUAUUCUCUAAAUAUUUUGUAAAUGUUGUUCAGAUAUUUUAGGCUGAGAUCUCUUUUGGAAUCUCGUUUUGUAAUCCCUGAUAUUUGGGAACAGUUUUGGCUUUAUAUAGCCUUGUGAAUACAACAUGAAACCGGACGGGGAAUUCACCAUCUUUCAUGGUAUCAGAGCCUAUAAGCUCCUAACCUCUUCUCUAAGUUCUUUCUUCUUCUUUCCCUCGUUCUCUCCUUCCUUUUCUUUUUCUCUCGUGUUAUCUUUCAAUGGCUGCUCCCCCAGCUGCAGUAGAACGCGCCUUCGGCGUAACAAAUAUCAAAUCUCAUAUCCCCAUCAUACUUGACUUUGAUGAUCACAACUAUGAUGCGUGGAGGGAGCUUUUCCUCACACACUGCUUAGCUUUCGACGUCGCCGGACAUCUUGACGAAACCCUCCUUCCCACUGGCGCUGAUGAUGCUGCUUGGCACAAACGUAAGUGGGGAUUUUUCGGUGAGUAGAGAAAUGAUUGUUUUUGGUUUGUGGAUACCAGACUUGGUUCGAGUCGUCAUUGCGUGACGAGGAGCGGGAAGAAUUUGUGUUGGUGGGUUAGUUUGUAUGGGUGGUGGUGUUGGACCACGGUAAGAUUGAGCAUAUGGGUUCCAGUUUUGAAACUGGUUCGGCCAUGAAUUGUAAGGUGGUGUCCACAUGCCCGAUGGAUUCCAUGUAGGGAAGUUUGGAUUGAACUGGUUGUUGAAUCUGCCACGACGGUUUCUCUUGUUGCCUCUGUAGUUGUUGUAACGCUGGGUUUGAUUCUGCCUGUUUUGUUGUUGAUUAGGAACCGGCGACGGUUGCGGAUUGGAGACGACAAGCGCUGACGGUGAUGAGGAAUGGUCGGCGUGAGUAGCUGUAGCUCUGUGUUGGCGUUUGAGUCGAGUUUCUUCACCCUCCAGCAUGUUUUUCGCAUCAUCGAAACUUGGAAAAGGGUCCUUGUGUUUGAUAACAUUAAUGAUGUUAUCGUAUUUGUCGUUGAGACCGUUGAUGAGGUACAUGACGAGAGUUCUGUCGGUGACUGGAGCGUCGACAUUGGCGAGGAGGUCAGCAAUGGAUUUGAGUUUCUGGGAAUAGUCUCGGGACUCGAGUGCCCGGAAUGUCUCGGGAAUUAAUGCCCGGAAAUUGGUACCAAUAUGGAAUCGAACCCUGGUGGGAGCUGCAACGUUAGCGAGACUCGACCACUUUGUGCGGGUUCGAAUUGGUGUUUGAAGAAUGGUUUGAAAAAUGGGAGCUGGUUCAUCGUGGUCCAGAAAUUUGUAAGGAGUAUGUGGAUUUUGGUGCUUUUGAGCAGCUGGAAAUUUCUCUUCAUCGAAAUGGACGUGGCGAGAUAUGAUGAUCUUAUUGGUUCUUAAGUCAAGGCAUCUGUACCCUCGGUGCUGUAAAGGAUAACCUAGAAAGAGACAGGGUGUGGAUCUUGGUGAUAAUUUGUGGAGAGAAGAGUUAUUGAGAUUGGGAAAGCAUAGACAGCCAAAGACUCGCAAAUGAUCGUAUUUUGGAUAUUUCUUGAAAAGCAAAGUGUAUGGGAUCUGAUUUUGAAUUGCAGAGGAUGGUAAAAUGUUCAAGAGAUGAACGGCGACAUGGAGAGCUUCAACCCAAUAACAUGGCGAGAGCUGAGCUUGAAAAAGCAGAGAUCGCACAGAAUUGAAAAAGCAGCUGCUCAAAAGCACCAAAAUCCACAUACUCCUUACAAAUUUCUGGACCACGAUGAACCAGCUCCCAUUUUUCAAACCAUUCUUCAAACACCAAUUUCGAGCCCCACACCAACACCACCACCCAUACAAACUAACCCACCAACACAAAUUCUUCCCGCUCCUCGUCACGCAAUGACGACUCGAGCCAAGUCUGGUAUCCACAAACCAAAAACAAUCAUUUCUCUACUCACCAAAAAAUCCCCACUUCCAAAAAGCUAUAAACAAGCCCUUUCUGAUCCAAAUUGGACACCAGCGAUGACUGAUGAACAUGGUGCCAUGAUUGAAACUAGAACUUGGGAUCUUGUACCUCGACCUCCAGGGGUCAAUAUUGUUAACUCUAUGUGGUUGUUCAAACAUAAGUAUGAUGCAGAUGGAGCUCUAACACGCCACAAGGCCCGAUUAGUUGCAAAUGGCAAAUCGCAGGAAGCAGGCAUCGACUUUACCGAGACGUUCAGCCCAGUAGUCAAGCCUGCGACUAUUCGCACUGUUCUAAACAUUAGGGUAGCUCUCAAUUGGCCGAUCCAUCAGCUUGAUGUGAAAAAUGCCUUUUUGCAGGGAGAUCUUGAAGAAACUGUUUAUAUGCAUCAGGCACCUGGCUUUGUGGAUCCACAAUUUCCCAAUCAUGUCUGCAAAUUACGCAAAGCCAUCUAUGGCCUUAAACAAGCACCAAGGGCUUGGGAUUCACGGUUUGCUAAAUUUCUAAGUCAAAUUGGAUUUCUGCGCAGCAGAGCUGAUGCCUCUCUUUUUGUUUUCAAAAGAAAUCGUGAUCUGGCUUACAUACUCCUUUAUGUCGACGAUAUAAUCUUAACAGCUUCUUCAAUGAGUCUUCUUCAUCAGAUCAUCGCUAAGCUCAAAGAAGAAUUCCCAAUGACAGACAUGGGGAAGCUCCAUCACUUCCUUGGAAUAAAAGUUGAGUACAAUGCUCAAGGUAUGUUCCUCAGCCAGGCUUCGUACGCAAAGGAAAUACUUGAUCGCGCGGGAAUGGCUAACUGCAAUCCAUGUUCGACACCGGUGGAUUUAAAAUCCAAGCAAUCGGCGGAUGCAGGGAAGCCUGUUGACGAUCCCAAGGCUUAUCGACAGCUUGCUGGAGCUCUGCAAUAUUUGACCUUCACUAGACCAGACAUCUCGUAUGCUGUUCAUCAGAUAUGUCUGUAUAUGCAUGAUCCUCGACAACCUCACCUUCAAGCCCUCAAGCGGAUCAUCAGAUACAUUAAAGGAACAGCAUUGCAUGGUUUACAGUUGACUAAAGGUCCAAUCGAUCAGCUAACAGCAUAUUCGGACGCCGACUGGGCUGGAUGUCCGGACACGCGACGUUCAACAUCUGGUUAUUGUGUUUAUCUGGGUAAUAAUCUAAUUUCCUGGUCUGCAAAGCGUCAGCAAACAGUUUCUCGUUCGAGCUCGGAGGCAGAGUACAAGGGCGUGGCAAACACAGUUGCAGAACUCUGUUGGUUACGUAAUCUGAUGCUAGAACUACACUUCAACAUCCACAAAGCUUCUUUGGUCUACUGCGACAACAUAAGUUCAGUUUACCUCGCCACCAAUCCAGUUAAACAUCAACGCACAAAGCAUAUUGAACUGGAUAUACAUUUUGUUCGUGAAAAAGUCGCUAUUGGGGAAGUUAAGGUUUUACAUGUUCCAUCUAGCCUGCAAUAUGCAGACAUUUUUACGAAGGGAUUACCAACGUCUUUAUUCGAAUAAUCGUAACUAAUAAUAAAUAAAUAGAUAAAGGAGCCCUCCUUUAUAUGAUCAAUGUUGAUACUACUUUUUUUAUUUUGUAAAUGUUGUUCAGAUAUUUUAGGCUGAGAUCUCUUUUGGAAUCUCGUUUUGUAAUCCCUGAUAUUUAGGAACAGUUUUGGCUUUAUAUAGCCUUGUGAAUACAACAUGAAACCGGACGGGGAAUUCACCAUCUUUCACAGAUUAAUGGAGAUAAACUUAUAGAAAGUUUUUAACAUGAUGUAUAGAAAUCCGUUGGCGUGUAUACAAGCAGGAGAAUUAUCCGUUGUAAAAUUAUUGCUAUAAUAGUUUUCAUAAUUUAUAAUAAAAUAAUAAAAUAGUGUUUGAAAAAACACAAAUGUUUGUUUUUCUAGUAGAGAUUGGCUAACAAUAAAUCAUCUACAAAUGGAUGUGUCAUCUAAAAUUUCCAUCAUCAAGAUUCACAACCAUAAUCGAUCUUACAGUCCAUAAAAGAGGACUAGAGAAUUACUAUCUCAUGAUAGGAAUCGAGCAAUCAAUGGCAACCGUAACAUGGUUUGAUGAUAACAAACAAUUAUUUUUAAUUAUUUAUAAACUAUAUCCGAAUAUUUCUGAACUAAACAUCUGAAUAACUUCAGGAAAAAAAAAAGAUAAUCAGAAACUAAUCAAAAACCAAAAUGAUGAAUUUUUUUUAGAGCGAGAUGUUUUUCUAAAUUACAUAAUAGAUGCAUACAUUUUUUGUCAAUAUUUGAAAUGAUUAAUAUUUGGGAAAAAAAGUUAUACAAAUUUAAUUAACACCAAUUAAACAAAAUAUUAUCGAUUAAAAUUUUAUAAUCAACUUACUAAAAUAUGAAGUUGUAAAAAGGUUCCGUGUGCCAUGUUACCAGACUCGAACUCGAGUCGCCGGUGUAUCCCGCUUCUAUCAGUUUUCUGCUUUUCCAUUAGAAAUUAGGGUUUUGGAAGAGGAAGAAGAGCAAGAGUCUCUCCGUCUCGAUUUUCCCUCAUCUUGGUAAUUUCUGUUUCGCUCUUGUUCGUUUCCUCUUGUUUCGUUCCCCCAAAUCCAAAUUUAAACCCUAAUUUAUGGGCUUUAUCCUCUUUCGUUAUCGCAGAUUCACUCCUUUCUUAUCGAAAGGCGAUGGCUUCUUUGUUCAAGGUACACAAGUUUAGAUUUUAUCUUGUUUGGUGAAUUCCGGUGAACGCAUUUCUGGGUUUUGCUUAUGAUAGCUUGGAAACUCGAGAUUGGUCACGGCAGUUAAUUUUUCAGUGAAUUGAGUGUAUGAGUUGAAGCGAUUGUUAACAUAAUGAUGAGUGAUGAAACCCUAAAUCGACUAAAUUGAUUUGGAGAAAUUGAAUGUUUUCUCGCAUUUGAAGAAGGAUAUUUGACUUGCUUUUAGCUGAACUUGCAUAUUUAGGGAUUGAGUUUUGUCAAUUUCAUAUUUGUUGAUACCAGGAGCAAGCAAAGCUCUCGGCUUAUCGAGAUAGAAGAUUCUCAGGAACACAAGAGGAGUUCGACGAGGCGCUAAGGACUUCUUCGACGGUUUACAUUGGAAAUGUGUCUUUCUACACAACCGAGGAACAGAUUUACGAGCUUUUCUCCAGAGCAGGAGAGAUCAAAAAGAUCAUCAUGGGGUUGGAUAAGAACACAAAAACACCCUGUGGUUUCUGUUUCGUCCUGUAAGUUUCCAUUUUCAAAGGGUCUUUUUAACCAGUUUCACCUGUAAGUUUUCAUGAUGAUAGGUUGGUGAUUUUGCUUGUGUGUGUGUCUUGUUAUCAGGUUCUACUCGAGAGAGGACACAGAGGAUGCAGUGAAAUAUAUAAGUGGGACUAUUCUUGAUGACCGGCCUAUUCGUGUUGAUUUUGAUUGGGGAUUCCAAGAAGGAAGACAAUGGGGACGUGGUAGAAGCGGUGGCCAGGUAUUCAUCAAAUGCAUCUUCUUCUGUAAUUUUCUGACCCUUUGUGUAUACAUUAUUUGUUGUAACUAUGUUUUUCUAAUUUCAUACAGGUUCGAGAUGAAUAUCGUACUGAUUACGAUCCUGAUAUCCUUUCAAUCCGCUUUUGUUGUGCUUAAUAGUUCUUGUUUAUUAUGCAUGCUUAUUAUAGACACAAACCAGUUGGGAUCUGGCUUUGAGGUUUGAUUGCUCGGUUUAUCUAUCCUUUUUUUUUUCUUUAACUCAUUGAUACCUAGAGGUGGUUAUGGAAAAUUAGUUCAGAAGGAGCUCGAAGCACAAAGGCAGCUCGUAGAUUACGGUACUGGCUCAUUGGGAGCAUAUCCUGCUGCUGCGCAAUCGAAUUGUAAGUUCUUUCAACUUUCUAUCUGAUCUACAUGAUUUGUUCCUGGUUACAUGUUUUUGCACUGAACUGUGUAUGGUCAACAUGUGGGAGUACCACCAUGAAACGCUAGUUCUAAGAUUAGCAUUGUAUUGCCCAGAAGAAGACAUCUUCUUGUCCUUUUACGGGUUACCUUUGUCAUAGAUAGUUAUAAUCAUAAAUCCUAACCUAAGGAGCUAAUGGAAGUUCAUCGUGUGAGAACUUGAUAGUAGAGUCUGCAUAUAAUUUAUUACUUUGGAGAUACUUCCAUCUUCCUAAAUGGUUAAAUCAAUCAUGCAGAUGGAAGGCGUGGUGGUGGAGGAGGCUAUGGCCAAGGAGGAAAUCGCCAUGGAAGAGGAGGAGGAGGUAUAUAUGUUACUAAAUUAACAUAAUGGAUAGUAAAAUUGCAAAUCAUCAGCCACAAGCAUAACUUAAAACCCAUUUGAAGUUUUUAAUGUUUUUUUGCAGAUUACCAUCGGAAACGGCAAAGAGACGAUGAUCGUUAUGGACGUGAGAACUCGAGAAGAAACUCAGAUCAGGAGUCUAGGAGAGAGACUGAUCAUGACAUGAGACCGGUAUUAAUUAAAAGAGAUUAUUCAUUCUCGCAAAUAAACUUUUUGAGUGAAUUUUGGUAUGUUACUGAUGUGAUGCUUGGGACAUUGCCUGCUUUGUGUGAAUUUAACAGGAGAAGAACCCACGAUUCCGUGAGAGCGGUGACUCAGACGAUGACGGUGAAGAUGAUCGGAAGAGAAGAUCUUGAUUUUGAAGUUGCAAAUGUUGUUGAAGGAUCAAUGUAAUCUUUAGUUUUAUGAGUCUGAACUUAAUUUGGGGUUUGCUAGAUUUUUCAUUACAACACUUUGAGUUGGUUUCAUCAAAUGUCAUAUCCUCGUGUAACUAACUUUUUCUCAUUGAUCAACUGAAAUAUCAUUUCGAGACUUUUGGGCCAAAAGAGCCUAUUUGAAGGCCCACCAUAACACUAGCCAAAUAAAAUGUAUCAAUCUGGCUCUCCGUUUAGGAUGUUGAGGAUUGUAUAAUCUUGAAUGCCUUCUUGAAUAUGUAGACAAAUUGUUAUAUUCUGAAGUAUAUAAUUUCGUUAUAGAUAGGUGCAAAAGGUGAAAAUAAAAUUUUCCACACUUAUCCAUAUUGUCUAAAAAAAUCUUUAAACUAUUUUAUCGAACAAGUAAUUAAUCUUUCACUUUGCAUUGAUUUGACAAAUUAGAUCUAACUAGGAAUAUAUACAAAUGGGUUUCUGUCCGAAACUUCAUGUUUAAAACUUGUUAAAAACAAUAAAAAACUCAAUGUUUAAAAGAAAAAAAAAAAGAGAUAAUACUUUUUUUUUUUAAAAAAGAGACUAAUACGACCAACUUGCUUAACUUCGAUACAUGUACUUCAUAUAUACUCCUUGGAGUAAGAAAUACAUAUGAUCAAUCAACAAGGAUUUAUCAUCUUCCUUGCAAAAAUACUUAUAAAUUAAAGAGACCAAAAAAAGAAAGAUGUUAACAAAUGCAAUUUCGACGAAUUUUGUCUCUCUCAAGGACGAGGAGGAACAUUAGGAACGCCUUGACGUUGUAACUCCGUCAUGACGCCGUCAACUGAUGGCGGUUUGAGUCCCAGAGGAAGCGGUAGCCACGGCUUUGUUAUCACGUCUCCAAUAGCGGCGUCUAUGCUCUCGUUAGACUGCACCGUCAAAGUCAAACACAAUUAAUAGGAUAAGGUUAUCAAAAUUAAACAAACUUUUUUGGAUUAUCUCAUAAUCAAAGAUAAAACAAAAGAAAAUUCAAACAAACUAAAGGUACACUCACGGGAUGAAUGUCGAGAGGAGGAUUAGUAGGGCCUAAUGGUCUUGUAGGAACACCAAUGCUUGUUUCUGAUUUAAUAUUAUACAUCGAAUGAUUCGAUGAUGAUGCCAUACCAUAUCCCUACACAUAUAUAUAUACACGUUAAACCCUAAUUAAACAAUACAACAUCAGUUUUAAUUAUACAGUCCGUGUUGCAUGCAUAGUAACUUAUAGCUCUUAAUCUGAUUAGUAAUCCUCUUAAAAAUUAGUUUAACUUGUAUAUCAAAGGAAUAGUGAAAUAUCCAAUGACUUGCUAUAAAGAAAUCAUUUCUCAAAUUUGUGCAUGUUUAGAAUGGUAAAAUAUGGUUAUGUUUUUCAUUUAAUAAUUUUGUCGUUUCGUUAUAAAUUUUGUAAUCAUUGUUUUUCAAUUAUCAUAAUUUUAACCGUGUAACCAAUCAAAAUCAAUAAAACAUUUUAGAAAUGAAUUUUACCUGUGGAUAGAGUGGCUGUUGGUGCCAAUAUGGUGGAUGAGCUGGCCAAGACGACGGAGCCACCGCCGCAACGGCCGGAAUCGGAAACGUCCGAUGAGUAGUCGGUGGAAUGUUAGGCUUGUGUUUAGGCCACGUAGGAUGACCCCACACGUGCAAAGGCCUGAAGUGGCCGUGAUGCAAUGGUGUCACGUGCGGUGGAUAGCCUAAAGCAGGAGCCAUCCACGGCUUCUUCCCUCCUCCUCCUCCGGCAACUGCCACGGUGGCAUGUCGUCGGAGAUUCCAGCUGGCAGCUUCUGCUUCACGCGCUAGUAAAUGCUUCCGGUGUGACCUAUAUUUCUACCAUUACAAGAGAAACCCACAAAAUUAAUCUCAUGAAACGGAUCUGAGUUCGUGUGUAUUUUAAAUUGUUUUUUUUAAUAACUAAUAAUACCAUAAAUUCUGAUUGGUUAAGAAUAUAGUUAUUACAGGUUAGUAGAUGUAAAAUUUAGUCAAUAGAUUUUUAGAUGGUGAAAUACCUGGAGAUGGCUAGCGACAUUGUGACGAGUGAGAGAUUUAACAUUCAUAAUUUCCAAAAUCCGAGAUGGCACAGCCUUGUCUACCCCUAAUUGCUCCACCGCUUGUACGAAUUUCCGGUGUAAAUCCGGCGUCCAGUCCACCUGAUUUACCGGUAGCAAGAAACACAAAUUGUUUAGAUUGAUUAUUAUAUAAAAAACAAAAUUAUUUAUUUACUUACAACAAAUUAGAUGAUUAAUCUGCCAUGUGCCGAAAACAUAAAAAUUAAUCUUAAAAAUUAAAGUUUUUGCUGUUAGGAUAUUAAAUUGUUUAAUAUAGAAUAAUUUUUUUAUCUAAAAUCGACAAACUAGAUGAUCGAUCUGUCUUAUGCGAAAAACAUAAAAUUUUAUCUUAAAAUCAGAUAGUUUUAAGAUUAAGAUUUUGCUGCUAUAAAAUUAAACUGUUUCAUAAAUAUAUGUUUUUUUUAUAAAAAAAAAAAUCUAGAGGAAUUCAAAACAUACAUUUACGAUGUAUUGUGAAAAAAAUGUUGAACAAACCCAUAUUAUAAAAUCCUCUAAAAUACCCAAAAGUUUAUGGCAUUAAAUCAAAUCAAUGGAAUACUAUUAAGAAAAAGGUAAAAAUUUAGUAUUUUUUCAAAAGGAAAAAGGUGAUUUAAUAUGGUUAAUUAGGAAAAAUAUAUAGAUAGAAACAAACCUUGGUUUUCUUCUUAAUCUCGUUAUUAGCUGAUAAACAAUCUUUAUUUUUCUUCCCUUUACGUUUGCCUCUACGCACCGUUUUGUCCGUAUCACCACCAGCACCACCUUGAGGCUUAAACUCCCCACCGUCUCUCUCCGAUGUCUCCGACGCCGUCGAAGUGUUUCCCUCCAUUUCUUGUUCUUCAUCUCUUCCGCUGCCGCCGGAAUGUUCCCCGAGAAUCUCCAAAUCCGGCAAAACAUCGUCUCCAUCGAAUCCAAUGAAAAGGUCGUCGUAGUAAUCGAUCCCUUCAAGAAAAUCGAGACUACCGUCGUCGGAGAAAUCUCCGACCGUCUUGAAGUCCGGCAAGUCUUCCGUCGUAAAAUCUGCAAAAUCAGCCGCCAUGUGAUCGUCCUUUGAGGUGGUGUUGUUUACGACGAGGGGAGACACAGUUAACAUCGAAUGGUGAAAAUGGAAAAAAAAAUCAAGAUUCGAAAAUUUAGAGAAAACAAGAAUGACACACAGUGAAGUAGUAUUAUGUGUCUAUAUAUAUAUAUAUAUAUAGAUAUACAUAGACGUGUGUGUGAGUGUCUGUAUAGAUAUAGAUAGUUCCAAGGUUUAUUAAAAUCUUUAUAUGCCAUGUAUAUGUGUUGGUGGGACUGACAUGAGCAAAGCUGUGGUUGAGAGAUAUGACUGACAUAAAAAGAAAAUAUAAAUUCAAAGUAUAAUAGUUUUUUUCCAUUAAAAGAUUAGGAAAUUACGUUAUGUCCAUUUUUAUAAAUAUUUCUUUAAAAAUAUUAUGAAAUUUCUUUAAUUUAUAUUUAUAAAUUUCUUUAUAAAUAUAAGUUACAAUGAUACUGUAGAUGAAAAAAAUAUUAUAGAUGAAAACACUACUCAAAUAUUAAAAAAUUUAUCGCAAACAUUCAGAUUACUCGUUAAACAGAAAUCAUAAAAGUUUUCCGAAAUCCAAACUCGGUCCAAGUUCGAUCCAAUAUUAUUUAAAAAUGAAAAUCGAGUUGGGCCUUACGUAUAAUUAAAAUUAGGCUUUUUAUUAACGUAAAAAUACAUGUUUAUCUUAAAAUUUACGUUUAAAUUUUUGGGCCUCAAACAACCGUUUAUCUUGUUUAUCUUUUGGACCGAACUUGUCGAAACCAUAAACAAUUUUAACAAAAAAAAACAUUUCCAUAUGCCGAGAAUUUGUUUAAAAUAUUAAAUUUAAGAUUUGAUUUAAGAAGAUUAUUGUGCUAACUACUCUAAAUUUAUGACAAUCAUAUAAUUCACCAUAUUAACGGAUUAAACAUUUAGCUGUCAUGUUUCAUAUAUAGUGUAUAUGGUGCUAAUGUAGAAGCAGCAAUGCAUUAAUCAAAUUUGAUGGUAACAAUAUUGAUAACUAUUGUAGAUGUCUUAAAUUAGUAAAUAACUAAAUAUCUUAGGAUAUGAAAUUAUUUUAAAUGUUAUGUUUUUUUUUUAAAUAAACUAAAAUCACUGGGAUUAAGAAGUCAUAAAUAAUUUUUGACAUUUUCAUGAAAAUGUAUUGUUUUAAUACUUGACUAAAAAAAUCGAGCCAAUAAAAUAAAAGACAAAGUAGAAUGUAAAUUUUCAUAAUAGAAAUAAAAUUUAAGUUUUGCCUAUAAAUUUUCAAAAAAUAAGAUAAAAAGAAAUUUAAAAAUAUCAGGGAGUAAAAAUUAUUAUAGUUAGUAACGACAAUGGCAAGUAUUGGCAACGUACAAAGUUUUUUUGUUUAAGGACAUACACACAAAUAUUUGUCAUAUUAGUAACCAUAAUAUUUGUCGUAGUAGUAGUAACCAUAACAAUAAAUUUCAAUAACUCAUUAAAAGCCUAAAAGGGCAUCUCGCCAAACAUGUGUGUGUGUGUGUAAAUGCAAUAAGUUAACUUUUAUGGCUUAAACAGUUCUUAAAUAAAUAAUGAUGCGACGCGGCGUUACUGACUUAGUAACGUUAUUUUUCAUUAAUGAUGUUUUGUGUAACGUAAAAAAAAAUGAUGUUUUUGUGUACUUUUAUGUUUAAUGCGUGAAUGUGUAUUUCGUGGCAUUAAACUCAUUAACUCACUUGGCUACAUUCAAAGACUAAAUGACCAAUAUUUAGUAGAUGCCAAGAAUAAAGAGAAAAAUUACUACUCCUAGUCUCCUUUGUACACUUAUUACGUGGCUAUUUACCAUUGUCUUUUCUAAAUAAAAGUUCUUAAUUAUAACGCUCAAGUCUAUUUAUUUCUGCAUAUGGAUACAACAAAAUAAAUAAAUAUAAAAAUAAAGGAUAGGUUGGUUUUUACAUAAGCAACUCACUUAUCCGAAUGAAAAUAAAGGUAACUUUAAGUAUAUAGUUUUGUUAUUUACAUAAGCAACUCAUGAAUAUAAUAUAUUAAAUUUGUGGUGGGAUCUCAACCACAUCUUUUCUUUUUGGGUUAUAAAAGCUAAUUUCCAUUUUACAUCUGUGCGUGUGCCUAUAUAUAUUUGAAAUGAAUAAUGCAGUGCAACGGGGUUGGCUACAAUUUGAUUUUGGUCAUAUUUUUCUCCAUUUCUUUUAUUAAUUAUUAUUUUAUUCUAUGUGGACUCCAAUUAUUUUGAUAAUUUUAUUAUGUGAAAAAGUCAUGUCAUUCUCACUCUUCACCAGACGACAUCUGCUUCGUUUUCGUUUGUGAAAUGUUAAUAUACAUAUAUACCGGGGGGGGGGGGGAAACGAAUUAUUCAGCAAUAUGAAAAUAAAUUAAUAAUGCAACUAAAAAGAGAGGUCACAUUAUUUAUUAAAAUAAAAUAAGAAAAUGAAAUGAUAUGUACAGAUUUAUACAAAACAAAGAGACAAAAGAUGAUGGAGACGAGACGUUGAAACAAGUGGGGGCGUAGAAAUUGACCUUCUCGUGAGCCACAUUUGGAUAAUGUUCCUUUAAUCUCCUUUUUCUUCCCAUUUCAUUCAAUCUACAUGUCUUAUUAAAUAACUGUUGGGAUAGGGAAUUGAAUUCUAUCAAAAAGGUUGACUUGAAUAAGAAGAUUUUAAUUGUAUAGUAUUACCACUAUUUCGAAUUAUACAUAAAAGUGUUACCUUAAUACCAUUACGAUCAAUGAUAUACAAAAUUAUAUCUAAAUCAUAUAUUAGUUUGGUCAAUAUAUAGUCGUUGGGAUCGGUCUACUUAUGAGGGAGUUCACAAACGGACUCAAUAAGUUUUUUUUUUAUUUGCCACGAACCAGAAUAUAUGCUUGCGAAAUAGUAAGAGGUUAUAUCCAUAUUUUCGUUGCUGUCGCCGGAAAUUCAUAAGAGCCUAGAACUUCAAGAAUAAUAAGAAUAGUAUUUUUCGAAAAUUUAAAAACAAACACGAUGAUAUAUAUAUUUUUAAAAAUAGACUAUACUUGGUUGUAGGUAACAUAACAUAUAAAAGAAAAACCAUUGACUUCCAUUACUUAUUAAUAGUUCAAAACAUUCUUUUGCACCCAAAAAAAUACCAUUCCUAGCAAAUAUGAAUUAUUAUUAUAUUGCUAGUAGUCUAGUACUAAUUAAAUUGGUUGAUAGACAUAUUCAGAAAAGGAAGGCAAGAGUCAGAAGAGGGAAAAAGAGAGGAGAACAAAGCAACCAAAAUUUGACAACUUCACACCAAAAAGAAAAUGUUUCACAAAAGGGCAGACACCAAAAACAAAUCAUAUGUAGAGCGUUGUAAUAAUUGAAGCCUUUUUUUUGUUGUUCAAAUAAUAAUUGAAGCCUUUUCUUUACUCAGGAACAUUUAUAAACGUGUUAAUACCAAUAGGUUAAUUAAUAAGAGAUAAUACAUGAUUUGAAGGGAGAAUAGUCUUAUAACUGGACUUCAAACUUUGGAGCAAAUAUAAUACUUGAGUUAAUCGAAGAUCGUAGAAAAAAGAUCUACAAAUUGUAGAAAUUCUUUAUCGAUUAUAAAUGAUUUUACAGUUACCAUUGAAAGUUUUUCGUUGACAACAUGCAGCAUCAAAAUUUCAAAAUUCUUCUACAUGCAUGUAACAUCUUUAAAUGUAUGAAGAUGUUCAAGAAAAAAAUAUCUUUAAAUGCGUAUUUAGUUCGCAUUUAGUUUGAAUAAUGUCAUAUAUCUACUGCUUUAUCUUCGAAAACAAAAAUCUACUGCUUUAUCUAAAAUAAAACAAGCCUAUCAAGACUUUUUAAGAAGUAGAGCAAUUUUUGUUUUACCCGAAAACAUAACAGAUAAUGAUAGAAAAGUAAACAUGAAAUUUUCUUCUUACGACACAUUGAUGUAAUAAUGAUGAGGAUUAUGGAGGUACAAAAAUUUAAUGUCCGUCAAAUCAAAUUACACUGAUGCAUAAUUAGUGAGCGACAUGAGUUGUACCAUUUUUUGGCAUUUAGUUUUACUUCUAUCAAUAAAGAUUGAAUAUCAUUUUCAUGAAUGAAAUGACAUUUUCACAGAAAUGUAUAAAUCGUCGUACAUGUGUUUUUGGAAAUUCGAAAGAUAACUAUAAUGGCAACCUUACAGAUAUUUUAAUUCUUAUAGUAUCCUUAUUUCUUAAAGUUAUUUAAAAUCUAAGAGGGGUAUCAUAGUUGGUGUUUUUUUCCUUUUCUUUUUUGCUUUUUGUCUCACAUAUAAAACAUCUUUAAUUAUUUAGAUUUUUGUUUUUGUGGAUGGUGAACGGACGUAAGCGGGUGUAUAAUGGAGUGAAUGGGUAACUUUAAAUGUAACUAACAUUCUUUUUAUAAGUUGCACAUCACUAAGUACAAUAUUUUAUCCGCUAAAAGUUAUUCAAGUUCACUUUAUAUAAGCUAUAUUUGAUUUGAUCGGAGUUACACAACUCCAAAACAUACUAGAAAUUAUCCUCGACCAAUUUCUAGUCUGUGACUCGAGUUACUCAAUUCUGAAAUAGACUUUAAAUGGACACCGACCAUUUUGUUCAUAUUUAUAAUCUUAGAAUCUCACUUACAUAAUUUUUUUGGAAUCAGCGAACAUUUUGUCUCAGCUUUAAGACUAAAACGCUUCAAAACCUAAAUCUUACUCUCUUUCUAAAAAAAAACCUAAAUCUUUCUCGAUUUGGCUCUGACUUCUAAGUGUGUCCAGUGACUCCUCCUUAACCUUUAGAACAUAUUUAUAUCCACAGGCAUAAACUCUGGACUUAGAAUUUUUACACAAUUUCGUAUAUAUUGAGGUUCCUCUUUAAGUUUAUCAUUUCUUCAAAACAUUUAAGGGAAUAUUUAAAACUAUCGAGCUCGCAUUACAGCCAUGUCACACUUUUGUUUAUAAUAACGUCUAGCUACUACAUCGUCUAAUUGAACACAACUCUUAGCUUUUUUUACGCUCUAAUGCUUGACCGCAUCAUUAUGUUUAUAGACAAAUAAGACUGAUUUUAUUAUUGGAGGCAGAAAAUAGGACUUCAAUAUACAAUAGAGAGAAUGGAGAACGAAAAAGAAUAUAUGUUAACCCUAAACUGACUUUGAGCGUAACACUAGACCCAAUAAAAUUAAUUAUUAAAGUGUCCAAUAUAAGAACACCCACAUACCAUUGAUCCCAUGUUACCGUAAGCAAUUCACGAUACUAUUCAUGACAUAUCAACAGUUUUCGUCUUAGUCUUAGAGGAAGUGUUUGCAUUUCUUUUGUGCCCUGGUUCAAACUCUUUUUGGGACGGAGGGUUAUUCUUUAAAUAGAAAUAUCUAUAGGUUAAAUCUGAAUAUUGAAAGAGAUUAUGGACCAAAAGUAUUUGCAUUUUCUUCCGUUUUCUCGGUUGUUCAAGAAUGCAUAUUAUUGGCAUUCUUUGAUAUUAUUUAUGUUUUACCUCAUUGUUCUUAAACGACAGAUUAAAAUCGUUGUAAUAGUGGUAACUCUGCGAUUGGUCGAAUUUGGCAUCCUCCACGUUAUUUUUUUAAAUGUCAGACUCAUUGACUGUGACUUGUUUGGAACAUUUAAAUCGAAAUGAAGUAAAGAGCACUUAAACCAUCUCUAAUUCUACUCCAUUUCCAUCUCUAAUUCUACUCCAUUUCCACCUCUAAUUCUACUCCAUUUCCACCUCCAAACUCUAUUUUGGAGUAAAAUCCUCUCCAACCCUAUUCUAUUUCCAUUUCUAAAAUAGAGAUAUGAACAGUGCGCCUCUAUAUAUGGAGUGACACUAUUCAUCACCUCCAUUUUUAAGUGGACAUUUUUUUAUUUAUAAUUUGAUCCCUCAUCUAUUAUAUGUUAUCAGAUAAAUCUUAAACAAAAGCUUUAUUAUUUUUUACAUAUAAAUUUUAUUACACAACAAUAAAAAUAUUUUGCUACACAACAAGAAGCAUGUAGGAAAUAUGUAGAAUGUGCAUUUGGAGUUUUGCAAUCGCGUUUUGCUAUUGUGAAAGGUCCAGUUUGUUUUUGGCAAAAGAAUGUGCUACAUGAUAUAAUGACUACAUAUGUAAUUUUACAUAACAUAAUAAUCGAAGAUGAACGUUAUCUUGAUGCUCCGAUUGAAGUUAGAAUAGAAGCUUAACCUCCAGAGAUUCAAUUGGCAGAAGAUGAUAAUAUUCGAUUCCAAGAGUUUCUUGCUCGAUAUAGAGAAAUCAAAGAUAAAGAAGCUCAUUUUUCACUUUGAAAUGCAUUAAUUGAUUAUUUGUGAGAAAAAUAUACUAAUGAUGAUAAUUAAAUUAAAUUAUGUUAUCUUCUUAAGUUAUUAUUGUUUUUAUUAUGUUGUGUAAUGUAAUAUAUUUAUUUAUAAAAAUUUCUUAAAUUAAAAUAACAAUUUUCAUUUUAUUGAAAAUAAAUCACUAAAAUAAAGUUAUUGAAUUCAAUUCAUAAGUUUGAUAAAUAAAAGGGUAUAUCUGUAAAUAAUUUAUAAAUUAAGUAGAAAAAAAAUAUACUUAAAAUAUUCUUUAUGAAGUAAAAAUAGAGUAGGGUUGGAGAGAAACCAAUUCCAUUAUGGAGUUACUCCAUUUAUAAAGUAAAAAUGGAGUAAUGAGUUGGAGAUGCUCUUAAGAUCUUAGAUCAGAAGAUUGUAUUUUGAAAAAAAAAAUGAACAUCAGACUCGAUCAAUCAAUUCGUAUUUUGUGCUAUCCAAAGAAUAUUAACGAAAAAGAAAGAAUAUAUACGUUUUUAACAAACAAGAAAUUAAAGAAUAUAUAUUAACGAAUUUAAACUACUUUGAAAUGAUGAAUAGAAAAAUUUUAAAUGUUAUUUCGUAGCUCGGGUCCUUGUUUAUAGUAAAGCAAUAAUAGAAAAGAAAAUCUUUAGCCAAAAAGAAAAAUAAUAGAAAAGCAAUGAAAUGUUCAAAAAUAUAUAAAUAGAAAAGAAAUUAGACCACACAAAUCACCGUGGAGUAAAACAAUUAAUUUGACAUAAGGAUUAUGGACUUUAAUCAAUUUAUCUUAUCAAUUUUGUUUCUUUUAUGCAAUCCGUACUUGUUUCAUUGUUUCCAACCGGUUAUCUUUCGCAAUCUCCUAUUUUUUUAAUGGAUUCAUCAACACUAGAGUUUUUUUUUAAUAAUUCUUUUUGGUAUUUUUGAAUCUCGAAAAACUAUCUGCAAAUUCAGGAAUCUGAUAUUGCCAGAACAAUAUUUUCGUAGAUGUACUUAUUAGAGAUAGUGGACGGACAUUUUAAAAGAUGCAAAAUAUAUUGCUAUAUUUAUACAGGGGAAAAAAAACUUUAUGCUAGAUUUGUUCAAAACAUUGGUACAAUUUUAUAUCAAAUACGUGAAGAAAACAUGUCAGAUAAAAUAAUUCUGAAAUUGUCCAUUUCCUCUCUGAUCAUAGUUUCUUUAACUAGUCAGGUCGAUUUUACAAGUUACAACCAUCUCAAAUGCAUUGUACCAGGUAAUACCCUUUCUAGCUUUGCGUCAAAAGUACCAUAAUUUUUUUCUUCUAUCAAAAAUCAGACAAUACGAAAAGAAAAAAGUUUAAAUUUGUCUUUCAAUGAUUAAGAAAAGGUCCUAAAUUAUAUAUAAGACACCUUCUUAAAUUGCAAGAAUCUUUAAAAAAAAAAUCAUAUCUAUGAUUAAAAUAGAUGUUUCCGUUGUAUGAUUGAGAUGAUAUUUCUAUUAUUAAAAAAUCAAAGAGAAGGUGUGAUAUGUGGAGAAGAAGGUUUUGUCUUUCUUCUGUGUCAUGAGGCGAGCAGUUCUUUGUCUCGAAGUUCCAUAGAGAGACAUAUGCACGACGUCGUUCUCAGUCCCACUCUCUAUCUCUCUUUACAGAUCCAAACUGUCUGUUUUUUUUUUUUUUCUUUUUUCUUUUACUUACAAGGCAACACAACACCACCAACAAUAAUGUAACAAAGUUACAAAUUUUACAAUCACAAUAGCAACUAGUUAACUACCAUGAUGGGUACAUAUAUUUCACAGCUCGGUUUUAUAGUGUCAUACCCCAUAUUUGAAAGAAAUACUGGUCCAUAAAAGAAAAUUGAUAUAAGUAUCUCUGAACUCUUCGCACUAAUCUUUUGAUGAAACAAAUAGAUAUGUAUUUGCAUAAUAAUAGAAACUUUCUAGUAAUAUGGUGCAUGAAAACAGCAUCGAACUUUGAGUAAGAAAUUAAAAUGAUAUCUCUGAUACUAAAUGGCGUAGCCGAAACUUUAAUAGAUAGAAUAAUAAUCUGUUGAUUUUUGAAAAUUUUCGAACAACUAAGAAAAAUCAAAAAUUAUUCGUUUAGUGUAAAAAUCUCGAAUUAAUCAAAACUUUGAGAUCUAUGCAAAUCUACCGAAAACACAAAAACUGAAUACAACCUUAGCCUUAGGCGUAAAAAAACCGAAUAACUGAAUAAAACCAGUCCACAGAUAAAAUUUUUGCGGUAAACCAAAUCAACUCAAUUCAAGAUUUUGAGAUAUUGUAAGCUGAUUUAUGCUGAUUUAGAGUUGGUAUUUACUUAUUAAGUUUUGCUGGUCAACCCUGCGACCGAACCGAACGGAUCAUUUCCUCUCCAUUGUGUUUAGCGAUUAACCUCGAAUCAGACAGCAAAAUCAGUGUUUGAAGAGAUAAAAAGAUCACAAUUGAUGCCACCUUAAUUAAAAAAAAAAAAAGGGUUAAUAAAAAUGUGAACUGUUAAAUUCAGCGUUUUGUUUCUGUUCUAAUAAUCAGUCACUGAAAAUCGGAAGAAGAUGAAGAUGUUAGAUCAGGAUCUUCGAAAGGAAACCUUUUCCGAGCUGCAUCAAUACUAAUCUCCGGCUGCUCUCUACCAUCAAAAUCCUCGUUUACAUAAUCUUCAUCUUCAUCAUCAACAUUCACUUCCAUUUUCAUAUCUUCUUCUUCUUCUUCAUCUUCUUCUUCGUAUUCAUCAUCACUAUGUAAACUAAACUCACCCCUACCUACUAAUUUACUUGAUUCCCCAUCAAAUGGAGCCAUGACAUCGUCAUAGUCCUCCUUAUACUGAAACGACCUCCCCGAGCUGCUAGCUUCUCCAUCAUCAUCCUCCUGCAAUUCAGGCGUCUCAAUCCAAUCAUCAUUAUCAGGAAAAGCGUUCUUGGUGGUUACAACAACUUCUUUAGCUCGUCUUCCUCCUCCUCCUCCUCCUCCUUCAUUAGAUAUACCGAGCGUUCCUUUUGUCGGUCUCAACCGGCUUCUGGUGCUGCUCCGCCGUCCGUUCUUUCUACCCCCGCCGCGAGGUUGAGCUCUUGGUCUCAACAUUGUUUCACCAUUUGAAUUUGCUCCACCUCUUGGUGGUCUACCAGAAGAAGAAGCCAACGACGGUUUCUUGCCACGGGAACGAGGCCGGCCACGUCCUCGUGGUGGUCGACCUCGACCAGAGCUAGAGACACCAGGCUCUGUCCAGUUCUCUUCGUGCGUGUAAGCAACUUGCACCGGAGUCGUCUCCAUUGCAUCGUUUUCUUGGACAUUACUCAGAAACUUCGUCUCCAAAUCCUUGUGAACAAGAAAACUUUCAGUGCUUGAAAUAUUCAAGAAAAACUAUAAGCAUUCGUUGUUUAGUAUAUACUUACGACGAAAUUCUUGGGAUUCUUUGUCUUUUGAGAUCGUGUUUUGAUCAGGUGGUGUAACAUUGAAGCUGUCGAGUUCAAAGAGUCUCAAAGCUACACUCCCGUUGUCUUUGGUACCCACGGUAGUACAUUACCGGAACAAGAGAGAUCGCUGGCGAGAGAUUCCUCCGGUAAACCCAAGAGUUCUGAAGCUGUUUCGAAGUUUGAAGACAGGAAGUCUCUCUUUAGUGCUACCUCUAAAGCUGUGAGAACCUGAAACAGGCGGAUCAGAAUUGUCAAGAGAAGAUAAAAUUUGAAUCAAUGGAGGAUAUUUGGAAACACGAACCUGAUGAAGUUCUUCAGGGGAACUUGAUGACAACAGCUUCAGACCCCAUGACUUUCUUAGAUUCUCGGUCCAAAAAGCUUGAAGUCCUUCUGGUGGAAGAGAAGCCUGUCCACGGUAGAAGAAGAAAUCUCACAUUAGUGCAUAUUUCUAAGUUGGGAUGAUGGAAAAAGUAUAGAGAGAAAAAACUCACUUCGAUAAGUGCUAAUUGAAUCUUGAGCAGUCUUAUUCUCAGAGGAGACGAGACCGAGCCACGCAAGAUAAACAAAGGAUCUCCUCCUUUCGAGUUAUCACCGAGCUGAGCCACUUGUUCAGCAAAACACAGCUCACCAACAUUCGAACCACCAUGCAUCUGACCACAACUCGGACAACAAACAUCCUCAACAAAGUUCAACUCCGCACAGAUUCUGCAAAUGCGUAAAAGCGGACCGCUUGUCUUGGCUCCGUACUUAAACGCAGAUAAUGCACCAGGAUGCAGCGUGUUAUCCCACAUCCACUUCUCAAAGCUCCGGAAUCUCGCCAUGGCGUUAUGAUGAUCCCCUAGCUCCAUCUUAAACGUCGUGGAGAUCUCUUCAGUAUCGGAAUCUAAGCUAGAAGAUAUGGAACAAUCCACAUUCCUCCUCACUGCAUCCUUGAAAGAUGCUUCGAUCUUCAGCAACAUGAAGUGUAGAUGUGACUCUCGUACACCUCGAACAUCUAGUGACUUCACCAAAUAGUCAAAACCCUGAAAAAAAACCAAGAACCAAAGAAACUUCAAUGAUUGUUAUCGACAAAUGUUCACAUUUUAAGCUUCUUUGUAUAUACCUCUUCGGAAUCAAUGAGCCUCCAUCGACCAUCCUGAAGUUCAACAAAUAUCCUUCCACAACCGGGAUCGUUCCGAGAUGCAGACGCCGAAAACCGCCAGUAACGGUUACGCCUUCGAUCUUGACCCAGUGGAAGUGAUCUAUAUACAUAUAGCUCUUCUGCUUUAUAUCCAACAUACGCUUUUAACUGUGCACGGAGCCUUUCCCUGUCCGCUGUGUAACCCUGCUGAUACUGCAAACUCUCCAUUCCAGAUACAUUUUCUUGCGAUGGCAAGCUUGGUCCUGUGUUCACAUCGAUCUGUGGAAGACUCAAUGGGUCCUGUGAGGAGAUUGGAGUCACAUCAGCUGAUGAGCUUUCUUGGUUUCCUGAUGCAGCGGUUGCGUUAUUAAGCAGCCCCGGCUUUGGCGUUGGGUAUGAAAGGUAGUUGGCUCGAAUCAAAGACUCUUCUUUCCAUCGUUUGUCGAGUUGUACUUCACCCCACAUUUGUUUCUUUAACGCACUCGCAACUUCCAAACGUUCCUGCAAACAACACACACAAGAACCUGGUUAUGGUCAAAGACUGAAGACAAUGCACAAGUUUAAGAAUUAUUCUAGUAUUAGUAGUAGUAAAUACCUCAAGGGCGAUCCGGAUUGUGUUUCCUUCGAUGGCGAUACCAAUGAGAGCAACAAGUGCAUUUAAACGCUCCUGGACGCUGAGAUUCGAGUAGUCUCCUUCCACAAGUCCUUGAACCCACUGUUCCCCAAGUUUACUUUCAUCAAAACAAGCAUUGUCCUCAUCGUUGGCAACCGGAUCCUCUAGAGCUUCAUUUGCUAAACUAUCAUCUCUUUUCUCAUCUUUAAGAGGCAGUACCUGUUCGGUUUUCAUGGUAACUGUUUCCAAUUUCCCAUUUUCCAACACAGGUUCGACACCGGCUAAGUUUUCUAUCUCCACAGCAUCAGGAUCUACCUUUUUAAGAUUCAAAUCAACCUCUGGAUCAUCUGCGACAUCGCUUUCGGAAUCUUCAUCCCUCUCAGCGUCAUCAACAUCUUCUACAUCGGUAACACCACUUUUAAACAUGCGUAUUCUCUCCCUCGCUUCAGCGAAUAUAGUCUCAGCAUCACCUACAUCUUUUCUAUAGGAAGCACGCACACAGUAAGUAGAAGGAGCUACUCUCUCAAAGAGUUUCGAAUCCCGAGACAACGCAGCAGCAACCGAGGCUUCAGGUGUCCUGCUCGUCGUUAGAUCCCUCAAUCCUGAUUUCUAUAAUCAAUAUGAAAGAAAGCGAGAAAUGAAACAUAAGCUGCUUAAAUAAGCUUCAAGAGAAAAACAAUAUUUUAGACCAUCUUUUUUUACCUGAAUCUUAUCUGCAACAUCGAGAAUUGUCAAACCCUUUUCGCCUUCAAUAGACAGAACAUGAAAGGCAGCAAAUUUAACUGUGCCUGGAGUCAAACGAUGCCGUGAACGUCGCGGAUUAGAAAGACCUCUUUCUUGCAUCUUGGCAAAAGCAUUCUCAGCUGCUACUCCAACCCUUAAGUUGAAAAUCACAUUCUCAGAGUUGUUGGCCUACACUUGAGAGAAAAUAAGGUAAAUAGAAGUCGCACAACAUUAUAAAAAAAAAACGAAAUAGCAGAAAACACAGAUUUACACACCUCGUUGUCAUCAUGAACAGACAUGGUUUUAAUGUCUGGUUUCUUCAGUUGUGGUCCUAACCCAGCAGAGAGAGCGAGUUGCCUCAAGAUUUCAGGCCAAGUAAAAACAUUCAAGUUUCUUCUCCAGUUGCGUAUAUCAAAACCCCAAGCAUAUGCCUAAAAUACAAAAUUGCAUCAUACUAAACAAUAGGAGGAAUAGGAGAGAUACCUUACAUUAUAAUCGAAAUCAUACUAAAAAGGAAUAAAACUUACACCCUCCACGACAUGGGGAUGACCACCUCCGGGAUUAGCUGCAGCGUUCUGGUUUGCUCCAACGCCCAUUGAUAUUGUUCUUGCAACACCUUCAAUAUCUUUGAUUAUAGUCUUCAAAAGAACAAUGUGUAUCUCUCCCAUUAGCCGUGGGUCCUACAUGACCAACAAGGUAUAAAGCUGAGAAAAGCAAAUCUUGUUUAGAUCUGAAUGCAGAGAUACUAGAAAGAGAGGAACACUUACAUAGUCAUGAAAUGAUUGAGUAAACUCAUCCAGAGUAAAUGGCCAAAGGCCAAGAACAUCCGCAAAAGUGAUUAAGAAUCUCCACACCUAAAUGUUUUCAACCAAAUCAAAACAUUUGUUACUGAUAUUCACAUUAAGAAUGAAAAAAUAAGGAUAAAUUAGAUGGAAACACUCACCAUAAGAAGAUUUGCAACAUUCUCAUCAGAACCAUUCCAUGGUUUGACAGCAAAAGGCUUUUUCAAUUUUACAGAUGUUGGGGGAAAUAUCACCUUCUUAUCUGAAAGAAUAUACUCCAUCAGAUGGAUAUAAGACACAACUCCCAUAAAACAGCUGAAAAAACUAAAUGUUGACGAGUUUUUUUUUUUUUAAAAAAAACAGUGAUUCACCUUUAUAUGCCUCGAGGUUCUGUAAAGUUUCAAAGUCAAGAGCGAGCAUUGAAGGCAAUCCUUUGGUUAGUGCAGCGACCUCCAUGAGUUCUAAUCGCUCGUCUUCAAUAAGUUCCAUAGACUCCUUUGCGAUCUUACGAGCAAUGGCCCUCUCAUUAGCAGCUUUAAGCCUAGCAACCUCUUUUACCCUACGCAUCUCUUCUUUUUGCCGCAUUUUCUCAGCCUAAUCCACAUUUGAGAGAUUGCCAAUGAGGAAAACAACAUUUCACCCCAAGUUCUCAAGAAAUGUAAAAGGUAGCGCAUAUGUCACAUUACCCUGAUUGUUUCUUUCUUCAAGAACUUCUCUCUGCGCUGCCUCUCUCGCAACUGCUCUUUGAGGUAUCUCUCUUCCUCUCUCUGCCUUUCACGUAAAAGCCGUUCUUCCUCUUUCCGUCUUUCACGGUCUUGUCUCUCCAUUUCUUUCCUCAUUUGCUCCUCUCUCUACAUAAUCAACUUACACACUGAGGAAAAGAAACAGCAAAAACAUCUAGUAAAGUAUGUGCUUAGCUUAAACCGAGCAAGACCUUUCGUCUCAGCAUAUCUUGUUUUUCAAGCUCUUUUCGGAUCCUCUUCUCAUGAGCCUCGACUUCCCGAGAUAUUCUUGCUUCUUCACUCUACAAUGAGUAUGUAUAAAAAACCGAUGAGGAAGAACUCAGUGAUAAUAAAACAAUGUAAAUGCACAAGUAAUUCUUUACCAUACCUUGCGUUUUCUCUCCAGUUGCAUAACAUCAUCCUCACCAUCAUCAUCAUCAUUACCAACUUCUCUCUCUGAUUGUAUAAAUGGAUCCUCAUGAUUUAAGUUUCCAGUAUCCACGUAGGGUUUCUGAUACGGUGAGUCAUAUUCUCCCAAAUUAGGCGAAAAGACGUGUUUCCCCUGAUGAGUUGAAAGAUUCAAGUUUGGUAUCCUCGGUGAAACUUUAUAGUCAUCACGAUGUCCAGCAGACACUGAUGAAGCCCUCAAAACCGAAGCAUCAAGUGGAACUCCAAAAUGGUGCGAAGGAGAAGCUCUUUCUGAAUGAUCAGUCUUUGAAGAUGGUUGUUCAGGAAGGAACUGAUAUUCACGAAUGGUCCUCACAGACUCCUAAAAAUGGGAAGAUAAACAAAUUUGUCAAGAACGAACAAGAACGACAAAAACAGCACAAAUCAUGAGACAAAGCUAAUGGACAAAAACUAACUUUAACUGGCUUGACAUCAGACCGGACAUAUAUGUUGGUCUCAAAAGCUUGCCUAGCCGCCUUCCUAUGGCUUGGCAACUCUGCUUCACACCAAACAAGAUUAUUAAAAAAAACAAUUUUCAAACAUUUCUAUUGAUUCUAAGCAGCUCCAUGGUAAGAAGCAGAAUGUAGUAUAUACCUAUAGGCAUACCAAAUGCACCAGGAGGCAAAGGAUCAAACUCCAUUCCAAGAAUCGGUCCGUUAUCUCUCAAGCGCUCUCCUAAUUGAGCUUCCACAUAACCAACGGCUCUAACCUCGGCGGAAGACGGUUCACUAAACCGCCUAACCACCGUUAAACCACCACCACCACCGCCUCGCGGGGUUCUUCUGGAAUCAAGCUCGUGACCAAACGAGUUAUGCUCAUUUCCCGCCACCAAAUCACCGGCAUUGACGGCUGGUAUAGAGGAUUCAACCGCCGUUGACGACGCCGGCGGCUCUUUACGCUGGCGUUUGCUCGGAGUUGUGGAUUUCCGGUCUUUAAGCCGCCGGUGACAGAACCACAUCUGUAACUGCCUAUCGGAGAGAUUUAGUUUGACUGAGAGAUCCGCUCUUAUUGCUUCCGAAGGAUAAGGCUCAGCUGCAAAAUUAAGCAAACAUUAUAGUGAAAUUAAACACAAAACUCACUGAUAUAACAACAAAUUAAGAACAAUGAAGUAAACACAAAACAAAAACAAAAACACAAACAAACCUGCGUAAGUAUUUUCAAGAACUUCAAGCUGAGCAGCUGUUUUCAUUUUCCGUUUAGACUUACUCUCAGCACCUUCAGGUGUUUUGUUCUUCUCUGCUUCUUCACACACACCUUCCAUUUUUCUACACAGUGAAAUCCCCAAAUCAGGAAUUAGAAAAAAAUCGAAACCCUAGAAUCACAAACACUUGUGAAUCGAUUUGGGAGGAAAAAAAAACUUACUUUGUUAAACUUCAAUGAACAAGAUAGAUCAAAAAGCUUGAGCAGAGGAGUAAAAUUCGUGGGGGAAAGGAGGAAUCAAAGGAAUGGUUUUUCUGGGUUUUUCUCUGAAGAGAGGAGGAAGAAACAGCAUCACGAACACCGUUGGAUUUUUGGUUUGACGAGGAAAAUAAAGAGAAGAAGUAAAGAAGAAUAAAAAUCCACCAAAAAAACCAAAAAGAAAAACUUUCUCUCUCUACGAGACUACUACGAAUGUGAUUGGGAAUUUCGCAAAUAAAAUCAAAAACAUUAAACAUUAUUAACAACGGAGAGAGCAAUAUCGACAAGAUCAUUAAUAAACCCCGAGAGAAAAAAAAAUUAUAUAUUAAAAGAAAUAAAAAGAAGAAGAAAUCACGAAGAAGAACAGCAAUCGAACGAACAACACCAACAGUGCUUGUCUGACUAUUCGUUUCCAUCAUCACACACAAAAAUUAAUUUUCCUUUUCUUUUUCUUUUCUUUUGGUUUUUCUUCCGUAAUUUUUUAGGAAUAAAUAAAAGAAAAUUGAUAGUGUUGAUUGAAUUGCGAUUUGAUUGAGAGUAUGAAGAAAAAAAAAUUUAAUUAAAAGUUUUUGAGAGUUUGGUGAAUUGUCAGGUGCUCAUUUUUUUUUUUUUCUUUUUUUUCUUUGGUGGGUUUUCGGGAAAAUCGAGGGAGUUUGAUUUCAGGACUCGGGUUUCUCUCUCUUUCGAUUGUUUCUCUCGUUGAAUAUCAAAUUAAAUUUGUUUUUAAAUAAUUUUAUUUUCGGACCUAUUUUGUCGCUUAUGUUUGUAUCUAGACCCGACUUUGCUAUUUAUGUAAUAAUAAAAUCCAAGAUGGCUCAUCGAUUCUGUUCUAUAUUAAAGCCCGUCAUCUAAAUGAGCCCAUAUAUAAGCCCGUUUAUUAUUGUGACCUGACUAAAACUGAUAUGUCCUUUUUUUUUUCUAACUACAACAAAAUGUUAUGUCAAUUUAGUUUAAACUGUUACAGUUUUGUUUAUUUCUUUUUUUUCAUAGAGGUCAUCUGUCUUUGGUUCAUUGAUGUACAAGUAAGGAUUUCUUCUUUUUAGAUGGAAGAAUAUCUAAUCAAAGUAUAUGUUUUGUAAACGUACAAAAGCUACAGAAAGGCGUUAUGAUUAUGGAUUGUUAUGAUAUAUUAUAUGAUUAUAAAUUGUUAUGAGAUAUUCUAUGAUUAGGGAUGGAUUGCUUAUUUGAAUUAAUAAUUAAAAAGAAAUUUAGAUACUUACAUUUAUUGGAUAUGUGUUUUUAACUCAUUUGACAUAGAUACAUCAUUUUUGACAUAGAUCCCUUCUUAAACAAAAUUAACAAAAGAAACAUAAUUUAGAUUUUUUUUUAAAGUAUAAUUACUCGCCUGCUGGUGCUGUCCGUUCUUAGGUUUAUAGAGGCCUAAGACAAAUUUAAAAAUAUAGUUUUUAUUAUAAAAAAAGAAAUACUUUUAAAGUUAUAAUAUUGAAAUGAAACAUACAAAAAUAAUGAUAUUAUAGAAAAUUCUAAAUUACAAAUUUUCUCACUUUUCUUACAAAAACAUUUAUCAGAUUUUCCUAUAGAUAUGAUAAUCAGACUAUUUAGUUUCUCUUAUAAUAAUAAAAUGUUUAAUAUUAUAGAAUUUUUCAAACAAAUAAACUAAAUAUAUAUAUUAAAUUAUAUACAUAAGCCUAUAUUUAAAAUUAAAAUGGUCCUAUAAUUUUGUUAAUUUUGAUGUGACCUAAGACCAUUGCCUAAUUUUUUGUUCAUAAGGCACGGCACUAUGGUGCACCACCGGACCAAGUCGCAUAUAUCUUCAAGAAAAAUAAGUUAGAUCAGUCAAAUAAACUCAGAGAUUUUAAUUAUAGAUUCCACAACUUAUAUAGGAUAUACAAUAAUAUUAUAUCAUUAAUGCAUAUUAUCCAUAACUAGAUUAAUAUCUGCGCAUACGUGCAAGUUUUCUUGGCAUAAAUUUUGUUAACGACAAAACCAUACAUAUUUGAUAUUGUAUUUGCUUAUUUGAAAUCCAAUACUCUUUGCUAUUAACUACCUAACCAGUUACAAUACUAAAUAAUACAAUUUGAAAUAAUUAGUAAACCAUUUGUCUCCAUCCAUCGGCCGAAGAGCAUACUAACUCGUGAUGUAACCACAUAUGACAAGUUGUUAGCUCUAAGUGGUCCAAAUCUUAAGACAACAAAACCUGCACAUAAUACUUUGGAAAACCUAACCACAAAUUCAACCACUAACACUUCUAUUUUCAAAUGUUAAAGGGAAUCCCUAUGAAUUUUCUUAGAAUCUGUUGAUCUUUCAUUAAAUCAUAGUAACAUUCCUAACCAAGAACACAAAACAUAUGUUAACAUUGCUGCAUCAGUUAUGUGAGCAAUUCAACACUUGUAAUCCGCAUAGCACAUAUUUGUGAGUCAAAAAUAAUACCCCAACAAUUUAACAAUUGUCGUUGUUUGAGAUUUAAAAGUUUUUUCGAAACAAAAAUGUUCUGCCACCCUUAAUUCCAAAGUAGACAUUGGUGACAUCCAUGAAAGGAAUUUGACAAAAGCGAACACCUUGGUUACUUGAUCUGCAAGAAAGAAGAUUUGAUGGACUCACAUAAGCCGAUGUUUGGUGGUGAGACGAAGAAAGGAGUAGACUUAGAAGCCCCUGGAAAUAAGAUGUAAUAGAACCUGGUAUGGAUUUUCUACAGUAACAUAACACACAAACGAUCUGAUCCUAGACGUGGUGAAUUAAUGGAAGCGCUCACAUUCUCUUCAUACGGGUUAGAUCAGAUCUCUCCAGUAGUUUAAUUUGUACAGAGGACUUAGACAGCCACAGUGGAGAUAAUGGGCCGCUGAGAUCUGCUUACCAAAGAGUCGAACUUCUCAGGACAUUCGACAGCGGAGAAGGUGGCGUAUAAGCUGCGCGACGGCUUAAUUUUCACAAUCUUUGUCAUAACAGAUCCCACAACGGAAGCUAACUGAUCAAUCUAUAUUCCCUCAAUCCUCCUGCUGCCGCCAAGCUUGAAGUUAUUUCCCUGAAUUGGGCCUAAACAUAGAAACAUGGAAAAUCAGAGAAGAAGUUUUCUUCUCAGAAUGUUCAUUCAUCCGGCGCAAAAGAAUAUGAGGCCUAUUCCUAUUCCAAACUGAGAUCCUCCCCUAAAAAAAUGAUAGAUAUCGGCCGCAAACCCUUUUAGGUUAAUUUUUUGACGAUAAAAAUUAUAUGUUUUCAUUUUUAUUACAGAGCAAAGAGUCAAGAAAUGUAUGAUGAUUUUAUUUAUUAUUUUUUUUUUUGGAAUUUGAUGUGACACGUGACAUUCUCCCCCACGUGGUGAUCAACUAGAGAGAGUUUGCCAAAUUUUAUAUAUAAGGUUUCACAACUUAGGGCAUAUAUACAUAUCCUUAAUGCAUAUUAUCUAUAAUUUCAUGAUUUAGGGCAUACAUACAUAUUAUCCUUAAUUAGCAUGUUUCAAAAUCUUAAAAAAUAAAAAAAAAACAGAAAAAAAAAAGAAAUCCUUAAUCUAUAAGAUAUUGUGUGAUGAUGAUGACGGAAGUUUGAUAAAGAUGUAAGACCGUGAAAAUCAGAUUGAAGUAACGGAAAAAAUAAUAAUAUAAACGAUAUGCUAAGGUAAGCGAAUCACUACAAGAAAUCACCCAUUUCACAACGACCAUAUUCGUCAUUAAAUCGUUGUGAAAUGAGGUUUGCGACGAUUUAACGACGAAUGCCAGUUCGUCGUAUAUUGAUCGUCGUAAUUGAUAAUUCGUCGUAAAAUCGUUUUUAAUUAGCGAGAAACAAAUAAUCGUCGUUAAAUCGUCGGGAAGCAUUCGUCGUAACUUCGUUGUAAAUGUAACGACGAUUGAACGACGAAAAGCUUUCGUCGGCAAUUCGUUGCAAAUUCGUGGCAGAAGAAUCGUCCUUAAGUCGUCGUUACUCUAGAUUCGUCCCUAAUUCGUCGUAAACAUUUCGUUCUGAAUUCGUCGUAAUUUACAACGAUUUAAGGACGAAUGUUUAUUUAUUUUUUAAACCCAAAUUUUUUUGAAAUAAUAAUUAAAAAUUAAAUAAAUUAAUUUAAAAAUAAAUAUGAAAAUAAAAUUAUUUUAAUUAAAAACAAAACAAAAUAUUUUUAUUACAACAAAAAGAAAUCAUAUUUAAGCAUCAUAAUCAAUUUCGAAAUCUCCAAAAUCGUCCGCAAGAUUAGUAACCGGAGCAUGUGAUUGAUCUUCUCCACCACUUGUAGAUGCUCCUUGAGUACCCGCAGCUUGUGUCGCUCCACCACUUGUAGAUGCUCCUUGAGUACCCGCAGCUUGUGUCGCCACUCUCCGUGCCGCCAAUCUUGCCUCCUUUUCCGCUGCACGUUUUUGACGUUUUGCUCGCAAGGCAUUUGCAACAUCUCUGGGAUUGAGAGGGCAAUGAUAUCGAAGAUGGAAUCAUACUCCAAAAGCUCCUCCUGAACUUCCUGGUGAUAUGCGCUUUGAGACUCCUCUAAAGUUGCAAUCUUGGCCCGUAGAACGACUGGAUCAUCUUCUGGUCCUCGGCGGCGUGGUGCGGAUGACGAAGCACUCGGGACGUCUCUAAUAGAUCCCAUCCCUACAACUUUUCCCUUCUUUUUCGGAGCGACCUACAUUUUAAAGUAAAUUUUAUUAGAAAUCAAAAUAUUAAAAAUAAAUAAAUAAAUAAUAUUUAUUAAAUAUAUAUACCUCCUCGAAGAUUUGAUCGAUCUCACGAGUAGUCAACCCUCCGGAUUGAACUGAAGAACCUCCGGGAGAUAGUUGGGUCUCUCGCUCAGCAACCUUUGAAGUAACUUCAUUAUAGAGCUGCUCGGCUUUCUCAGAAACGAAUGCACCAUCCUUUUUCCGAUGACACUUCGCGAAAACCUCUGUCAUAGGCGGGAGUUCGCCUCCAUUCUUGGCAGCCUAAAAAAAGUUAUUAUAAUUAAUUAAUAUCAAAUACCAUAAAUUAAUUAUCUAAUAUAAAUAAUAAUUUCAUACCAUCUGCAGGCGAACACCUCCAAAUGGUGUUUGGCCAGCUGUAUGAGGAAAAGCCUUCUUCUGACCGUUUGUAUCAGUCGCAUUGCGGGAAAUAGAACACUUUUCCGCAACCUCCUGCGAAUGCGGAAUCAUCCAAUAUCGCACCAAACCCUUCCACACCUCAGGGUCCAUGCUAAUAGGCUUUGCAUCAUCGCCAAUGACUUUCCACGAUUUUUUCCAAUCGGAAACCGUGCCCAUAAGUCGAAGCUUCACUCUCUCGGUAAAGAGUCUCUCCACCUCGCUAUGGUCUUUCUCAUCCCAGUCAUACCGUUGCUACAAAAAAACCACAUAAUUACAUUUCGGAAUAAUUGAAAUAAUUAUUUUAAUAAACUACAAAUUAUUUUAAAAAUUGAUUUUACCGCAAAUAUUUUGAACCAUGUGUCAAUGGUAUGCUGUGAAAGCUGGGUGAGAUUGCAAUGAGGCUCCACAAAGUAGGACUUAAUAAUAUCAGAAACCGUGCGGCCAACCUUGCUAUGAAUGCCGAACCUAAAACAACAAUAUAGAAAUUUAUAUAAGUAAAAUUAAUUAAAAUAAAUAUAAUUUAUAAUAAUAAAACAUAUAUAUUUUAACUAAUCUAUACAUACCAAUGUGCAUCCGGCGGAAGAUCAGGAUCUAGCUUAGUAAGUCUCUCUCGGCCCGGCUGUGCAAUGAUAUCAUGCACCGUCAAAUGUGCAUAAGGGAUCUCACGAUGCACUUGCGGCUGUGGAGGUGGUGGUGGAGCUGGAGCAUGAGUGGCGGGAACAAAAUCUGUCUCUGUGGCAGAAGAAGAGACGGGAUUUCUCCCACUAGAUGUACCAGCAUCGCUAAACAUAUCACCAUAAUGAGGCCGACGACGACGAGCAGACAUCUGUAAAUAUUCAAAAAAAAAUUAAACAUCAAUUCCUAAACAUAUAUCUAAUUAAAUAUAAAUUUUUAAUUCCUUAAAUAGCUAAAAUAUUCCAAUCCUAUUUUAUUCCAUUUACAAAAUAUAUUCCAUUCCUACACUAUUUUGUUCCUAAACUAUUCCAUUCCUAAACUAAUAUUCCAUACCUAAUUAUUCUAGUAAAGCAAUUAUAAAUAAUAUAAAUAAUAAAAAAAACACUUACAUUGGUUUUGGGAGGAUUUUCCAGCGGAGAGAUAUGGAAGGAAGUAAGGAGAGAAUGAGCAAACAGUGAGAUGGGCGAGCGCUCCUUAUAUAAAAGCCGGGCGUCGUCGUUAAAUCGUCGGUAUUUGCGACGAAUUCCCAAACUAUUUAGGCGGGUGUUUAUGGCGGGAAGGGGUAGAAAUAAAUUAAGGACGAUUUAACGACGAUUCGUCGGUAAUUCGUCGUAACUAACGACGAUUCGUCGUAACUUACGACGAUUCGUCGUUAAAUCGUCCUUAAUUUAUAUAAUUUCUGUUUUAAUUUAUAUAUAUUUAGUACACAUAUCUAUAAAUAUCAAUUAAUUAUAUAUCUAUAUAUAUCUUAGUUGGAGAAAUUAUUUUAUUGCAAAAUCAUGACAUAUAAUACUGAUUACAAACUAACAGGAAUCAUUUUCAGAUGACGUUGAACCUUCAUCAUUAGGUUCAUCAUCAUUUUCCUCAAACUCAUCUUCGUCAUUUUCUUCCUCUAUCGUCGGGAAGAUAUUCAGUUUGUCUGUUUUCAAGAUCUAUCAAGAGGAUAGGAUCAGUGCUUUCACUGGGUUCUGCGAUAUCAUAGGUUUGAUCUUCUUGCAUUGGAAGAUCCUCAACCCCCACAAUUCGACCUCUCGGAAAAACUUUAAUCACAGAUAACCAUUGAACACCCGAUGUACGGACGCGUGGAUAUGGAACAAAGCAUACUUGUUCUGCUUGUGAUGCGAGUAUGAAUGGCUCAAACUUACUGUAACGCCGGGAUUGGUUGACAUCUACCGAGCCAAAUUUGUUUUUCCGGAUUCCUCGUCUAAUUGUUGGAUCAAACCAGUCGCAUUUGAAAAUAACACAUCUCAAACCUAAGCAGCCGGGAUAUUCUACUUCAAUUAUGUCUUGCAGCACUCCAUAGAAAUCUAUUUCACCCUUCACAUAUACUCCAUAGUUAGCUGUAGCCCGAUACGUCCCGUAUUUGUAUGUAUGAAAUUUUUUUGCAUCUGCAUUGGGUUCCUCAUCAUGGACAGGUGCAAGUGUGUUUGUGGUUUCGUGAAAUGCAUCUGUAACCAUGUCUUGAAUUCUAUCAUGAUCAAACCUUUGCUGCUCUGCAUGAUAAUAUUCAUCUUGAUGCAAAUUAUUUGACGAGUCUUCAAAAUUUGAAGCUUGAUAAUUGUUAUUACUACUACCUGCACUUUCUCCAUGCCCUUCUCCAUGAUGGUACCAUAUAAAGUAAUGUGGCAUAAAUCCUCUAUUUAAUAUAUGCGACCACACUUUCGCGAUUGUGAUAAAUUUUCUAUUCAUGCAUUUAGGACAAGGACAAUACAUCAUACGACUGACAAUCGUUCUUGGGAGUUUUCCCGCCUCAUGCAUGAAUCCCUCAACCCCCUCACUGAAUUCUUUUGUCAACGAUCCCGUUGAAUCAAUACGAUUGUACAUCCAUUUCCGAAUUUCAUAUAUGGACGACAUUUCGUAUAUAUAUUUAAUAUUCACUACCAAGUGAAUAUUUUUAAAUUUAAUACUUGUUACCAAUUAAGUGAUCAAUUCAAUCACUCUUAUUUAGGAGCAUUGUGAUUUUUUUUGGGUUAUGGGAGGCCCUAUAUAUAGAUUUUUUAUUCUGCUUACCAUCGAAUUAACAACGUUAUUUAACAACGAAUUAACGAUGAAAUGUAGUUUAGCGACGAAUUAACAACGAAAAUGAGAAUCGGGUUUAUUCGUCGUUAAGUCGUCCCUAAGUUACGAUGAUUUAACGACGAUUCUUAUAAUCGUCGCCAGAUCAUCGUUACUGCACGACGAUGUAACGUCGAAUUCUUUUCGUCGCCAAUUAACGAUACGAUUUGGCGACGAUUAUAAGAAUCGUCGUGCUUUCGUUGUUAAUUCGAAGGGAAUUUGCGACGAUUCUUAAUCGUCGUAAAAAAUCGUUGCUAAUCGUAUACUUUCUUGUAGUGAAUAAAACGAGACUUUGAAAACUGAUUGAAACCAGAUGGAAUACAGAGUCGAGAUAUGAUCUCUUUUCUUAACCCAAUAAAUCGUCAGUGAUGUGUGUCUGUAUGGAGUGAUUUUUGAAUCACAUGAUACAACCGUGAUGAGACUAUUAUGUAACACCCAUAAUAGAAUCUAUGAACUGAAAAAACUAUGUUAUAAUUAACUCUCAAGACACUUACGAUAUUUAGAUGAGAGAGAUUUGCUGGAAGAAUUGUUUUAUGUGUUUUUCAGUGUGUAUAAUAAAAAGAGAUGAGCGUCUAUUUAUAUGGAAGAUUCGGCUUGAUCCACAAGGAAUAAGCUUUGGAAAAAAGGAGUAUUCGUGAAAUAUUCUUCUUUUUCUGCAAGUAAACAGAUUCAGAUAUCUUUAUAGUUAUUUGGACGCAAUCUUUUAUUAUUUAAGAUUUAUCCUAUCCCAAAGGAAUUAAGAAGUCCACGACCCACGACCAGCUAUAUAUAGCCCAAGAGCUCAGGAGCCCAAGAGCCCAAGAGCCCUAGAGUCCUAAAAGCCAACUAAAAAUGCAAUGAGCAAUAAGCAUGAGCAUGAGCCCGAGCCCGGCACCAGCACUGGCAACAAUGACGACACGCGUUUAGAUGUUUUUACAUAAUGUCAUUUUACUUCCAUAAAGCUGUUUGACCCUUAUUGUGAAAAGCUAUAUAUAUGCAAGAUGUUUUCCUCUUUGUUAAGCAAUGUGAAACUUUUACACUUCUACUUUUAGUUAUAGCCAAUGAGAACAUUUCAUUUCCAUAGACUCAAACUCAAAUCUCAAAUGAAUUUAUAAGAUUCAUUUGCUUAUUAAACUUUAUUUCUCAUUCGCAUACAAAUUUAAUAUUACAAGAUCAAUUGUUUAUUAAAAUUGAAUUUUAACAAAAGAUCGACUGGCCGCUGAGAGAGAUAUCAUGAGAGCUGCUAACAUUACAGAAAACUAUACUUAAUAUAUUUAAGAACAAUUAAACAACAAUUACAGUAAAAUUAUUAGAAAAUAGUCACAAACCUGGAGAGUAACGUAUUCAAUAUUGCUAUUGGGGAAUUGGGCUAUGCGAACAUACCCAUUUUCUUCUACCUCCUCUCUGUAUGAAUCCUGAAAUCACUAAUAUUCAACGGGAUUUUCACGUUCACAACUUAAUAACAUCAAUUAUAAUACAUGUGAACUACAUUGAUAACACACACAUAUAUAUUAAUAUAUAUAAUAAAUUAUGUAGAGUUAAGGUUAUGAAAAGUACAAAAAUAAAUUAACUACAAAUAAUAAAAGUAGUUAAACGAAAUAUAACAUGAUAUAUACUCCAAACUAAAGUUAGUAUUUAAGCAUCAAUAUAACAUGAUAAUACUCCAAUAGGCUAUUAUCAUCAGCAGGAUUUGGCUUUAGAGUAAUAUUUUUACACCCAACAAAAUAAAAAACUACAAGUUAAAGUUAAAAAAGUACAAAAAUAGGUCAGAAGUAAUAUUUUGUAUGAAUUGACUUAAUAUGCAAACAACCCACUUACUUUUUAAUCCACAAACGUAAAGUCAAAAAACAUAAACAAAUCCACAAAUCAAUCCAACAUACAAGAGAAUAACAAGCUUAAUAUUAGGUUUCCACUUUCUAUAACACAAUCAAAUCAAAAUUGUCCAGAAAGCAAAAUAUUUACACACAAGAAAACCAGCUAAAGAGUAAGUAUACUUUGAAAUUUAUAUCGAAAGCAGUGAACUUCUUUCCAAAUAUUGCAGCAAAAAGUUUUAACAUAUUACUUGCAUCACGAUGUUGGUCUUGUUUUUAGGAACAUUGACCCUUUCUCUGAUAAUAUCAAUCUCAUUACUUUUUCGUUGAUGAUGAUUGAGUUAGAAAAAUAACCCCUCUAGGCUGGAAUCAAUGAGAAUGAGCUUUUUAGUUUAGUUUGAUGUAGGGCUUGCAUCAAUUGCCUCUUGAACUGAAAUGAAUUUUCCAAAACCUUUGAGUGAUAUCUUGGAUACCAAGUGUCUUUUGGUUUGGAAUCUUGACAGAUGAUCAUAAUUGGAAAGAUAAAAAGGAGGAAAAUGGUGGGAAUGAUGGUUGUUUUCGUACACUGAUUCAUAGAGGUUUAAGACCAACCUAAAAAAAUGUGCGUCUUGUUAUAUAUUUAUUUUAAUAAAAUUUUGAAAAUUAUAAUGGUGUCUUGAAACAUACAAAACACCAAUAACGAAAACUUUUUUUGGUUAAAAAUCAUUAAUGAAACUUAUGGUAUAUGAAAUUUUAAGGAAAAUUUUGACCUUUUUUGCUUAAAAUUUGCUCACUAAACUCAUAGAAUAAUUAUUUUUUACUUAAAAAUUGCUAACUAAACUCACAUAAUAAUUUUCAACCAAAAAAAAAAAUUUCAGAUAAGAAUUAGUUUUAACCAUCUCUACAUUGAUGAAAAUCACCAAUUCAAUAUCUCUUAUGACCAUAAUUUUUAACGUGAUGUACUUCUCAAACAAAAAGUCAAAACACAUAAUGUUAAACUACAUAUAUAUAAGCUUCAUCACACAUAUAUAUAAGCUUUAAUCAUAUAUUUAUAUAUGUAUAUAUGUAUAAACUUAAUCAUUUUAUAGUGGCUUAGCCAAUUGUUUUUUUUUCAGCCUUAAAGCACGGUACGGAUGGUGGUGAUUGUGUCCAUGGGAAUUCUUAUCCGUUGGAGAAAUGGUGGACAAAAAGGAAAGGAAGAAGAGAAUGAUGGUUAUGGUUUUAAAUUUAGAGAUGAUCAAGAAGAAACAAUGUUUUGUGAAGUGUGAAGAAACGACAGAGGGGAAGGAGUUUGAGCUUCUUUUGUUUGGACUAUGUUUUUUUUGUUUGGCCUUUUAUUUCCGGGGAUUUUAAUGUUUUUGGCCGAUUUAUGUAUUUCAUUUCUUUUCUUUUUUUUUAGCUUUUAGGUUUGUCUAAAUCUUCCUGUCUAAUUAUUUUUAUGUAUUUCAUUUCAUUUCUUUUCUUAUGAACAAAGAGAAACAGAAAUAACAAAAAGAAAAAAUGUAUCAAGAUAAAAAAACAUGUAAGAGGCAUUAACAUAAUGUUUGUAUAUACAAUUGCAUUAAUCAAAUUGUACGGAUUAUCGGAUUUUCAAAAUUGAUACGUGAAGCACCUUAAACCGGACCGAUUUGUUCUAUUUCGGAACGGUUUGGUUAGAAAUUGAACAAACAUACACAUAUUUUUAUGUGAAAUAGCCAAUGACAAUAUCUAAGAAACUGUAUAAAUUAUUUGAGCUAUAAUUCGAUUUCAAUGCCAAAGAGAAAAGUUGCAUUCAAUUAAAAGAAAAAAAAAACAUUAAAACUAUACAAGAUUUUUUUGAAAGAAAACGAAAUUGGCUUUACUCUGAUACAAUCUGAUUCUUCUUCACCUUCUUCCUAAAGAUGUACACAUCAGUUUCCUCGUAUGCGUAUUCAGGAUGUAAAUGCUCAUGAGGAACUUUCUCGAUCUUAAAAACGACGUCGCAUAGCUCCCAAAAUAGUUUAUCAGCUUCCGGCGACCUAAUCUGGUAACCAAGCAAAACCGCGCCGUCUUCCGCCACAAGCGACUCCAUCGCCGUCACUAGCUGCCCAACCGAUUCCUCGAUGUACACAACAUCCGCCGCAAUCACCAGAUCGAACGGCGGAUUCAGCGCCGAGAUCUGAUCCUUAUUGUUCCAGUAAACGAUCGAGGUUUUUAGGGAUUUCCCAAGCGCCGCCUUGUUCCGUUUCAGGUUGUGUUUGAGCGCCGGCAUGACCGGAGAGAUGUCGGUGAGCACGAUCUCCGUUAGACCUAGUAGGUGAAAAGCCAUACCGGCGACUCCGCAUCCGGUUCCUAGCUCGACGGCGCGACGGCGGCGGAAAUCGAGGAGCUCGGCGUAUGGAUUUGGAGACGACGAUGAUGAUGAUGAGUCCACCGUGGACCACCGCUCGGCGAACUUGGCGAGGAUCAGAGAGCAUGGCCACACGGAGGUUCCGACGUGCAUCGAGCCAUUGUCUUGCUGGAUUGAGAGUCGCGUGCCGUUCACCGUCAGAUCGAUCACCGGAGAAUCUGUGAAUUUCAUUUUUUUUUCGUCUUCUCUUUCUCUCACCCAAUCACUCUCUCCUUCUCCGACUCUUUUGUGUGAUUUCCUUAAGGGCUUUCUUUUAUUCACAAAUGGGCUUUACUUUGGGCUUAGAGCUCCUUAGUGGAUUACCAAACCAGUAAUGUAAUUAGUUUUUUUUUUUUUUUUUGACAGAAUAAUUCGAUUCUCGAGUUGAUUGUAUGUAUAAUCUAAAACGUAUAUAUGUUGGUGCAUAAUUUAUACAUUUCGAUAUAUAGAUCAUUCUCUACUCAAGUAUGUUUAUAGACAUCUUUUUUUAAAGAGGUAUGUUUUAUAGAUAUUGUUUAACCAUUGUUAACUCUAGAGUGUCAAGCAUUAUUAGUAAGAUAUAAAAAAGGAUGUCACUAGCAAAAGCUAAAGUUUGGUAGUUGGUGCUAAUACUUUUGUCUUGAAUGGAAAAUGAAAAUUUGACGGCAACGAAAAAAUGGACAAUGGAAUUUUUCUGCCCUACAUGUUUCUUUUAUUGGGUCAAAUCAGAAAUGUUUUGUUUGUUUUUCAUCAAUCAGAAGUGUUCAUUAUUUUCCUUUUCGAAAUUAUGUCAUGCAUAUAUCUUACACCUUUCUCCGAAAUAAUGCAUUUAUACAAGACACAGCAGAAAAGAGUAUAAAAUACUGUUAAUAAAUAGACCUUAAUUUUUCUAUGUUUUUUGUUAUAUUAUAUGAUGUUAUCGACCAAAUUUCAUAUUGUAGAUCAAUUUGGCAGAAAACUCAAAGUUUGUUCAAAAAGAAUUUGUCUUUUUUUCUUAUAUUUAUAAAAGUAUUGCAUGCAUAAAUAAAUGAGACUGAAUCUUAUUUUCUUGAGAGCAAAAGGGAGAUAAGGUAAAAGGUGGAAAAAGCCUAAGCUAGGAAUAUCAAGCUUUUUCUUUCUUUUUUUUCUAUUCUUUACCUCCACUAAAAGUAUAAUUUUUUUGCCUUUGAGUUACGUUAGGGUUAGGAUUUAAAUAAUUGAGCUCCAAAAGUCUCCACCUUUCAUUGUCCCCACCACUUCUCCACUCUAUCUAUGCUUUUUUAGCUUUGUAUAUCCUUUGCAUACAAGAAGCAAAUUUAAGACCUUUCUACUCUUUAAUGGAGAAUAUGCAUGGAUCUUCACUUUAUCUUCUGCACCGAAUAUGCUUAUAAACCCAAUUUUUCCUUGAAUUCAUUUAUUCUUUGACCCAAUAUAUAUGUGAAUCACUCUUCCACCAACGAUAAGAACUUUGUUUUCCUUUUGGGUUAAUUAAAUGAGAAUAAUUUACUAUAAUUUAAAAAUAUUUUAAUACCGAUCGUGAUUUGUUGUAAUAUAAUCAAAAUUCAUUAGAUUUCUGAAUGUCUUAUUUCCUACUUAUAUCCUAAAGAUCAUUUCUUGGAUAUAUUUUGUUGGAAUAAUAUAUAGUUAAAUUCAAAGAUUUUGAAUGUCUUGUUUUCUAUAUGACUAUAUCCUAAAGAUCAUUUCUUGGAAACAUACGAUGAAUACGUAACGUACAUGAUCUAUAAAUCUUGAUGAUAAUAUCACAUUUUAAUAAAAAAAAACCUUGAAUUACUAAAAGAAAACAUUUCCAUUACCAUAUGCGUUCUUAGAAAAUGGUGGAAAUUACAAAAGAUUCCUUGUCCUUUUUCGUUAUUUAAGCAUUACCCCCGAAACUUUAAAAUCGUUUCAAAUCCAUCCAUUGAUAGACGAUGGAUGAGGGCACAACGUUUGCACACCGACCCCAAGGAAAUCCCGAGUUUGCCCUCCUCCACCUCCCUCGCCUCCUCCAUCAACUCUUCUACGUUUCCAAGGGUAAUUCUGUAAUUCAUCCAACGCAGACGCAACCGUAACGUCAUUUCUAGCGUUCUCAAUCUCCUGAUCAUGACUAUGAUUCAUCAAUCCAAUGUUGUUGUUAGAUCCGAACAAAGCGAAGAACUUUUCUCCGGAAUCAUAAGUGGCGGUUUGAUCGGAGGAUUUUAGCGGGAAACUCUGGAGAAUCGUCGACGGGUCUGUGGUCAUCGCCGUCGUCGACGAAUUGGCGCCGAUUUCAGCCGCUUUCUGAAGUAACGCUGUAGCGGACAUAUUCGCGUUUGCGUUUGCGUUUUGUGUUUGAUCGCUGCUGAACAAACAAGGCACAGAGAGAGAAUUAGUAGCAGUAGUAGUGGUCGAAGUCGCGUUUGCGUUUUGUGUUAUGAGCUCAUCGUGAUUGUUGUUAUUAAUGCACGUUGCAGACGCGGCCUUAGCGUUUCCGAAAACCCAGUCAUAAUCUUGGGGUUGGGUUUGUGGCGGCGCGAUGUCUUGUCCCAUCCAUAGGGAGAGUGAAAGAAAGAGGAAGACGGAGGUAGCGGCAGAAAAUGAUGAUGGUUGUUGUUUUGAUUCGUUGGCGGUUGCGGUACAAAUGGUUGAAGCGGUGGGUUGAGUGUUCCCAUGAGAUAUUGAUAGUUUAGAUUAAUUCCUGCGGCUCCAGCCGCGGCUAAACCGUUGAGAUGAGACGCUGCGUUUAUUUUAGCGGUUUCUUCCGCUAACGCAUCGCAGAAAGCUCUAUGAGUGAUGAAACUAUCUCGCCUGUUUCAACCAAAAACCACCAUUAAAUUAAUCAACAUUUCUCUCAAUGCUUUAAAUCGAAGUUUUAAUUUGAUGAAAAAAAAAGAAAACUAAGUACAAAAUUACGUAAAAAUAAAAAAAAUUCAUUGAUUUGUCAAUGAGUUGAUGGUUUUACGCAUAUUAAGUAAAAACAUAAUGUUACCAUUUUGAACCAUACACACAUGUAUAUGUAUCUAUUAUUAUAUCUACCUAUGUUAUAUGUUCAUCAUUGUUACUAGUACAAACUUGUACCCUUUUUGUCACAAUGAUCACACUAACAAAAAACAUUUCCCAAGCAAGAAACUUUACCCUACUUCAAGAAGACAAACAAAACACAUAGAAAAUGACAAAAACAUAGUCAUACUUAUAAAACUUAAUCAAACUAAAAGAAGAAGAUGUAGACACAAUAAAGCAGCUACUAUAGAAUAGCUUUCGAACAUGAUUAAUAUAAACGACAACAUCUAUACAUAUAUACUUAUAAUACAUACCUGGAGAAAAUGGUGCCACAGUCGCAACGGUACUCUCUAGUACCACAAGUCUUGGAAUGAGCUUUAUAAUCAGAAUGAACAGCGUAUCUCUUGGCACAUUUCUCGCACUUCCACUUCUUCUCGCCGUGUUUCCUACAGAAAUGUUUUUUGAUUCCGGUGAGAUCGCCGAGGGCUCUAGAAGAGUGAUGGUGGACACAAGUCUUCUCUGGACAAACGUAGACACGUUUCCUCACUUCUUUGCUCGUCCUCUGCUUUAGCUUCCAUGGAAGAUUGUGUCCUCGGCGAUGAAGCUGUAAGUUUUGGUCUCUUUGGAAACCUUUGCCACAGACCUCGCAUAGGAACCGAUUCGUAGCCAUCAAGGUCUUGGGAGAUAAAGCUAUUACUUCAGCUUCCGGAUCUAUGUAGAUCAUUAAGAUUUUUGGUUUCAUUUAUUAGGUCAAACAGGAAAACGCUGAAUAUUUGUUUUGGAUUGGAUCAUGUAUUUUAAUCAAAUUUGUAAUAUUCUUUUUUUUUUUUUGCUUUUCUUUGUGGGGUAAUAAUAAUAAGAAACAACACAAUAUCUAAGAGAAGAACUCUAUAGACCAUAGCAAUUUUUAAAUUUACAAUAGCCUCAUCUUCUAAACUUUAAUUAAGCAUUCAAAUAUAUAUCCAAUUAAUGAUCAUAUAUAUAACUCAUGUAGCCAAAACAAUAGUUUGGAUAUAGGUCAAGAUCCAGAACAAAAAAAACCAAGAAAAUUAUUAAUAGGAAGGAAAAGUUGAAAAAGAUUCUAGGGUUUUUCUUUGUAGGUGAUGAUCAAGCUUAGAUUUAAAAUAAAUAAUUACCAGGAUUUCCAGGGAGAUUUCUCUUCUUCUUAACAAGAUGAGGGUUGAUGAGAGAUUCAUCAUGAUCAAGAGUUGAUGAACUCUGAGCAAAUCCGGAUCCGCUAGAGACUGUCUGAAGAACUUCACCUGUCAUGUCUUCUUCUUGGUUCUUGACUUCACUUGUAAGAGAAAUUAAAAGUAGGUUUUUGUUUAUAGUUAGAGAGGGAGAGAGAGAGAGAAGGAGAAAGGAGAAGGAGACAAAACGGUAAUAUAAGAGAGAGAUUAGAAAUACUAAGAAACCUGCAAGUAAACUAUAUGAAUAAGAAGAAAAAUAACAAAGACAAAGAUAUAUUGGGUUGUGUGGGUGUAUGAGCACCUUGAUCUGUUAAACUGUUGCAGCCAUCUUGACUAAAAUAAAAGGUUAAUUGUUAUUUUUUUUUCUUCAUCAAUUAUCAGAUUAUUUUAAGAGGGCAGAAGUGGAUGGCGGUGGAAAAUCAUAAGCUGAAAGUGAUAGCAUCAGAGCAAAUGAAAAUUUAAAAAUAUAAAGAUGCAAAUAUAGAAGAAAAAUUGCAUGCCUCGAAUAUAUUAUAGCUAGACUCCAAUCUGUAUUUGGAGUUUCACUAUAUAUCAAUUAUUUGACUAUAAUAUUAUUAGACAAAAAUCUUUCUUUGGUGGUUGUUUUCAUUAUUCACGUCCUAAUCUUUGGUAGUUCAAUUUCACUUUUUAAUAGGCAUUUAACCAGAUAUUUUUUAUGUUAAAACUUAACAAAAUAUGUUGGUGUUGUUUACUUAACAAAAUAAUUUUUUUUUGGUUGAAACUUAACACAAUUUUUUGGUGUUGUUACUUAACAAAAUAUUUUGUUAACAGCUCAUCUCGAAUUUGGAAAGCUACAAAUCGAUUUUUUUUUUAAUUAGAUAUAAAAUUACAUAUUUGAUGUUGUAUGAUGCAUAACCAUAUGAAUAUAAUUUAAACUAUUUGAAUUUCCUGUGGAAGUGCGUUAUGACACAUAGAAAGUUAAUAUUUCUGCCUUUUCUAUUUGGAAUGAUUAUCCUGUUAUUUGUGUUGCCCUUUCUUCUCCAUUUUUCGUGUUUUUCUUGUCCUAUAAUUACUUACUUUUUGUCCCUACAUGCUCUUGCUAACUUAGUGUAAAUUUAUUUUCUUACUAAAUGAUUUUUUGUAAUCUGAAAGUUUUACAGUAAAAUGAACUAUACUUACUAACUAAUAUAUAUGUAUAUAGUUGCAACAGUAUAAAAUCAUUAAACAUUAAUAUAAAGGUUAAUAUAAAGGUUAUAACUAACUUAACCUUCUUGACGAAAAAUAAAAAUACCUUUACCUUUUAAAAAAGUAUUUUUUGACAUAUUGUUAAAAAAAUUUAAUUCGUUACUGUUAAAGAAAUAAAAAAACAUGGUUAACUAGAUCAAUCCCAUUAAGUACCUUUAUGUUUUUGUUGGUUUUAAGGUUAUAGUUUUAGAACUCAAGUGUUAAAUCUGUACAGAAGAAUAUUGUUUGGGCUUUAGACUUAUCAUCUUUCAAAAGAGAGAAAAGUAAAUUAAAUAAAUUGAGUGUGGAUACUAUUCAAGAUAUUUGCUCGUGUAAUAUUUGUGAAGUUUGACUGUUUAAGACUCAUGUAGUCAUGUAUAGUACCGAAACCAUAAGCUGAAUAGUGUGUUCGUUGGAAAAUCUGGUCAAUAAUAUUCAUCUAUUAUAUGAAUCAAAGAAGUAAAACAGAUCUAACGGUGAUGGUUACAUCUCUUGUUUGUCGAACAAAGUCUGCAAUGCACGUGUACCCAUGCACGUGCUCUUUAGGUAUAAUCCAACAACGUACGACAAAAAAGACCUAAGAUAAAAUUAGAGAUGCAUUCAGACUUAGAGUCCGUUCGACCGUGACAUAAAAUUUUUCUUUAUGAAAUGUUGAAAUUUUAUUUUUACGAUGAAGCUAGCUGAAAUAAAACUCUUUAGAACAUAUAUAACUCUUACAUUAAUUUUCGCCUACUUAUUUAUUUAUUACCUAACAUUUUGUCUUUAUGAAUAUUGUUUGCGAAUUUGAGAAGAAACUUUGGUGACUUUAUUGAAUGGUAGAUAAGCGUUUAUUUUUUCAUGUUUUUUCUAUAAUAUUUUUUCUCCAUUCUCCUUUUUAUUUUGACAUCAUCCAUUCUCUUUUUAUUUCACCCUUUUCUCUUUAAGAAAGUGAUAUUAAGUAACAAAACGUAUUUUUCUUUUGAAAAAGUGAGAUAUGUCCUUACAAUAUAUAUAUAUAUAUAUAUAUAUAUGUGUGAGAUUUAAAAAUUAUAAUCUAUAUCUACUACAAAACAUAACAAUAACUAUAUUGGUUUGAGAUUCUAUCUUUGCGAAGUUAUUAUCCAUCUCAUGCGACUAUAAAUCACUUAACUUGGAAUAUCAUCAAACUGAGCUUCUACAUUACAUUAUCAUUACAUUUUGACAGUUAAUUAUCCCAAUUCCUAAACUGUUUUAUCUUCUUUUUAUUUUUUUUUAACUUGUAAGCUCUAGAUGUCUGGCUUAAAAUCUUUAUAUAUGAAAGCGGUUCUUGAUAAAAAAAAACCUAACCAAUCUACAAAUUAAAACUGUUUAGUCUUUCACAAUUUGAUAUCAGCUCAAUAACUAUAGCUGUAAUGUUAUUCGACGACUACCUAAUCGUACAUUAAGCAGCUGUUUCAUAUAAUUUAUUUAAUUUCAUGUUAAUAUACAAUUUUAUUAUGCAUGAUCAUGAUAAAAACGAACACAUAUAGAUGUAGUGCAUCAGUCAGUGGAGUGUACAUAUAUCAACUAUUUUGAUGUCUUUACCUCGUUAAUUAAGAGGAUAAUUUAACUGAUUGCAUUAAAGUUUUAUUUUAUCGAUCCUCGAACAAAUAGGAAUCAACUAAAUCGAAAUAAAGUAUUUUUGCCCUAAGCUAAGACGUGAAAUUAUCAUGGUUUAAUUAAAAAGAAUAAAGGUGCAUGCGACAUAGAACUGACAAAAGGCAGGUAAGGUUUUGGAAGUCGACUGCUUGUGGGCUGACUUAAUUAACAAUUCUUUUGAAGUAUAAUUUAAACUUUAAUCAUAAUGUAAUGAUGUUUUUAAGAGUGUCCUUUUUAAUGUUAAGACUGGUGAUACUUUCUUUACUAUUAAUUUUUGGAUUUUUCUUCUUGAACUAUGGUGGCACCAGAAUAUUCUCCUACAAUUUUCGAGACUUUAUAAUAUAUAGUAUUGCUCCCUUUGCUCUAUGAUAUAUAAUAAAGAUUCCUAGACAUAAUUCUUUAAAAAAAUAUAAACGUGUAUGUUGAUAUAUAUCGGUGAACAUCAUGUUCCUAUCGAUUAACAUCGAUCCUUGGAAAAAAAUCGAAUUUGAUCUAAAUAAUCACAUAUAUUAUAUAGUAUAAGGUAGUUGUCUAACCAAAUUUUCAGAUUUUUACUUCAAAAAUAAACUAACUUUUGUUUAUUUUGUUAUCUUGGGUCAAUUUUUAACUUGUGUUUGAAUAUUUGUAGUUUGUUAAAUAAAAAUAUGUAAAAAUAGCAUAAAAUUGCAAAGUAAGACAGAUGUGGAUCUAAAGGGUACAUUACAGAUAUACCACAUGCUCUUGGUUCAUAAGAAAGUAGAAGAAUAUAUACUUUUUUGCAGAUGCAUUAUUAGGUUAAAAUGCAGACAUCCCUUUGAGAUUUUGCCUCGUUCGUUGGGAGAUAAAAUAAAAUAAACAUAAAAGAGUGCCAAUAAUAUAUUUAAAUAAAAUAUGAAAAGCACUAUACAAAAAUACAUAUACACCAUAUGUAAAAUAUAUACGGUUAUACCGGUCGUUAAGUUUUAUGCUCGCGAGAAAUUGUUUUGUAGAUUUUGACUAGAACUAGCUAGAGUUCAAAAAUUGGAGUUCAAAGGUAAAGGUUGGUACCUAUAACUAUGUAUAUUGUGUAUUUAUGAUAUACAUGUGUAAGUAUAUACAUAUAUAUAUAUAUAUUGAUAAGUAUAAAGUAUAUAUAUAUGGAAGAGGGUGCGAUCGAUAGACGACAUAUCAAAGAAGACAAGGGAUUAGAUUCAUGGCAUUAAAAUUUGGCGAUAUAUAUCAAAUAAAGAAGAUACGAUUAGAGUUAAAAGUAUACAUAUGUCACCUAGUGUAUGAUAAUGUUGUUCUUGUUUUUACUCCCAUUUUGACCAAUCCAAUACAUUAGGUCAGUCACUAUAGACAACUAUUACAAGACGAAAGAAACAUUUUAUUUUUGUUUUCCAUUUCUAUUACCAACGUUAUAAGUAUCUCAUUAAUAUUACAUGAUCAGACAGUAUUCUAUAAUAAAAAAAUCCGACACUGUGCUAAGAAAAUUGUAUAGAUAUAGACCAAUGAUUAAGGUUGAUUAGACUAAUUGACUAUACAUGCGGUUACAUACUUUCCAUACAUUAAAUGGAUAGCUGGUCUUAAUUUUUUUUGGACUACCAUAAUUUGAUGGACAUUUUGAUAAUGGAUCUAGAUAUUUUAUGUAAUUUUAUUUACAUGGCGUAGUUAAUUUUGUUAAUUUUUGUUACACAUAAAUUUACCCAUGUUCAUUUAAGUUUGUAGUCAAAACAUUAUAACAAGAAGACCCAUAAAUAAAUCUCAAAGUCGCAAGUUUUUUUUUUUUUUGCAAAUAUAUAACUCUUGGUCCCCUAAGGAACCGAGUAAUACAAAACAUUCACAGCUAAAUAGUUGUAUUUCCAUAUAUAUAUAUAUAUAUUUGAAAGAAUUGUAUUUAUAUUUUAACCAGUAGUGGUUCUAUACAAGCUAACUUUUCCAUGGAACUUCCUGUGAAAAUUUGAAAUGGGACCUUGAUUAAGAUUCUCUUUAAUGGGUCAUAAAAGUAACUAAAAGAUAAAGUCACACUCUCCAAUCUUUUCCACAAAGUUGAUAGAGACUCGAUCGGGCUAUCUAUUACAAUUAGUUCUAAUCGAGAAAUAGAGUUAUAUCUCUAAACAUAAAAGUGGUUCUUAUUUGUGUCACAUGCACACAUAAUUUUAUAUCUUCAAUUCUCAUUGAUGAUUUCCACGUCUAUAUGCUAUAUAAUAAUUUCUGUUGAGUUGAAACCUCCAGUUUUUUUUAUAUAUAUAGAUAUCUUGAAAAUAUUUCUUGAACAUUUUUUCUUAAAUACUAAAAUAGACAUAUUUGUUGUGAAAAACAAUUUCGGAAAGACGUUCGCAUAUAUGCAAACACUAGAAAAAAGAGACUUAGAGAGAGAAUGAAAAACAAUAUCAAAUAUCUUUUGUUUUUUUAACUAGAUUAUGUUACAUUUACAAAGCCAAACUCACCUAUAUAUAUUGGAGAAAUUUGGAGACACAGUUUUAGAAACUUGGAGACAAAGUAAUUCAAGAGGGAUGAAUCUCUAGAGGGGAUGAAUACUUAAUAGUUAAGAAGUUUGAGGAGAAAGCUAUUCUCAAAUGUAUAAUCAAUAUAUUUAUAACACUCUUCCUUGAUUAUUCAUUUAUAUUGACGCAGUGUGCACUGCAUCGUUAAAAACUUUAUCAUGGACAAACUCGUUAAUUUGGAACAAAAACCAUGAAAAAGAAAAAAGAGUGCAAUAAAGCUCUCCCUGAAAAAGACAUAUAUUCCUCUCUUCACAAGUCUAAUUGAUGACGCAUUCCAAUGUUGUAAAUAUAUUUUUUGAAUAAUGCAGUAGGAAGCGCCUUUGUGAAGAGAUCUGCUGCAUUGUUGCUUGAACAAAUGUAUUGGACAUCGAUAUCCCUGUUUUGUUUGGAGUUUUUGAGUAUAUGAAAGAAAUCUUGGAGGGAUAUAUUUUGUCUUGUCGCUCUUGAUAUAACCUUCUUUAAUUUGGGCGACACAAGUAACAUUGUCUUCAAAUAUUUUUGUGGGCUCUUCAUCUAUGAUUAUUCCACUUGAUUCUUGAAUAUUUGGGUCAUUGAUAUAAGCCACACACACUCUCUGCAUGCUUCAUGAAGUGCAAUAAUCUCCGUAUAAUUUGAAGAAGUGGCGACCAAAGUCUGUUUUUGAGAACGCCACGAGAUCGCCGUUCCACCAAAUGUGAAAACAUAUUCUGAUUGUAAUCGCGCUUUAUGCGGGUUUUACAAGUAUCCUGCAUCUGCAAAACCAACUAGACCAACCUCGGAGUUUCUUGAAUAAAAUAGGCCUAAGUCAAUCGUACUUUAUAGAUAACGAAAGAUGUGCUUUAUUACACUCCAAUGCCUGCGCGUAGGGGAUGCACUGUAUCUUGCAAAUAGAUUGGUAGCAAAAGCUAUAUCUGGUCGAGUACAAUUUGCAAGGUAUAUUAAUCCACCAAUAGCGCUCAUACAAGGUAUUUCAGGACCUAAUAUUCUUCGUUAUCUUCACAAGGUCGAAAUGGAUCCUUGUCAACAUCAAGCGAUCUAUUGAGCAUUGGAGUACUCAAAGGAGUCGUUUUAUCCAUAUUAAAGCGUUUUAACACCAUUUUGGUGUAAUUUUUGAUGCACAAAUAUUCUGUCUUGGAAAUGCUCUAUCUGGAGCACUAGAAAAAAGUUUUGUCUUUCCAAGAUCUUUCAUUUCGAACUCUUCUUUCAUAUGAGUUCGUACAUCAUCAAUCUUCUUUUGAGUUCCAAUUAAGUUCAGGUCAUCAACAUAUACAACAAUGAUUACAAAUCCCGAUGCAGACUUCUUAAUAAAUACACAAGGGAAUAUCACGUUGUUGAUGUAUCCUUUACUCAACAAGCAUUCACUUAAGCGAUUAUACCACAUGCGUCCAGACUAUUUUAGUCCGUAAAGUGAUUGCUGUAAUUUGACUGAACAUAUUUCCCUAGAUGCUUCUGGUAUCUUUGAUCCUUCUGGGAUCUUUAAUUCUUCUGGGAUUUUUAUGUACUCCCUCUGUUCCAGAUUAGAUGAUGUUUUAAGAUUUUUCUUUAUUCCAAAAUAGAUGAUGUUUUGGAAGAAUUUAAUGCUAUUACAUUUUACAAGAAUGACUUAACAGCACAUUUAUUGGAAAAUGAAUAAAAAGUAAAAUUAGAAAUCAAGAAUGACUAAACAAACCAAUAUAUCGAGUGAUAGAGUAUUAUAAAGUUCAUGCAUAAUGAUUAUAUAGAGCAUUUAAGUAGUGGGUUAAAAAAAAUUUUGGAAAGUGGAAAGACAAAAAAGUAACUACAUAUUUAUUGUUUCUUAAUAAGAGUGUAAUUCCUAAAACAUCAUCUAAUCUGGAACAGAGAGAGUAUAUGUCACUAUCAAAUGAACCAUAUAGGUAUGCAGUCACCACAUCCAUCAAGUACAUCUCUAAACUUUUAGAUAUCGUUCGGCUCAUUAAGUACCUGAAUGUGACAACAUCCAUAACCAGAGAAAAUAUCUCUUCAUAAUCAAUUCCCAGUAUUUGAGUAAAGCCUAGUGCAACGAGCCAGGUCUUAUACACAACUAGCAUUUUUCUCAUUUCUCUUUCUCACAAAGACUCAUUUACACACAACUAGCAUUAUAUCUUCAGGUGUAAUGACUAUAGGUCCAAAGAUAUUUCUCAUGGCCUCUUGCCAUUUCUUCCAGACCUUGGUCUGGAUCAUCUUCAUGAUCUAUUUCUCUAGAUAUCAAAAAAGAAAACAUUCCAUUUGUAUCAUCUAUCUCGAUUCUUACCCAUAAUGUCCCACUUUGGGAUAGGCGAAGCUAAUGAAAAUCUCAUAUUUUUCAGUAUCAGGUUUGUCUUCUGGACAAACCUCUUUAUAUGGUUUUUCUGGACAUUUUUCUUUAUUUGGUUCUUUUGGAACCUUGUCUCCCGUGCUUUAAUUGAACCUGCGGUUCAUUUGCUCUAUUCCCAUCAAUACAUUGUUCUCAAACAUUUAUUUUUGAUGGAGCAUUAGCAGCAGGGAUAUAAGACUUUGUCGCCCUUCUCGUAGCUGUGAAUGCAUCAGGUAACUGAUUUGCCAAACUUUGUAAAUGUAUUAUUUUCUGAACUUCCACCUCACGUUGAUUGGUAGGAGGAUCAAUAUAAGCCAAAUUGUAUGUACACCAUGUGAUAUCUUUUGGGGAUUCUCUAGAUCCUCCCCCACAACAUGGAGAAUUCACUUUCAUCAAAAUAACAAUUGGCAAAACGUGUCGUAAACAUAUCUCCCGUUACUGGUUCAAAAUACCUAGUUAUAAUUAGAGAUGUAUAGCCGAUAUAUAUUCUCAAUCUCCUCUAUGGCCUUAUUUUUAUUUUUUGAGGUGGGGCUGUCGGGACAUAUACCGCACAUCCAAAAAUACUGAGAUGGGACACAUUUGGCUCCUUGCCAGAUGUUAACUAUAUUGGGGAAUAUUUAUUAUAUGCACUUGACCUCAUAUGGACUAAUGCCCCGACAUGCAAUAUCGCAUGUCCCCAUAUAGUAAUUGGGAGCUUUGUUCUCAAUAUUAAUGGUCUUGCAAUUAACUGCAACCGUUUAAUCAAAGACUCAGCCAUGCUAUUUUGUAUAUGAACAUGUAGAACCGGUUGCUCAACAUCGAUUUUCAGUGACAUACAAUAGUCAUUAAAGGCCGCUGAAGUGAAUUCACCAGCGUUGUCUAGCCUAACUUUCUUUAAUGCAUAAUCAGAGAAUUGCGAUCUCAACCUGAUUAUUUGGGCAAUAAAUCCUGCGAAAACCAUAUUUCCUAUGGUCAAUAGACAAACAUGUGACCAUCUAUUGGAUGCGUCAAUUAAUACCAUGAAAUAUCUGAAUGGCCUGCAUGAUGGGUGAAUCGGCCCACAUAUAUCACCAUGUAUUCUUUAAGAAUACAAGAGAUUCAUUCUCAACUUUGGAUAGCGAUGGCCUAAUUAUGAGUUUUCUGAGAACAUACUUUACAUGAAAACUCUUCCGAUUGAAAAAUCUUCUGGUUUAAUGGGUGGACACUUGAAUUUUGCACUAUCUUUCUCAUCAUGACUUAUCCCGGAUGGCCAAAUCUUUCAUGUCACACUCUAAAUGUACAAGUAAACUUCGGUUUUACUGUAACAUAUGAUUCAGUCAUAUUUAUUUUUGUGCAAUAUAGUCCGGAGGACAUCAUUGGUAAUUAUUCCAGUACAUGUCUACUCCCAGAUGUAAUGCAAAGAUAUUCAAUGCCAUUCUUAUUCAUAGUCUCUAUAUGAUAUCCAUUACUGCGGAUAUCCUUAAAACUUAAUAAUUUUCUAAGAGACUCGGGGGAAUAUAAUGCAUCUUGCACUUCAAAGUUAGUCCCCAUUGGCAUUGAAAAACUUGCUCUUCCAGAGCCUAAUAUAAUAUUUGCAUUACCAGAUAUGGUACUCAUGCAUCCGGCAUAGUCCUUUAUUUUGAGAUAGGAAAAAAUACUUUUUGUCCUUAUUGCGUGUGUCGUACCACUGUCUGCUAGACAAGUAUUCCAUCCUGAAUCUCAAACUGCGACAUCUUUUGGAUCACAAUUAUCAUAAAGAUAAAUAUAUUCUUAAACCGAGACAUAGACUUUAAAAGUUAUUUUACAUCAAACAAAAAACCAUCCUUUUUUUCUUAACAAAAGACUAAUAAAGUAAAUUAUAUUUUUUAUUGAAAAAGCAAUACUAAAUUAUAAUUUUUUUAUGUCUUCUUCAGGAAGGCACUAAGUUACAUCGAUCUUAGUCGUUUUCUUUCCGUUGAUUCUUCUGGAUCAACAAGAAAAUCUGUGACAUGAAGAUGAGUGGCGUCAUUUCUGCCAUCACGAGCUGAUUAUUUUGCCAUCUGCGAAUUUGGUGGUUUCACAUCACGAGCUGAUUAUUUUGUUCAGCCACAAGAAGGACUUGCAUCAACUCUGAGUAAGUGGUGUAUUCAUUCAUCCGGUAUUGUUGCUGCAGGGUUACAUUUCCAGGAUGGAAUGUUUGGAGAGUUUUUUCGAUCAUAUCAAAAUCACUUAUUUCAGCUCCACAUAACAUCAUCCUGGAGGUGAUUCCGAAUAUCACAGAAUUAUGUUCACCAAUACUUUUGUAAUCCUGGAACUGGAGAUUCAACCAGUCAUGCUUGGCUCUCGGUAAGAUCACGUAUUUUUUGUGAUCAAACCUGUCUUUAAGUGACUGCCAAAGAUCUGCAUGAUCUUUUUUCGUGAUGUAUUCUUCUUUUAAAUUAUCAUGGAUGUGGUGAAGCAAAAAUAUCAUAAUUUUGCAUUUUUCUCAUCUGAUGUCGUUUUCGACUUGUCGAUAGUAUUGAGAAGCUCGUUUCUUCUUAUAUAUAUUUUGCACCUACUUCCCAUGACAUGUAAUUGUUUCCAGACACAUCAAGAGCAGGGAUCUCGAGUUUUGCCAAAUUUGACAUGAUAACUAUAUAACAAAAUUUUAACUAUCAAUUUAGCAAAAAAAAAAAAAAAAAAAACUUUUUAGAUGUUACCACAGCUUAUUUAGAAAAAAAGGAGGAGGCAACGCCUGCCAUAGAUUUUGAGGAGGCAUAGCCUACCAUAUAAAGGAGGCAACGCCUACCAACGCUUACUACGCUUUAUUAUAACAAAAAAAAUUGAGGAGGCAUAGCCUACCAUAUAAAGGAGGAGGCAACGCCUAUCAUGGAUUUUGAUGAAGCAAAGCCUACUAUAUAAAGGAGGAAGCAAAGCCUACCAUAGAUUUUGAGGAGGCAGAGCCUACCAUUCCGUUUAUACUAUAUAAACUUUAAAUGAUAAUAUGAAUAUAAAUGUUACCUUCAAAUUGAUGAACAAACGAACAGGAACAGAGAGAUGAUCAUGUUUUCCAUAUACGAGCGAGCAAGGAGACAAUCGUAUUGAUAACGUAUUAUGAAAAACAAUUUUGGAAAGCUGUUUGUAUAUAUGCAAACACUAGAGAAGGAAGACUUAGAGAGAGAGUUAGAGAAUGAAAAACAAUAUAAAAGAUCUCUUGUGUUCUUUCACUAGAUUAUGUUACAUUUACAAAGCUAAGCGCACCUACAUAUAGUGGAGAAAAGAGACUUAGAGAGAGACUUAGAGAGUUAGAGAAAAAAAAAACAAUAUAAAAGAUCUCUUGUUUUCUCUCACUAGAUUAUGUUACAUUUACAAAGUCCUAUAUAAAGUGGAGAAGUUUAAAGACAAAUUUUUAGAAAAUUAGGGAUAAAGUGAUUCAAAUGGGAUAAAUCUCUAAGAGAGAUGAAUACUUAAUAGCUAAAAAGCUUGAGGAGAAAGCUAUUCUCAAAUGUAUAAUCAAUAUAUUUAUAACAAUACUAAUGAAAAGUAAUUUAUUUUCUUAUGUAAUUCGCGUAUUGUGUCGUUGUUAACAUCUUUUUUUUCUUACUGUUAGAUUCGACCAUUAGAUGAUGAAAAAAUAUUGAAGUUAUGUAUAUAUAGUUAGGUCCCGUGUAGGUAAUAUCUUGAAACGUGUCUUAAACGGUAUUUAGGUCCCGUUUAGGCGCUACGGAGUAACUGAAUAUCUUAAUUUACUCACUUUAUAAAAUAAAAUAAUACAUAUAUUUAAUAUAUACCUAAAAAAGUCUAAAUUCUCGUUUAAGCGUAUACAAUUAAACAAUAUUCGUCUAUUAUUUACCGAACGUCUAGCAUGUUUUAGAGCACUGUGUAAAAUAUAUGAAAUAGAAAAAAAGAGGAAGAAAUAAGGAAUAAAUUAUCUGACUUAUCAAAAUGGUCAUCAAACACUGGUCCACUUUGAUCCAUAGUUUUUUCUUUUCUGGCAUCCACCUUGAUCCAUAAUUUAUGGUUCGCAAAAGCAUUGUUAAUUUGCAACGCAUAAAAUAAAAAUGUUAGUGAUAAUUACUUAAAAAUUGAAAGUGUUUUUAGCAACGAAAAUAGGCUAAAAAUUAUUUUUCCUUUGAAAGCUUGCCUCAUCAAAAGUAAUUUAUAUAUUUGAUUUGUGAUUAUGACAAUGCUCUCUAAUUAUUAGUAAUUAGCUAUUAAGAUACUUGUUGAUAUGUAAUAUCACACAAAUGGAUAAAACAGUAAUUUAUAUCAAAGUUCGGUUUUAUUGAUAUCAGAGUAAAAUACAACUGAGUUCGUUUCCAAACUGAUCGUUCAACGAAAUAGGACUUAGAGAAUCAGAUACUUAGAAUAUUUUUAGCUUUCAAUCUCUAGGUUUCGGUGGAUUUUUGUGUGUCUUCGGUGUCGACUCCUCUCCCCUUUUAUAUAUAUCCCAAGUCUGUCUUAGAGGAGAUCUUUUUCCGAUAUUGGAAUUUAAAGAGUUUUCUUUUCUCUGGGUUGAAAACUUUCUUUAUUCUUUCAGGAAGUUUCCACCGACUUAAUGUUCACGGGUCUAGAUCGGUCCAGGAGUUCGCUCGACCCGAUUCCCUCGAUAUACCAUCAUCGUUAGCCAGACAUAUUUAUGCGAACCUUGGUUUGUACUAGAGAAAACCGUGAAUACGAUUUUCACCUCCAACAAUACUAAUGAGUAAUGAGUAUCUGUUCCCAUAUAUAUACCAUAUUAGACAUAUAUAUAUAUAUAUAUUAAGAUGUACAUAUAACUGUUUUUUUGUUGUUUUUGUCGGCAAACUAUUUUAUUAACAAACUGGAAAUACAAUCAGUUACAACACUGACCAAGUAAUCUUAUAGAUUUGAACCUGCUCCCUAGCUACUUCCUGAACAGCAUUACAUUUAAAAUACAUGUACGCGUACUUGUUCCCUUUAGAUGAGAUAUUGAUAAUAUCUUUUAUUGUCACUGAUAUUUCCAGGUUGCACCAUGCUUGCUUCUUCUUUAGAUUGAUCAAAUCGUUAAUGCAGUUGAAGAGAGUAAUGGUCCCCAACGAACAAGACUUCAUCAUAAGCCAGUCUUCUGAUUUCCUUAACUGCCAUCAGCAAUGCCAUAGACUCAGCUGCUAAUGGAGUUUAAGUCGGCUAAAUAGAAGAACUAUCAUGCAUUAGUUUCUGACCAUUGGCUUUAUAUAAAGACCAGGCUAUAUCAACACAUGCAUCAGCCAAUGUCUAUGAUGCAUCCAUAAAACAACAAUAUUUAUUACUAACUCUGAAAACCUUUUGAGUAUUCUGGAGAUGCUGAAUUUGAAUGCGGUUAUUGUUGCUAGAACUGGUUGGACUGCUCCCCUCAUUCCAAGAUUUUGACUUUUUCUAGAGCUGGUAAUCUAUUCAGUGCCACCACUAGAAUAAUUUUUUAUGGGUCAAUAUUAAUAUAAUCACAUAAAUAUUAAAUCCACAGAGGUUAAUAUAUACAAUUGAGUUCAGAUAACUCAUGAAAUAUAAACAAAAACAUAUUUACAAAAAAAAUUAUAAACUCUGCUACUGAAUCCAUUAAUACCUUGUUAAUAACCGAAAGGAUAAAAUCUUAUUUAUUAUCAAAGAUAAAUUUGUUUCUCAUCUUCCAGAUCCUCCAUGCAAUUAAUGAUGAGAAAUUUUUGUUGUCUUUUGCAGGAGAACAAAGGAGCAUCUCAUUCAUAUUUUGAAUCAAUUGGAACAAGCUUCCAAAUCUCCUCGGAGACUGCAUUGAAACAAAAUAUGAUUCAAUAUGUUUCCUGCUCUAUAUGAUAUGUUGGUUCAACUCUGCAUCCUCUUCUGUUAAAUAAUCAGCUACCGGUAGACUAUUGUGCACCAUUCCCCAUCAGAAAUUCUUUAAUUUGGGUGGAAUGUCCAUAGCCCAGUAUAUAGAUCGUAUUAUUUUUUAUGUAUAUACGUAUGUUAGUAGUAUAGUAUUCAAGGCAAGUAGAAAUUCUGCUUUCAGGCCACACAUAUUAAAUGGGUCAUUUUAGUGUGCGUUUAAUAAUGGGCUUUAUGGCCCAAUUUAAACGCUAGUAAAACGCCAUCGUAUUCAUCGAAUCUCCAUCAUUCCUUUUUUUGUUUUGUUUCCAGACCCCAUGAACAAUUGAACGCCAAUUUCUUCUUCUUCUUCGUCGCUCUUUCUCAGAUUCCUACCAAGCAAGCUUCUUCGAUCUUCCUUUGCUGCAUUUUUUCGUCAGUAAAGGUAAGUUUUAUCGAUCUCAAAGUUUUGAGGAACUAACCAAAGAGAUUGAUAAAACCCUAAUUGUUUAUUAUACUAUGGUAAUCCCUUUUCUUAGAAUAGAAAUCGAAAUCUACCGUCUUAGAAACUGGUGUUUAGGAAAUUGAAUUAUUGCGUAGAAACCCUAAUUUUCUCCUCAGUCGCUUAAUUUUGCAAUCUCUCAGAAUGCUUCGGUUUUUUUGUUAUAAAGAUUCUUCUGCAAUGGACACAAAAGCUCUAGCGAAAUCGAAGAGAGCUCACACUCAACAUCACUUCAAGAAAUCUCAUUCAGUUCAUAAGCCGAAAGGAGUUACAGAGACUUCCAAAAAUCCAGAGAAGAAGCCGCAAGGAAACCAAACCGGGGCUCUGAAAACAAAGAGUCCGGUUCAAUCUCGCCGUGUAUCUGCACUACCGUCGAAUUGGGACCGGUACGAUGAUGAACUCGAUCUUGGUUUGGAUAAUGCUUCUGGAGAUUCGUCGACGAGUGAAGUUAUUGUGCCAAAAAGCAAAGGAGCAGAUUAUCUGCAUUUGAUAUCUGAAGCUCAAGCUGAGUCUCAAUCAAAGAUUGAAACCAAUUCAGAUUGUUUAUCAUCGUUAGAUGAUCUUUUACACGGUAUUGAAGAACUCGAACCAAGUCUCAACCAAGAAUCCAAAUGUUGUUUUUGUUCUGUUUUGGAUUCAAGUUUUAUGAAAUGUUUGCAGAUGAAUUUAGUCGUGUGGUUGGAUCUAUGAUCUCGGCUAGAGGGGAAGGUAUACUUUCAUGGAUGGAAGAUGACAACUUCAUUGUUGAAGAAGAUGGCUCAGCUUCUAACCACGAGGUAAUAAGAUUCUUGUAAUCUUAUAGCUAAGAUGAAGGUUUAAUACCAUUGUUUUCGCGCUAAUUGAUAACAGUUCCUCUCCUUGAACUUGAAUGCACUGGAGAAAAUGCUAGAGAAAGUGGAUUUGCAUGAGAGACUCUACAUUGAAGCUGAUGUUUUGCCUCCUGAGCUGGUACACACUUACUGGUUCAAAACCAUUAGCUGUGUAACAAUAUUAGGCUUUAUGUUUUUGACAUAUUCGAUGUUUUUGGAUUGUGCAGUGUACAGUUCAAUCAAAUGUGAGCCACGAUGAAGAACCGUGUCAUUCAAAAGAUAUCACAAUGAGGCUAAAUGAGCCGGUUCAACAAGAAGAAUCAUCGGUCUUGGAGGCUGAGUCUCUGGAUCAAGUCAAGGACAUACCAAUACUCACAGACCAGUCAGAGAAAUCUUCAGAAAUUGAAGCUGAUAUAGAUUUGCUCCUCAACUCGUAUAGUGAUGAGCCUAACUCAGUGGCUAGUGCCUCAAGUACAUCCAUUCAGAAAUCUUCAGCUUUUGAAGAUGAGUUGGAUUCUCUGCUCAACUCUCGUAGUGAGGCAGAACCAUUCAACAAACCAGCGAAGCCAUCUGAUCAAAAGCUUAAGUCGACGGGUUUUGAUGACGUGCUUGAUGAUUUGCUCGAAAGUACUUCAGUAUCGAUCAAACCACAGCAGAGCCAGACCUCUUCAUCGUCCUCCUCCGUUGGAAAAUCCAAAGUUUUAGAUGAGUUUGAUUCUUGGUUAGAUACGAUUUGAUUUACAUAUGUUAGCUUCAUACUUUUUGUAAUCUAUAAAAGAAAGAUUAACAUUUGGUAAUGGCUCUUCAAAUCUUCUUUUGAUCAUUUUAAACCAAUCCGCAAAACAGGAUUGAUAAAAUAAAACUAACCCUCAAAACGAAAAACCUGUUCAAAGUGACUUUUUUUUUUUUCUUUCUUGCUAUAUACUUGUUAGGGCUAGGUUACAAGUUCAUUGCUUGGAGAUUAAGCAUAAGAUCAUUGGAGCUGAGGUACACCGUGUUGUCCGAUCUAGCUACGAUCUGAGCAAUCUCUGUGGCAGCUUCAAUCUUCCUCAGAGUAAUGAAAGCAUCAUUGUUCGCAAUAGCUUCGCCUAUGAGUUUGAGCACUCUUAGCUUCUCCCUGUGAAUCACAAAAGUCGGCAUUUAACAAAGAAACAAAACCCACACAACUUUGUCCUAAAAUAUAUAGAUAUACUCACCUCAGCACGGUAACAGCACUUUUCUUGUCUUGCUCAGCCUUUUCGACUAUGAACUUAGCCCGUUCUGCCUCCUGAGCUGCGACUUGUUUUGCCUCGAUUGAUUCUUCGAAUUACCUGCCAAAUGUGAGGCUUGUGAUGGAGACACCAUCUAGUGCAAUGUUGAAACUAGAUGCGCCCUCUCUGUCAGAAUCUUGCAUAUCUCCCUGCUCACACCCUUGUAGAGAUUUGAAACCACAAGACAAAACACAGCAGCUACAAAUGUUGAGAUUAGAACAUUAGAGUAGGAAAUACUAACUUCUCUCUGUAUAAUGAGCUGGCUGGCAUUGCACUGAGCCCCCACUGCUUACAGAGUUUCAUUGAUGACUAAAGGGAGAACUCGGUCUUUGUAAUUCUCACCGAGUGUCCUGUAAAUUUGCGGCAAGCGGUCUCCCAUGGGACGAUGAAGAACCCUAAGCCCAAUUGUCACCUGUACAUAACACCAAACAAGUAUCUCAAAAGAUAAACUAGGCACACAUGAACAGUGGUUUUUUGUUUGUUUGUUUGUCUACUUGCAUCUUAACCAACUCAGGAAAAUGCUUUGGUUUCAGACCAAAAACGGAACCCAAAACUAUAACAAAAUCAAAGUAAUAGGACAUUAAAGUCUACUUUACUUUAUAUCUACACAUACAUACAUACACGAAAGACGCUUAAGCCUAUUAAGCCCAUUAAUGAAUGCUUCCCUUGUUUAACACGUAAAGUUGAAAAUGAAAUGGGUCUAACAUUUUUAUUUUGUAAUCUUUCUCUAUUCAUCUGUUACUAUAAGAUUCCUCUGUUUUUGGAUUUGAUGUCUGUAUUCUGUUUUUUUCUCUUAGUUUGUAAUUCAUUCAGUUGGAAGUUGGAAAAAAAGUAAACUAAAAAAACUAUUAAAGAUUAAUAUAAACCAAAUGUAGAGCUAAAUAUUUAUGAUCAUAUACGCACAAUUUGGAAUAAUAAUCUCUUCUUUACAAUUAUCAUCAAUCCAUGCAUCAUAUUCAAUAAAGAAAUUUCUUAUUACAACCCUCACAAUAAAACAAAUAUAUGGAAACCAAAAUCAGACGAUGAAUUUCAAACAUAACAGAACAAGUCCAAGACCAAACCCUAAUCCAGCCUUCAUCUCCCCGGAGCCAGACUUCUCCGACGGAGCCGCCGCUUUCUUGGAGGAUUCAUCUUCCGAGUCAUCAGAGACACCAGGAGAUUUUGAUUUUGGACCAGGCGCCACGGGUGAGAUCUUUCGUUCUCCAAACAUUUCUUCGGGCAACAAUACCAUGUCCACCACGUAAACCGCAAGAGGACGUUCUUUACUUAAUGCAUUACUAACACGUGUCUCAAUGACUCCCGUUGAAACGUUGACUUGGUUUCCUUGACCGGUGAAGUUAAGUCCGUAAAUCGCACCAGCGUCUCGCCCUGAAGCUUGAGUCCUGACCGGGUUGCUUACUGAGAGAAGAUCAUCAAGUGUGUAGAAUUUGGGACUAACAUGGUAAAGAAUGAGCUUUACUUGGUCGUCCGGGCUUAACUUGUUUAGGGUUCCGGGUUUAAGGUUUUGAAAUGCGUUGUCUGUUGGUGCAAACACGGUCAUGCCUUCUGAUGAACUGUUGACUUGGAUGUUGAUUUGGUUUCCGAUUUGAGUUGUGUUCAAAAGACGGGUAAAAGUAACGAAUUGGCCGCCUUUUUCGAGGAUUGCCGUGACGUUGAUGGGACCAGCAGGGCCAGGAGCGGGAGCGGCGGGCUGAGCGGUUACCUCGGUGGAGAGGAAGACGGCGUCUAGGAGGAGGAGGAGGAGGAGGAGAGGAGCUAGAGCUAGAUGAGUGGUGGCCAUUGCGUUUGAAGUUUGAGUUUGAUGAGAAAGUGAGGUUGGGAGUUAAAAGUAUUUAUAUGGAUGAGAAUUAGUGAUGAGUUGUGGCUUAGUUGGAAUGAGAUGGGAUUGGCUAAUAAGUCAUUUUGACAAAAUGUAUAUUUGCCGACAGAAAUUGGAUUCUCUAUGUAACUAUAUGUUUAAACCUUAAUUUUUUUGUUAAAUAUAUAUAAUCAUCGACGUUUGUAUAUGUAUGAUCGGUUGUUAAAUAAAUUUAUCGACAUUUAAUAUAUGUAUGAUUCGUUUAUGUGAUCGCAAGAUAUGUGAGAAAUUAUAUGCAUAUAUUAUAUAUACAAAUAUGAGAUGCUGAAAUUGUAAUGAGUUCUAAGGUCAACAUAUAUACGUACAAACACAAUUUACAUCAAAAUUGUAUAGAGUUAACAACGGAAUAUCAAUCUUUCUUUUACUAGACACUUUUUUUUUGGUCUAAUACUUUUCUUUUACUAUAUACUUAGGUUAACAACCGACACUAACACAUACAUUUUGGUCACACAACUCACAAUAAUCUCAACUAAUUAAUGGUUGGUGGUACUUAGUAGUCUAAUAGAGAAAGAUAAGGAUGAUUUGAUCCCUAAUUUAUUAUACUCAUAUACGUUUAGAUAGUAUUCAUAUGAUUGGAUUCAAUAAUGAAAACGCUUUUGAUAUUUGCUAAAAAAUGUACUUUUCUUAACUAUUUCUUUUUAAUUAGGAAAAGAUAUGAGGAAUUCAAACUCAGUUCUUAGGAAAAUGCGGGUUAAACCAGGUAUAGUAGUUGUAAUUUAGAUCAGCAUAUAGAGAUAACUAAUUAUAUCCUUCUAUUGUAAAUUGUAUACAAUAAGGUAUAUUCAAAAAUGUAGAUGCUUCAUGCAUGUAUCUAUCUAUACAUCCAUAUUCUGUACUUGUGCUGUUGUGCAUACACACGUCGACCGUAGACAUGUAUGUGUUUGUGUCAUUGUGUGUUGUAAGAAGAAGAAAAUGGAUGGACAAAAGUCCAAGGCUCGCUAAGUGACAGCCUGGAUGAACAAGUUGGCAUGUGGUGGGAGUGGAAGACCUACAAGAGUAAACAUAUCUUAGUAUAUCUUAUCGAUCAUUAAUUUUUUUUUUUUAUUGCGUUUGAUCGAUAAUUAUUACCAAUCGCUUCAAAGAGCGACGGCUCAAAUAUAGCAUAAACAUAUUGUUAUUCUUGUUCAAUAUAUGGAAAUAUGGAACCUAAUUCUAUGUAAUUUUUAUUAUUAUUUUGGACCUUUGAAUACACCAAUUUUUUGUUGGUUUAUCAAGUUUUCUUUGCAAAGAUACUCCCAACAUAUUUACUUUGUGUUAAAAAAAAUCGAUCGCCUAACCGUUUAGAUAUUGAUCGUUGUUGAGCAGUGGGUAUUUAAGACUGAUUAGUUUAAUGGAAUUUGGACACAAUAUUAUAUUAAAAUUAUAAAUUAUGAUGGAUUAACAUAUUAAAAAUCUCAAAACUAAUCUCCGGUUCAUUAUUGAAUCCCCAAUUCUUUUAUUAUACGCUAAGGCCACCUCGAUUGCCUGAUUAACGUCUAGUAAAAUGUUGAACAAAACAUAUACUUAGAAAUGGAUUCAAAGAUCAUCGAUCAACCAAACAAACGAUUUGAUAAAACAUUUAAUUAGGAUGGUCUGAACAAACUUUAGCCAGUCAUAAAAUUGUUAGAAACCAAUUAUUUCAAAACGUUUCAGAGGUCAGCAAUCAACCAAGCAAUUUCUCUUAGUAUUUGUUGAGACGGUUUGAUAAAAAAUAAUUCGUCAAAGCGGUUCAAAGCAUUUUUAGGCAGUUACAAGAGAAACUGUAAGAAAGGGUUGUCAACUUAUCAUAAAUGCUUCUAGGUAUGAAGUCACUUAUACUAAAAGCAUAUAUCUCGUGUUGCUCUUAAUACCAUUUUAAAGUGUAUGAUGGUUUUUACCCAAAAAAAGAAGAAGUGUAUGAUGGUUUUUUCACGGCCAAGCGGCAUAUAGAGAGCAUAAAGUAAUGUAUCAGUCUUCUUAUGUUGAAUUGAGCAAAUGCAGAGCGUCCAUUGAACCGUAUAUGUAAUUUUUGGCCUUCACUAUUAUGAUAGACGACCACCUUGUAUUUAGCCUCAUUAGAAACUAGACCUAAACAUAGUAAAACAUGGUUGAAAAACCAUUCAUUUUUACUUGAAUUCAAAAUUGAAACUCCUUUUAAGUUUUAUGGGCCACAAAUGUAUAUAUCCUAGUGGUUUAUGUUAGUGUUGUCAUUAUUUCACAAACCACAUUCAAACCCACAUGUUAAAAAAACAAUCUCGUGUUUUAGGAUCUACUGUACUUUUUUGCGUUUUAAGUAAACUCAACUCAUUUUAAGUGUCCAAGAAUGUUCCAUCAAUCCACCCUAAAUAUUUCAAAAGCCUAUUAUAAGUAAUUAAAGCCAACUCAUUUAAGUGUCUAAGAAUGUUGUUCGUUUUUUUGCGUUUUGAAUUUCCAGCCAUAUAUUCAUUAAAAAAAAUAUCUAUCUAUUUUAUUAUAUAUGGGGAAAAUAUAUUUGAAUUGCCUAUUUGAUCAAUAAUUUUCAAAAGAAAAAUAAUGAAAAAACACUCAAAAGUAUCCAAACAUUUAGCAUUUUUCUGAAAUUAUCUGAAGUUUCGCAAAAUUAACAUUUACCAACUUAUCAAGAGUUUGAAUAGUAAUUCUAUCUGAAUUUUCCGAAUCCAUUUCAUUAUCCGAUUUCUUUUCUUUAAAAAUUAUAAUCAUUUUAAUAUUCAAAAUAUAAAUUUUUAUUACUUUCUAAUUAUUUCUCAUUUCGAUUUUCUAAUGAACAUUCCUAGACCCUACUAUAUUUUUCUUACAAAUUCUAUUACUUACAAUUUUUUUCAUAACUUUUUUUCUUGUUUUCUUUAAGUUUGAGGGGAAACAAGUUUAUUGUCUGAAAUAUCCAAUUGAGGAAGAGAAAAUUAAAACAUAUAUAUAUAUAUAUAUAUAUUUCAAACAAAUCCAUGAAAAACUAUAUAUAAGUAAAAAUGAUGUUGGAUCAUUUGAAUAACUAACAAGUUCAUGUAGUUUUAUGAUAUUUAUCAAUAAGUUCGUUGUGAAUAUCGAUCUAUAUUUGUAAGUUUGUAACUGUAGUGCUUUUUUGGUUUUGGCCAUAUGGUGUCUUAUCUAAGCCAUCAUAGAAUAAUGUAACUGUAGUACUUUAAGUUAAAAUUCGUAUAGAAAGAAUGGAAAUCUAAUAUAUAUUAGUUGGAAAGGACUCUCCAGAAAUUGGCACAUUAACAUUUAAUCCUAUAUAUUAAAUGAAAAUGUAAUUUAAUGAAAAAAUCGAAUUUGUUUUAAUUUGAUUGGUUUAAAAACGUCAAUGAUGAUGUUUAUUCCACGUCAAAUGUGACAUGGCAAGGUCGCUAGUUCUGCACAAUUUUAUUGAAUGAUGAUGCUGAUGUUUAAUUUCUAUCCAAAUUUUUUAUGAUCUAAAAUAAUUAAAAAACGAGAAAAUCACAAACGGAUAAACACGCGGAUCUUUAUACCCGACCCGGCCCAAUUCUCUGUUUUUAAGAACAUUCUUUGGCCCUAUACUUCCUAUAAGCCCAUUUUCAAAUUUUUAAAAUUUUCGUUUUUAAAACUAUUUCUCGCUUAUAUAGAAUAUUUCGAUAUUAAAUUCAAUUUAUUCAGUAAGAUUUCGUAUCUAAAUUACCUCUCAUCUAUGGCAAUUCAAUUUCAUUUGAAUAUUUGAAUUUAAAAACAUUUCCUGAACUAUAGCUAUUUCAUCUAACUACAAUACUAAUAUUCUCUAAUUUGAAUUUAAUAUUUUAGGGUUUAUUCACCUCAAUUGUUUUCCAUAUAUAUAGCAUCAUUCCAAAAGGCCGAAACAAUACUAUCAUCUUCUCAAAAUGUCUAUAAUACGCCUAUCUGGAGCACUUAUUGUUCCUUUUGCUAAAUUAGAUCCUACUACCAUUCAGCAAGUUAGGGCUAAGAUAUGUUACAUCUGGAAAGUGAUUAACAAACAUUCACGUUUUAGAGUCGAAAUGAUUUUAAUUGAUGAGGAGGUAUGUCAUUUAUUAACUCUUAGUUUUUUAUGCCAUCUUGAUUUUAUAUUUAAAAUACAAAGUGAUAAAAACUUCGACAUAACGGGGAUCAAGGAUUCACGCUGCCAGCGAUAAAGAAAUAUUCGAAAAACACAAGGGCCUUCUUAUUGAAAGCAAAACUAUUUCUAUUACUUGCUUUUUAUUAAGAGAGUACCACGAUGUUUUUAGGGCUACUUCUUUGCCACUGAAGAUUUAUUUCUGCCGGACAACCGUUGCGUAUAAGAUUUAUGAUUUUCCAGCAAUACUGCAUGAAAAAUAUUUGACUGAUUUCAAGCGUAUCAAGGACGGCAAGGUGGACAUAAAUCUUCUUUUCGGUAUGUUUUUUUAUUGGUUAAUUAUAUUAAACGUAACACGUUUAAUUUUAUUAUUAAUUUCUUGACGUUGUUAUUGAAGAUGUUAUUGGACAAAUUUUCACGGUGGGGAGUAUUGAAUUUGUUCAAAUUAAAGGCAAAAGAAUCGGUAAAUUGUGGAUUACACUAAGUGAUACCAAGUAACUGUUGAUAUUUUUCUUAUAUUUUAAAAACAUUUGUAAAUUGCGUCGCUGAUUUGUACUAAAUGCUCAAGCGAUGUUCAUUUUAAAUGUACUCUAUGGGGAGAAUAUGCAUUGAUGACCGUUGAGUACAUUAAACAACAUCUGGAAUCUGUCGUUGUCUGUCUGAUGCGCUUUGUCCGUAUUUAAGAGUUCAAAUGUGAGUUCUCAAUAUAUUAUAGUCCACAUAGUUGUAUGUAAAUGUUAACAAGUUAUGCGAAAUUUUGAAAUUUGAUUAUGUUUUUUUAGGUGUUAUUUUAAUAUCCAACUCUUUCAACUCCACUAAAAUUAUGUUUGAUACUGACAACAAGAUCAUCAAAGACUUCAAAGAUAAGUAUGUUUUCGGUAAUAUAUACACUUAUCAUAUCUUGAAACAGUAUUGUAUUAACCAUAUAUCCUUUUGAAUUAUAGAUUGCCUAAAGACAACCAAGUAGUUGUUCACGCUGAUCAGGGUUAUUCGGAUUUAACCAUUACCGAGUGGGAUCCUAGAUCAGAGGUAAUAUGUUCUCCGUAAUUGUAUAUAGUAAUAUACAUCAUGUUUUACAACAAUUUUAAAUUUGUGCUAAAAUUAAAAUUGUUUUUCAAUUAAUCUUUGAUGCUUUCAGGACAUUUGCAAUACUUCAUUUGGAUCGUCACACCAUGCAAACAAUCAGAUGAAUAGUAACGGCAUUAGUGAAGACGCCUCUGAGAAAUCCAUGAGUAACAAGCGUCCUAGGAAGUAAUUCCAUUAGAACAUUAAAAUCCUGGAAUAUCGAACAAUUUGUCUCUGUCUGUAGUUGUUGAGUAAUAUCUGAUUAUCUUCUUAAUGAUGUUCUUGAAUAUUAUGUAUUCCUGCUUCAAAUAAUUAUCCUUUAGAGGUUUUCUUCUACAUGAUGUUCAAAGUUGCAAUUCUUCAAGAUAAUCCAUUUUUAUUGCCAAUACGAACCUAAUAACGAAAUGUAGAUUUUGAAUCAACGAACAUUUACAACGAAUCACACAGCUGUUUAUAUUAAAUGUAAAUUUAUAAGGUUGGUAAUUAUUGGAGUAAAUAAUGUCAAAUGGAAAUUUAAUCUGGCUCAAUCAUAUUCAUCAAUAUAUUUGAAAAUGGAAAUAUGUGUACUUUAUAAAGAUACAUACGUCUGUAUCAGAUAUCACAUAUUAUUAGCAAUUAAGUAUCGAUUCUACCAAGAUAGCAAAAUGGGGAUAACAAUAAAUAUUUCGAUUUAAUGACUUUAGUAGUGUAAUAUACAUUUAUUCGUAAAUUCACAGAAUAUUAUAUUAUUGUUCAUAAAAGGAAGGUAGAUUCGUUAUGAAAAAUUAAAUAAAUUUAAACAACCGUAAUUUGAAUUCACAAUACGUAGUCUUAGGAAACCAAUUAAUUUAAACAAGAUCUUUUUAUUGAAAAAGAAUUACAUAGACACAGGUGAAGUUCAAAAAUGGCUUCUGAGGAUAACUCAUCUAACAAGGAGAACUCACCUCCACUCUUGAAACGUUAGUUCACAUUUAAUCAUAUGGCUGUUUAUAUGUCCGUUAUAUCUCAACUAUUCCAUGUCCAAUCAGGUGGGAGACGUAGGUGUUCAAGUAUUGGACAAUCUUCUAAUGAAACGCAAAGUGACAAUGGAAAAAGUCAAUGCAUCCAACAUGGAGAUGAUUCCCCACCUCUCCGAAUACGUAAGUACUAUUCCUGAUACUCAACCUUUCGUAAGCAUAUUAACAAAAUCUGUAAUGUUUAGUACUUAAUAAUCUGGAAAAUAAAUAUACUUAUAACGUAUCCUGUUCUGUAGGUGGUCAACCUAAGAUUUCUCAAACCUCACCACCCUUACAAAAGUGUAAUGUGUUAUCAAGCUGAGUAGUUUUCUACAUAUAUAAACAAUAUGUUUUCAUUUCUAUAAUUAUUUUGAACAUAUUAAAACCAUAAUUUACCGUAUAUAUUGUCCAGGCGGUAGACGAAGGCAAUUCCAAGACUCACCAUCUGCUGAUAACUCAUCUACGAUCACCCACACAAAUCAACAAAAUACCGAUACAUUAUUCAAUAUAACAAACCAAUCAGGUAGAUUUCGUAAUUAUUUUUUGUUAAUUUGUAUGUGUGAUCUCAUAUGAAUAUCAAUUUCAUAGCGUCUGUUCUCAAUUUCUGUUUUUUAAAUAACUUAGAUGAUUCCAGAAGUCCUUUGUCUGACGUCACAAAUUAUCAAGGUUUGUUAUCAACUCUAUGUACAUUACAAAUAGCUUUCAGCACACGUUAGUUUAUUAUAUACUUUUCUUAUCUUUUUCAUUAACAGUUAUGAGAAGACAAACAAGAUCUCAAACAACCACUGAAAAAAUAAAGGUUUACAAAUGUAUGGAUCUGAGCCUAAUGAUUCCAGAGUACGACCACAGAACUCCAGAUCGAAUGUUAUAAAAGAACAUCCUCAAGGUAUUACUAUGAUGUUGUCCACUUUUCAAUAUAUAGGAUUGUACAUUAUCCACUACAUAAAAUUGACCGCUAUUGUUUCUAUCUUAUAGCUUAUCAAAAUAGAUAUGAGGCUCACAACAAUGACGAAAAUGAUGACUAUGAUGAAAAUAUGACGAAGGUGAAAGUUCAGAAAUUGCAAUGGAAGUUGAUAACAGCGAUGCAGAUGUAAAUAUACAACAGACAACCGUUCCUAAUGUGUUUGGAUCAAUUUCAAUUUGGAGUUCAACCAAAUAGUAAGUACAAAUAAUAGACGCUUAUAACUUUUUUUCAUAUAUAACACUAUAAUUUGAAUUAUUUCUUGGCAGAAUAUUAUGAUGAUGGAGAUCCAAAUUUUGAAUGUGGACACUGUGGAGCUUAUUUUUGGAAUGGAGAGCGGAUAGGAAAAUCCAGGAGACAAUUGAUACCCAUAUUCACGCUUUGCUGUAAGCAGAGAAAAAUUGUCCUCCCUAAACUUAGAAAUCUUCCGAUGGAGUUAAUAGAAUUGUUAUGCAAAGGGGAUGCGUUGAGUAAACAUUUUCGUGAGUUCAUCAGAGCAUACAAUAUGAUUUCUCUUUCACGCCAUUAGGUGGAAGAAUAGAUUACGCCAUUAACAAUGGUCGUGGUCCAUAUGUCUUCAAAAUGAAUGGGGAGAAUUAUCAUCAAAUUGGUGAUAUGGUGCGAGACGUUGGAGAGAUGCCUAAAAUUUCCCAACUUUACAUCCAUGACACUCUUAAUGAGCUAUACAAUAGAAUAGCUGUUUAGGGGUACGUAUUAAAUUCAUUUCCCAAUACUUUAUGUUUAUCUAAUUAAAGACAUAAUACAUGCAUACUUUUUUGAAUAAUAUAUAUUUGUAAUAUUCUUAGGACUAUGGGUGCGGAGACAGAUAAUUCAAGUAUACUGUCUUGGAAAUAUUGAAGAAGAUGCUUGACAAAAUCAAUCCAUACGUCAAGGUAUUUAGACAAGCUAGAGAUAGAUAUGAGACUGAUGGAGGGGUGACGUUCAAAUUGAGGUUGAUAGAAGGAAGAUCGCUGAUGGAAGAAUUCAUAAUAUUCCUACUUCGGAGGAAGUUGCAGCUUUGAUACCAGGUGACUUUGUUUUGAAUAUGGAAACUAGAGACAUCAUUAUUGAGUCCAGUACAGACGGAGGAUUCCAAAGGAUUAGUGAAUUACAUCCUGCAUAUCUUCCUCUCCAAUAUCCUUUAUGGUUCCAAUAUGGCGAGGACGGUUUCCACCUGAAGAUUCCAAUUGCGUAUGACGAAAUUGAGGCUAGGAAACGUAAAUCAGUAACAAUGCGAGAGUUUUUUGCAUUCCGUAUUUGUGAGAGACGUGGUGAGGCUCCUACAAUCAAUCGAUCAGGUAGACUUUUUCAACAGUUUCUUAUGGAUGUGUAUACCAUGAUAGAGUCCAGUAGACUACAUUAUCUGUGGUUCAACCAGAAAAAGAUUCGUUGUAAUAACUAUACAACUAUAAAGAACGCAUCUGAAGCGGGUGCCAAAAAUCUUAGUUCAGAAGGUCCAAGAAUUUAUAUGCCGGCGAGUUUUACCAAUGGACCACGGUAUAUGAAUCAGCACUAUCUGGACGCUAUGGCCAUACGCAAAUAUUUUGGUUUUCCGGAUUUGUUCAUUACAUUUACGUGUAAUCCAAAAUAGCCCGACAUUACACGGUAUCUCCAGAAAUAUAAUCUGAUAACAGAGGAUAGGCCAGACAUUAUGUGCUGUGUUUUUAAGAUGAAGCUGGAUAAUCUGAUAACUGAUCUAACGAAGAAAAAGACGCUAUUUUUGGUCCAACAGCUGCCGGUAUGUUUUAUUGUUAUAGUAAUUCAUUGGUGAAAUUAUGUCAUUUAAUUUAUUCAUCAUAGUCAUACCAUGUUUUAACUUUACGAUAAUGUCUUUCAGUUUUGUACACGAUAGAGUUCCAGGAGAGGGGUUUGCCACACGUCCAUUUUUUGUUAUUCCUGAAAGAUAAGAAUAAAUAACGAACUACCGAUGAUAUUGAUAAGUACAUCAGCGCUGAGAUUCCCGACAAGACAACAGAUCCAGACCUUUAUAAUAUUGUUGGUGAAAAUAUGAUGCAUGGACCAUGUGGAGCUGUUAAACCUGACAAUGUUUGCAUGGUGAACGGGAAGUGCUCAAAGAGUUUUCCAAGACCUUUCAAUGAUGAAACUUCGAUGGAUUCAAACGGCUUUCCAUCAUACCGGCGGCGCAGGGAUAAUAGGUUUUUCUCCAAAAAUGGUAUAAAUCUUGACAAUGGAUAUGUUGUUCCAUACAAUAGGGAUCUUAUGCUACGUUAUCGUGCACAUAUAAAUAUUGAGUGGUGCACUCAAACGCGUGCUGUGAAAUAUCUUUUCAAAUAUAUUCAUAAGGGUCCUGACUAUGUCUCUGCUGCUUUAGAAAAAGAUGAGGAAGGAGUUGUGGAUGAAAUUAAGAAUUAUUAUAACUGCAGGUAUAUUUGCAAUAAUCCUAUAUAUUAUAUGGCCUAUAUGAUUAUAAUAUUUUUGAGACGUUUAAAACACUUUUUUUCCUAAAAUGUAGAUAUGUCUCUGUUUGCGAAGCAACAUGGAGAAUUUUAGGUUUUCCAACUCAUUAUAGGAGUGUUUCGGUGGAAAAACUUUGCUUCUAUCUCUCGAACCGUGAAGUUUAUGUCCAUGAUGAAGACGAAUCUCUUGAGUCUAUUUUGAAUCGGGUUGGUGUUAGUGUUUCAAUGUUUCUAGGUUGGUUUGAAGCAUGUAAAAAAUAUCCAGAUGCGUGUAAGCUAACUUAUGCAAAACUACCAAUAGAAUUUGUUUGGCAUCUAAAGGAUAGAGAGUGGAAGCCUCGAAAACGAAGCUUUGCUAUUGGAAGGAUUGCUCAUAUCCAUCCAAACGGUGACGAGACGUACUAUCUGAGGAUGUUAAUUAAUAUAGUCAGAGGUCCAAAAUGUUAUGAUGAUAUUAAAACAGCUGAUGGCGUUUUCUUUAAUACUUUCAAAGAAGCAUAUGAUGCGUUAAGAUUGUUGGAGGAUGACAAAAAAUAUAUCGAAGGCAUCAAAGAAGCUAGCAUCUGGGCUUCAGGAUGGUAUUUCAGGCUUUUUUCAGUAUAAUGUUGCUAUGUGAUUGUUUAACACAACCUGGUGUAGUCUGGGAAGCAACUUGGGAGUAUUUGACUGAUGAUAUACUUUACAGACGUCGUCUUGAAAGCGGAUAUGAAGGUAUAGAACAGUUGUAAUUAUUUAAUCAUGAAGCUUGCUCUACAAGAUACAAUUUCCAACUUGGUCAUCAUUCUUAAAUAUAUCUUUGUGUGUUGUUAUUGUUUCAGGUUUGAAUCUAUCGACCGAGCAUAUUAAAAAUAUAGCAUUGCAAGAGAUUCAAGAUUUCUUAGAAAGCAGAAGACGUUCACUAAAGAAAUGGGACUGUAUGCCAAAACCGGAUAAUUUCAUGGAGUACAACGGCAACCGAUUGAUUGAUGAUGAACUCAAAUAUAAUGCUGAGGAUCAAAGAAAAGAGAAUGAGAGAUUUUUGGCUAUGAUAACUGAUGAGCAGAAAUGUGUUUAUGAAGAGAUUUUGGAUGCUGUUUUGAACAACAAAGGUGGUGUUUUCUUUGUAUAUGGUUUUGGAGGUACUGGUAAAACAUUUCUUUGGAGUUGCCUUUCAACCGCUAUUCGAUCUAGAGGUAAGAUAGUUAUCAACAGUGCAUCGAGUGAGAUUGCUGCUCUGAUGUUAGAAAGUGGUAGAACAGCACAUGCGAAGUUCGGAAUCCCAAUAAAUCUAGAUGAUUUUACACAAUGCAAUAUGCCUUCUGGAUCAGAUCUUGCCAAUUUGAUGAAAAUGGCUGACUUUAUUGUAUGGGAUGAGGCUCCGAUGAUGAGCAAGUAUUGUUUCAAAAACUUAGAUAGAAGUCUAAAUGAUAUCAUCAGAUUACCUGUGAGAAAACCAUUUGGUGGGAAGGUGGUUGUUUUUGGAGGUGACUUCCGUCAGAUACUUCCGGUAAUUCCUCAUGAUGGCUCAUACAAUAAUUGGAAAGUUUGAUAAUUAAGAGGUUAUAAUGGAUAGUAGAAUCUGGAAGUUAUAUAUCCGACAUUAUCGAGGACCACAUCUAUUGCUGGAAACGGAGAUAAUUCAGUUUAUGUAAUUAUUUACUUCAUCAAUUAUACUGUUCUUGUCAGGGAAUUUAUGUCAGUUAUUAAUGAUUAUUUUUUUUGAGUACUAUAAAUAAUAUCAAACCACUAAUUUUUUGCUGUCACGAUGGGUAUGAAUAUGAUGGUUGACUUAUUUUCUGACCCAUAUGUUAAAGCUACAAAUACAUUAAUUUAAUUAUUAUGUCAAUUUCUUAUUGAUUUGUAUUGUUUAUGAUUCUAUUUUCUUUGUCGUGUUACAUUUGCCUUAUUUAUUAUGUAUACUUGAACUCUAUAACUGAAGAACAAAUGACAAUAAGUAUAUAUGUAUUGAUCCUCCCUUUAUUUUGUUUCCCAUUUAAAAUGUUGAAGGGUUGGAAUCGUAUAAACAAGACUAAUAACAGUAUAUUUCGCAGUGAGAAGUAUAUAAUUUCCAUCUCUUUUGGUAAUAUUAAAUAUAAUAAAAUGAAUUUGUUUAAAUAUAUUUUAGAAACUCAUAACUCUGAUUGCCUUUCUCAAAUAGUGGGGGUUCUUGAGUUGACAUAUAUCUCUUCCAUUAAAUACUGCACCGUAAAACUUUAUUUUCAUUUAUACAACUUACCUCUUUGCUUUUCCAAUCAGCAUUUAUUUCUCAUGUACCCAACUAACGCAACAGUUAUUUACCUUUUACUAAUUACCAAAAUCGCAAUCUUUCAAAUUAACAACUCUAAGUUUAUUCCAUUCUUUCUAUUCAACAACAGAGAUCUCCUCCUUUUGUCGAUCACAAAACUACAAACCAACAACUGCUAAACAAAUCCCUAUUCCAAAAAAAAAUUGAUGGCAACCUUUCUUAAACUUGAUAAACUUUCCCUCAAUGCUCCUCUCCCAACGAUCAUCGUUACAGUUAUUCGACAAUGGCAGGAAUUCAACGUUGUCAAAGGGCGCUUUGAAACACACUUGAUUCUUGGCGAUGAGAAUGUAAGUGUAGUUUACCAUAACUUUUGUUAAUACAAAUUAUUUUAGUCAGUCUAAGUUUAUAAUUUAGAAAUUAUGAUAUCGUUGGUAUCUAUUGUUAGGGUUAUAAGGUUGAGGCGGCCAUCGAUUUGGAUCUCAUGCCCGUCCUCAAUCAAAUUUUUAAGGAAGGAGAGUGGAAUGCGGUUUCCUUAUUUCAAAUCGUCCAUGCGUCUGGCUCAUUCAGGAAUACUAUCAACAACCAUUUCAUCAUCAUGCAUGAACACACCGUUGUAACCAAAAUCUUGGCCUGUAACCCUAAGCAUAUGAUGGAUUUCAUCCCCUUCGAAAAUAUCAUCAACCAGAAGAUAUGCUCUCAGUACUCUAUCGGUUUGUAUUCUGAACCAUCAUGAUUUGUUAGAGGAUAAUGUUAUCCCGUAUAGUUUAUUUAAUAGAACGUAUUAUCGCAGACUUGAUAUGUGUUAUUAUCUUUGUUGGUGACUUGAAGAGUUUAGAAAAUGAUCCUGAUGCUUUGGUACAUGGACCAUGGAGCAAUUUGGAAAUUGAAAUAAGGGACAUGAAGUAAGUAGUUAAGUUAUUAGCAAUAUGACAUAAGGAAUAUCAGUCACUGAUGAUAUGUAUAUUUUAUUUUCAAACAGUUUCAGGGAACUUACAGUUGAGCUGACUGGAAAAACAACAAUGGAGUUUUGGAGAAAGUAGGAAGAAAUUGGAACAUAUGAAACGGUGUUGACUCUUAGAAUGUUUCGCGUUUUCUAUGAUUCUCAAAGUUAGUCAUAUUUACUUUACUGAAUUAACGUCAAUGGUACCUAAUGUUUUAAUGAUCCUCAUAUGAAAAAAUGAUUAAUAUAUAGGAUUAUAUUUUAUUAUAGACGGCUUCUUCAUCAGAAAUGCUGGUGACCAAUCUGAAGUACUUUUUAAUCCACAUAUUAAAGAAGUUCUGAUUUUCUAGAUUGGUAUAACACUAUUCUAAGUAAACCUCUAUUCAGUUUACAUUGUAUUUGUGGUUUAUGUAAUUGUAUUCCUUCAAUUUUUUCAGGUUACCAUUUACUGAUAUCCAUGAAGAUCAAAGCUGGCCGUGAAAUCCUACAUCAACUCCGAUUUUUUUUCAUCUUAAACUCUAUUAUAUCUGUUUCAAUUCCCAUAUAUUUGAGGAUAAUGUUGAACCUUUUUCUUUUUUUGUUGAAUUUUUAGAGAUUUGGUCUGUUUAUGAUUUUUAUCUUAUUUUUAUGAACAUUGCUUAUAAUUAUGCUUUUUGAACUUCUCAUAAUAUUUAUUAACAUACACUGACUAUUUGCUAUUAAUUGUGUUAUAUCAAUUUCUAAAGUUUGAGUAAACAUGUACUUUUAAUUUAGGUUCUUAAUUUUUGGUUUAGAAAGAUAAUAAUAGUAUAAAUUAUAAUGACUGUUAAAUGGAAGAUUACAAUAUAUUCCAUUUAACAAAUCUAUUGUUACCAUAAACAGAAAUGCAAUUAUAGAAGUUGAUAUAUUGUAUAUAUUAUGUCCAUUGUAAUUUACCAAACCCGAUAUUUGAUGAUAUAAUGACCCAAUAUACGUUUUAUUUAGAAUUCAUGGCUGGAAAUAUUUGGAACCCUAAAUUAUUGUCCUCUUGAUAAGUUUCCAAUAUAUAUACAAACACUAACAACUUAUUUAGUCUUCACAUCUUAUCGGAAAAUGGAACCACUUGAUUACAUUGAAGACUUGAACAACAUGUCAACUGAAUGGUGUAUCCGUGUGAAACUCGUGAGAAAGUGGUUUGAAUAUAUACCACAUCAGGGCGUAACAUUAGAAUUGGUUUUUGCUGAUGCGAAGGUAAAAUUUUAUCCUUUAUGGUAUCACUAAUAAAUUACAUUAAUUCACAUAUAUUAUUUUCUCUACCAAAAUAUUCAAAUUCUUUUAUUUGAAAAGGACCAUACAAUACGCGCUCGGGUUAGACGACAAUUUCAUGAUUUAUUCGAACCUCUGGUAACGGAAGGUUCAUGGUUUGAUAUUGAAGAUUUUGUUGUCAAGAGGUUAUGCAGAAAUGAAAGCAGAGAUUCGAACUGUUUUUUUAAUCCAAAUUAUAAUAUCCACCUCCGUCAAAAAAAUUCCAUCUGUUCAAGGUUUGUUGUUUGUAUUAUUUUAUAUCGAUUAUAGAGAUAUACAUAUUUGGUAUUAAAUUUUAUUCUACAUUUUUUUUGCAGUUAUCAGAACAGCAAUUAAUGGAUUACGAUGCUCCUACGAAUAAUUCAUGUUAGUAUACAUAAUAAUUUCGUGUUUUAAAUUUAAUUGCAUGUUUGAUUUUUCCUUUCUGAAUCAAUAAUAAAUUUCUUACUAAUGUCAUUUCUCGAUUCUCAGUUUAUUGACUUAAUGAUACAAGAACUAUGACAUGUUCUUUAUACCGAAUUAUCACAAUUUUUUAAACAAGAUACAUCGUCACAAUUAUGGGUUCUUUCUGUAGUAUAUGUGAUCUUCAUAAUUUUUUCACUUUUCAUAAAACAGAAAUAGGAUAUAUACAACACUGAGCAUAAAAUAUAGGUACAUCAUACCACACAUUAUAAUUCGACCUAAUACAAUUAACACUAUAUCCAAUAACAUUAAUAAUUUAUAAAACUGACCCGCACACUUCUAGCAAUUAACACUAUCUGCGAUUUUUUGUUAUUUUAGAUAAUUGCUGCGAUGAGAAAUAAUAAAUCUAACAAUCCUACAAAAUUGGAAAAUCGUUAUAGUUCAAAUUAAAAAAACCCAGUUAAAAUGUUUGUAUUUCUUACACAAUAUUCGUUCUCAUUCGAGGUAAAUAACACUUUUAAACAUAAUUAGAGUUUUUCCUAAAAAUUCCACUGAAUAAUAAAAAAANNNNNNNNNNNNNNNNNNNNNNNNNNNNNNNNNNNNNNNNNNNNNNNNNNNNNNNNNNNNNNNNNNNNNNNNNNNNNNNNNNNNNNNNNNNNNNNNNNNNGAAAUAUUAUGUAGGAAAAAAGAGUAUAUUUUUUUUCAUGUAAACAUAUUUUUUGUACGUCUGUCUGAGGAUCACAUCAGAAGAAUAAUUGUAGUAUGGGGUGUGUUUGAGUGAGUAAUUUUUUGCUUGGUUAGUUGAUCAAAAUUCUCUUAUAGGGUGUAUAUAUAGAAUUCUUAGAUAGUGACUCCUCAUUUUUCUUCGCUCUGUUUCAUAUUCCCCAAAAGUCGUUUAUAAAUACAGCAUAUUAAAUAACAUUUGAUUGAUUUAUCACCAAUUCCAAAUGAAUCUACAUUUCGAAAUAAAUGAAUACAUCUUUGCAUAUAAUCUAUAAAAUAUGUUCAUAUAUGUCACAUUUCGAUGAAUAACUUACGAUUUACGAACAUAAAAUUAAUGUAUGUAUUCAUAAUUACAUGUAUUCUUCAUCUACACUUUCUUCAUUAUACAUACCUAAUUAUAAUUAUUUAAUCAGUUAUACAUCACUUAUUGUUUAUAUUUACAUCAAAAAAAGUAUAACCAAUUGUAAGACACAAUCCAAUUCUUGUACUAAUAACAUACCAUAGUAACACUGUAUCCACACGCACUGUCAAUUAUCAAUUUUAUAAAAUUCGACCCAAUAAACUUAACAAUAUAUCCAAUACAAUUAAAAUUUUUAAAAACAUUCAAGCCCGCACAUGCGUGCGGGCCAGUAUCGUAGUAGCAAAUUAAAACCUGAUAUGUUUCUUGAAUCUCAAUUAAUGAUUAUAUAGAAAUUUAUUUAAUCAUUAACAUAAAAUAAAUAAGAUUUUAUUUUAAUUAAAAAAUAUCAUAAACAUAUAAAUAACUAACAAAUUUUAUAUACUUUCUGAUUUUAAGUUCAUCUUUUUUUUUCCGUGUUAUUUAAUUUCCAUUUCAAACUAACAAAGAUAAUCUAAUCUCAAUGCAAAUAAAAAAAAAUAUGAGACCAAAAAUAAAAACUAUAAGUUAAGCAAGUUUCAAACACCAUAUAUAAUAGUUGGAGGAGAUUCUCCAGAGAUUGGUACAUCAGCAUUUAAUAAUAAAUUAAAAAUUAACAUGUUUUCGGAGUCUAAAUUAGUAAUUAUAUCAAAAUUUAUUUAAUCAUAAACAUAACAUAAAUGAGAUUUUAUUUUAAUUGAAGCUAGCAUAAACAUAGAAAUAUCUAACAAAUUUAAUAUACUUUCUGAUUUUUAAGUUCAUCUUCUUUUUUUUUCCAUGUGAUUUAAUCUUCAUUUCAAACUAACAAAGAUAAUUUAAUCUCAAUGUAAAUAAAAGAAAAUAUGUGACCAAAAAUAAUUACAAUAAGUUAAUCAAGUUUCAAACUAAAGACAAAAAUUACAAACAAGAAAACAACAACACCAAAGAUAGCAUUUAAUAAAGAAUUAAAAAGAUAACAUCUAAUCUAAAAUAUAAUAGUUGGAGGAAACUCUUUGAAGAUUGGCACAUCAACAUUUAAUUGCGAACUAAAAAUUGACAUGUGUCCUGAGUUUCUAUUAGUAAUUAUAUCAAAAUUUUAUUUAAUCAUAAAUAUAACAUAAAUGAGAUUUUAUUUUAAUUAAAAAUAUCAUAAACAUAUAAAUAUCAAACAAAUUUAAUAUAUUUUUUGAUUUUUAGUGUGAUUUAAUCUCCAUUCGAAUUAACAAAAAUAAUUUAAUUUCAAUGCAAAUGAAAAAAAAAUAUAAGACUAAAAUUAAAAAUGAUAAGUUAAGCAAGUUUCAAACACCUAAAGCCAAAAAUUAAUAAGAAGAAAACAACAACACCAAAAAUAACAUUUAACUAGUGAAUUUUCCCGCGCUUUGCGCGGACUAAUAUAAUUUUCAAUUUAAUUGUUCAAAAAACUAAUAUUAGUUUUGAUUCAUUUGUUUUGUUUGUUAGAUUUUCUUACAUUUUAAUGUUUUAUUAAAUUUUCCGUUUUAUUAAAUUUGAAAAACGGUUGUUGACAGCUACAAAAGUAGAAUGAUACGUACAUGAUUUAUAUAAAGCUAUAUAGUAUAUGUUAAUAUUUGUUUAGAAAAAUAUUAGUAUAUGUUUACCUGAUGACUCCAUAAGUUUUUAGUAAGAAUGAAGAAGAAAGAAGAUCUUAGACAAUUUUAAAAGUUGUUGGAGAAUUAGAGAAAAGUAGUUAAUAUUUAUACUAAAUUAUAAGAAAUCGAAAACCCUAUAAACAUUAGCAAUAUUCCAUUACUUAGAGAUGAUGUUUUUUUUUAACGACAUUGCAUUAGUUAGAUAUAUAUAUAUAUAAAUAUAUAAAUUUAACUUUUGUUAGAUUUUUUUGUUAAAUUUUGUUUUUAUUUGAAAUAACAUUCCAUUACUUUUUAAAUAGAUUCCAUUUUUUUGUUUCUUUAACAUUUUUUUAAGUUUUUUUUCUAAAUUUUGAAAACAUAAAAAAUUGUAAUUACUAAGAAAUAUAGAUUCCAUUUUUUGUGUUUGUUUUUAAACGUUUUUGUUAAUUUUUUUUCUAAAUUUUGGUUUUAUAAAAUUUUGCAUUUUUGGGUUCAAAUAAACUGGUUUGAUUGACUACAGAAUUAAAUAUUAAAUCAUAAUAAUUUUUAUUUGAUUGUUUCAAAAUCUAAUAGUAGUUUGGAUUCAUUUGUAUUUUAUUCUUGAGUAUAUUUGUUUAUUAAAUUUUCUUGCAUUUUAAUAUUGGAAGACAUGAUUGUGAAAACAAUGUAGAAUGUAAGAGACUAAAUAAAAACAUAGUAGUAUCUAAAUAAUUUAGUUAAAAUAGUUUUGAAAUCUUUUGAUCACUAUUCUAUGUAUUUUAGGCAUAAUUUUUUGAAGUGACGUAUGAACCUAUUCGAUUUUGAUCACUGUUUUAUGCGUUUUAAACAUCACAAAUACCGUCAUUCCAUUAGUUAUAUAUACUGUAUAUAUAUUAUUCUUUUUUUUUAGCUUUUUUGUUAGAGUUUUUUUUUUUUAAAAUUUCGGUUUUUUUUUUGAAACAAUAUUUCAUUACUUUUUAAAUAGAUUCUAUUUUUAUUUAUUUUUUUUACAUUUUUGUUAAAUUUUUUCUGUUCACACAGUUUACAGUCAUGGAAUGACCUGAUAACACUUCAAGCGGCUUCCCCUUCUUCAGAUUCCAUAUGUAAACCUGUGAAACAACAACAGAUCAUAUCUCAGUGAAAAAAUCAACCAAAAAAAGGAAACCAUGUCAGCUUCGUAGAUAUGUGCUUGCUUACUACCUGUGAAUCCUCGCUUCCACUGGCGAUGAACGAACUAUCCAACCCACCAAAACAUGACCUUAUCACGUAUUUGCUCUGCUUGUGACCCGAAAACUUCAACGGUUGUUUCCACUCUCCAGCAAGAUCCCAAAGAUGUAUCUCUUGGCUGCUCAAGUUGACUAUAAAGAACUUACCAUCACCAGAAACCGAGAGUGAAGUAAUCGGCUGCUCCUCAGAGAUGACACGCUCGACUACUGUCUCCAGAUUUUGGAAACAGAAAAAUUGGUAAAUUAUAAGAGAUAUAGAAGAUUCUUUUUUUUUCUUUUGAAAAAUUUUUUUUUGUUUUUUUUUUUCUUUCUAAAUUUCAGUUUUAUACAAUUUUAGAAUUGGUUUAAUUAGACAGCAAAAUUAAGCAUUAAACCAUUAUAAUUUAGACCGAUUUGUUUUAAGUUAUUUUUACACAUCAUCAGUUUAAAACUAAUUAAAAAUAACACGUAAUUGCAAAUGGGGUUAAACAGUCUUUUUGUGACUGAAACUCAUUCUGGAGCUAACACGUAAGCGAAAGGUUGUGAAACUCGCUGUGAGCUAAUAUAUGUCCCUUACAUUCUGGAGUAUUGCGCAGGCUGAUAUAAUUUUCAUUUGAUUGUUUGAAAAUCUAAUAGUAGUUUGGAUUCAUUUGUUUUUUAUUCUUGAGUAUAUUUGUUUGUUAGGUUUCCUUGCAUUUUAAUGUUGGAAGACAUGAUCGUGAAAACAAUAUAGAAUAGAAUAGAGUAAAUAAAAAUAUAGUAGUAUCCAAAUAAUUUAGUUUAAAUAGUUUUGAGAUAUUUUGAUCACUGUUCUAUGUAUUUUAGACCUAAGUUUUUGAAGUAUCAUAUGAACUUAUUCGAUUUUGAUCACUGUUUUAUUUUUUUCUUUUUUUUUAAAAUGUUUUUGUUUAUUUUUUUCUAAAUUUUGGUUUUAUAAAAUUUUAGAAACGGUUUAAUUUGACAGCAAAAUUAAGCAUUAAACUAUUAUAGUUUAGACUGGUUUGUUUUAAGUUAUUUUUUAUACAUCAUCAGUUAAGAACCAAUUAAAAAAAUGACAUAUAAUUGCAAAAUGGGGCUAAACAGUCUUUUUACAAUCGAAACUCAUUAUAGUGCUGACAAGCGAAAGACUGUGAAUGUGACAUAUAAGCAAAUCAUUACAUAAAUAAGUACAUAGAUAAAGAAUGGAAAAGAUAACAUGUUAUAAAAAUAAAGAGAAUAAUAAUAAAAACGAAAAAAAAUAUGACAAAAAAUAAAUGGGCAUAGAUAAGAAAGAUGAAAUCAAUAAUAUUGUUAUAUAUAUGUGAAAAUAAAACCUAAAAAUUAGUUAUUUAAGAAAAUUAAAAAUUAUUGCUAGUUGAUGGAUGAAAGAACUCGAAAAAAAAUACUAGAAAAUUGAUCGUCUAUAAUUCUGUAAGUUUUCUUCUAGAUAUAUAAAUAUCAAUAAUUUAAGAUUUAAAAUUCAUCUUCUUAUUUUAUUUUUUUUGUGCAAUUUAAUUUUUAUUUUUGAACUAACAAAUAUAAUUUAAUUUCAAUGCAAUAUGAGAUCAAAAUAAAAAAACAUUAUUUCAAACAAGUUUCUAACACUUAAAAACUAAAAAUAAGAACAAAAAACCAUAAUACCAAAAAGAAUAUUCAAUAAAAAAUUGAAAAGAGAAAAGGUUAUAAAAUAGAGAGAAAAAAUAAUAAAGUAAUUAAAAAAAAAGAAUAUAGCAACAACUAAAUGUACAAAAUAUUAAAGCUAUAGGUAAAGAAGAUGGAACCUAUAUAUAUAUAUAUAUAAACAAAAUUUAAAAAUAGCAAUUUGAGAAAGUUCAAAAUUAUUAUUAGAUCAUGAUUUGAAUGAAAAAUAUGAAAAAUGGAUAUAAGAGAUUAUUAACAGAUAAUACAAUAAAAUAAUAGUUUAUAAUUUUAUGGCAUAGCACGAUUUAUUUUCUAGUUGGAAUAAAAUUUCAAAGGGGAGGAAAACACUAGAAAUUAAUUUUCAUUAAAAAAAAAAUGUUGGGGACUGAGCACCGAGAGCGACCAUGCAUGCAGCCGUACACUCGUCACGGCAUGUUCGUCGCGUCCGACACAUCUCUCAUCUGUGUCUCAGCUGUUUCCUGUCGCCACGUCUUCUCUUUCCAUUGUCUAUCUAUAAUUACCACUUUUAACUUUUAUCAUUCGCAUAUAUCCAUAAUUGAUCAAAGUCUGUCGAAACUUAACAUUUCUUAACCGGUGCUUCUAGCUCUAGUGGUAAAGAACCCUCAGCUGAGGUAUCCGCCAUCACGAGUUCGAGCUCCAACCACUGCGGAAUUUACAUAUGGACUGCAGCGUCCCAAGAGCCGAUACGUGGAAUGCCAUAUGGCCACCCACGUGGCUAGUCUGGACCCACCUCGAUCCGGUUUCGGUUCGGAUCCUCCCAAUUCUGAAUCAAUUCAGUUCCAAAAUUGUAGAACCGAUAAAUACCAAAAAAAAUUGGGUGCUUCAAUGAUUCGGUUAUUUUUGUAUCCGAAACCGAAAAUUUCUAUCCGAAAUGAAUAAAAAAUACCCGAAAUGACAAAAAAUAUCCGAAAUCCGUUAUUUAACCCAAAAAUUUCAUGCCAAAUUUUUAAUCCAAACAACAAAACCAUAAUGUUUCAAGUUUUACCAGUUACCACAGCUAAAACUGUUUCCAACAAAUAACAACAUUCCAAAGUCCAAACAAAAGUCACAAAGACACAAACCAUGAAAGGAAAAAUCAUCCAAAAUACAAAGAACACAAAGUACCAAAUUUCAAACUCAAACCACAAAGAACACAAAGUACCAAUCUCCAAACUUGAAAGAAGCUAUCAGAUCACCAUCAGCUCACACUCUUUAUCAUGUUUUUCAUCCUUGAAAGUUGAAUUCAGGUUCAUACUUUAAAGAAAGACAAUGAAAAUAAAGUUAUAACUUAGAAAUCAUAAUCUUAAAGACAAUGUGAAAUGAAAAAAAAAAGAGUUACUUACUUCUCAUAAGCUCAUUUUCUAACUCCACAUCUGAAAACAUAUGUUGAACAGUUACCUCUCCUUUUUCAUUGAUAUGGAUCUCACAUUUUAACCAUUGCUCAGUACACAUCAGAACUUCAACCAUGUAGUGUGUCAAACAACUUCUAUAAGGUUUUAACACCCUACCACUAGUGCUAAAAGCCGAUUCUGAAGCCACAGAUGAUACUUGCAUUGCGAGUAUGUCUUUUGCAACCAGUGACAAGAUUGGGAACUUACCACUAUUCCGUUUCCACCAUGAUAGGAUAUCAUAUUCAAAUCCCUUCAUCAGCUUUGGUUUGUCAACACUCUCUUUCAAAUACAGGUCCAACUCAUUUGUUGAAUCUUCAACACCUGAUUCUUCUACAAGUUCCUGAUAUAUAUCAUCCAUUCGCCUGUAGCCAACGCCUGUUUUGAGACUUCUUGUAUCCACAGCUUCACCUCUACACUGAUCUUGUGACUGAGAAGAUGAUCCAUGAGCCUGAGAAGAUCCUUUUUGCGAUCCACCAUUACCACUGUCAUUGGUUUUAUCCGAAAAUAUAGUGUACUCAUCAACCAAACGCUUCAAGAUACUCUCAACCUCAUCAUAAAGGUGAAUAGAUUCAACGCUGUCUUUCCCAUACAGCGAUUCACAGAGCUGAAGAAACUUCAUCUUCUUCCUCGGGUCAAAAACAGUUGUCACCAUUGAAAGCUUGUUCAUCUCCACAAUAUUUUCCCCAUCUUUUACAGCAAACGGAUCCCAAUACUUAUCUAGUUUCUUAUUCAUAGAAAUGGCUUUACUAAUCAACUCAUCAUCAGUAGCUGGAUUUGUCCUUAUCUCGUUGAUGUUAGUUGUAAUAGUAACUAUCUCAUUAUAUAGUUUAUGUGCAGCCACUGAAUUUGAUGCAGAAAGAAUCAAUGUUGAAUUGUAAAAGAUCACAAGAAAAUGGACGAACCUUUCUAUUUGAUCCCAGUCACUCGCACAUGGUGGUCCGACCCUCUUCUUCCCUUCCACAGUUUCUGAAAAGUAGUCACUAUACGGUUUGUCUUCAUCUUUAAUCUUCUCAAAAGUCGACCUGAAUUUCAGAGCUUGAUCUAGCAUGAGAUAAGUAGAGUUCCACCUUGUCUUCAUAUCUAAAGGCAAGCUUCCUCUAGUCAUCUUCCCGGUUUCAACUCGAAACUCAAACGCCUUCACUCUGUUUGUAGAGGUCCUCACAUAGUGUAUAGCAUUCUGAAUGGAAACGACACUGUUAUCUAGCUCUUGCAAGCCAUCCUUCACGAUCAAGUUCAAUAUGUGUGUAGCAUACCUUAAGUGAAGGUAUUCUCCAUUGAGAACUAUUGCAUCAUCUCCAACUUUCUUAAACUCUGCUUUGAAUCGCCUCAUAGCUGAACUGUUUGCGAUAGCAUUAUCUACGGUAAUGCAGAAGAUCCUUUUGAUGUCCCACUCUUCCAAACACUGAACUAACACCUUAGCAAUCGUUGCACCUACAUCACAAUUAAAUAACUUACUAAAUCAAAAGCUAACUAAUCACUUAAGCAAUCACAUUUUGCAUCAUGAACAAGGGAAGACAAUAAAAAAAGUCAAAACAAAUAAAAGUUUGAAUCGCACCUUUGUGAUCAUCGAUAUUCUUGAAACUUAAUAUCAUCUUUCUUAGCCGCCAAGAAGUAUCGAUAAAGUGAGCUGUUAUGACCAUAUAACUGGCUGAAGUAUUAGGAGCUGUCCAUAUGUCUGUUGUCAAAGACAACCGCUGCUUGUUCUGUCCAAGUAUCCUCUUCAUAACUGCUUUUCUUGAAACAUAUAUCUCCACAAUGUCUCGUGUGGCUGUUCUUCGAGAGUGAGGAGUGUACAGCUUCGUCUUUGUGGUGAAAUGCUUCCAAGCUAAGCUCUCGACAAAAGAUAAAGGUAGCUCAGCUAAUACCAACAUCUCAUUCGUAGCUUCUCUGAAGAUAAGUUCAGAAACCUUUCCUAAACCCAUAACUCCAUCAUCACCAGUGGGAGUUAUCACCGUUUGGUUGCUAUCUUUGUUAGCAGAAACCCAAGCUUGAUACGUCUUAUAUCCGAAAUUGAUGUGCUUCGUAAUGUUGGAUGUGCCCGACUUGGAUGAACAUGCGAAUUCCUUACCACAAUAAUUGCAGUUGCAUUUGUCAUAAUUAUUCUUGUGUCGUGUGUAGUGCUCCCAAACUUUUGACCUUGUCUUCUUCCUUUUAGAACCAGAACCUGAACCUUCUUUUUCUUUCCUCUUCCCUUUAUUUCCGGUUUCAUGUGUUUCAACAUCCUCGCCAUCUGUUUCAGGUGCAUCGUCUUCAUCCAUGGGAUCCCUGUCUUCGCAAGAAGCCAUCUGCGAAUGGAAAUCCACAUAUGACAUACCUCCGAUCGAAAUCAAAUCAAAACAAUACGACAAUCACAUCAAAAUAAUACGACGAAAUCAAAUCCAGAAUCGAAAUCAAAUCAAUACGAUUGAAACGAAAAAAAAAACCAUAAUCAAAAUCUAAUCGAAACGACUAAAUGAUAUCCACAUACCUCCGAUCUUAUUCUCGAUGAUGCUGAUGACGGUGAUGGCAAUACGUAAUCAGGUUCGGAGCAGUUCUUGUUAGUGGAUUCCAGUUUUGAUUUUGGGGAUUUAGAAAUGGAAAUGGAUUGUGUAUAGGAGAAGAAGAAAUUGGGAGUGGAAUCGGUUUCUAUGAAACCCUAAAUUUACCCGAAAUAUAACCCGAAGUUACAAACCAUAUAGUAAAAAACUAUAAAGUAUAAAGUAUAUAAUAUAUGUAAUACAUAUAUAGAAACAUCGAUUAUGUAAUAUAGAGAAUAAUAAUUCAGGUUAUCUGAAUAUCCGAUCGGUUUUCGGUUCUUACCUGGAACCGAACCGAUAUGCACGGUUCUAAAAAAUUUUAUCCAUCGGAUAAAACAGUUAGAUCUGAAUUUUGAUCCAAAUCGGUUUUUCGAGUCAGUUUCGGUUCGGUUUUUUGAAUCUAUGCCUAGCCUAUGUGUGACCAUUAUAUUAUCUAAUCAAACUAUAUAGUCUAACAUACAACUUUCAAUCUUAUUUUCUCUUCUUUCUUUCUUUGUCUGACAAUAUUUUCAGAACCCUUUGUCACUAAUAAAACAAUUAAAACCUGAAUUCUUGCCUUUUGCGCCGAUAAAUAAACCAUACAAUUGAACAUGGAAUCCGAAAAUAAAAAGAGAAACAACGUGGAGAAUUAUUCUUAUAUAUAACAAACUCAUCGUUUUUUGGUAAUUAAUUCUGCCAUUUUCGCACUUUGAUUGCCCAUUCUCUAAAUUGUAAGGCUGAUUCUAUGCUGGUUCGUAAGGUAAAAGAGAUGGCUUAUGCUGUUCGUUACUCUUUAGUAGUAUAAGUUGACAAAAAAGGUGAGAGAUUCAGCAAUCAUACGGUUAAAUUGUCAUCUUAAUCAAGUUUUAGCAGUUCGUUUCAAAAGUAAUAGAUUUUUGUUUUUUGUAUUUUAAAAAAUGAAACCACGGUAUACAAUAAACAGUUUGUCCUAUUACAUGUGCCUAUCUCAAAGCUGAUGUGUAAGAAACAUGGCACUUCAAUAAGCCAUGCAAAUUGAAAUGUGUCAACUCCCUUCAUUGAUAUGUUUGCUUAACAACGUGCAGCCAAAUUUUAUUUCCAAAUAAAGACAUAAAAAUAGCAAUACAAGCGAAUUGUAAAUUGUACAUAGUCGACUCUAUAUACUUGGUUCUUUUCUCAAUCGAUUUAUCAUCAAAACUCCUAACAGCAUUUAAAAGAAGAAAAAAAUAGAAAAAACCCCCUAUAAAUAGAUUCACUUAACGCAAGUGUAAGACCAGAAAAACCAUAACAAAUAAGUAAAGAGAAAAUGGCUCGAGUCUCCUCUCUUCUCUCCUUUGCCUUUACACUUUUGAUCUUUCUCCACGGCUACACUGCUCAGCAGUUUCCAAACGAGUGCCAGCUCGACCAGCUCAAUGCGAUCGAGCCAUCACACGUACUUAAGGCCGAGGCUGGUCGCAUAGAGGUGUGGGACCACCACGCUCCUCAGCUACGUUGCUCUGGUGUCUCCUUCGUACGUUACGUCAUCGAGUCUAAGGGUCUCUACUUGCCCUCUUUCCUUAACACCGCGAAGCUAUCCUUCGUGGCUAAAGGUACGUUUUUUUUAAACCAAAUAUUUUUGGAUCUUUAGUAACUUUUACGGAUUGGGAGACCAUUAUAAUAUCAAGAUUUAAGCUCGUGAUAAGGUUCACUCUUUUUGGAUAGUGUUAUAGUACAUCUUUAGAGCUACAUACGCGCCGAGUUUUAUAAAAAAGUCUCACAUGGUUUCGACUUGCUUCAAAUUUUUGAUCAAAAUCUAAAUAAUUUUUAUUAGACCUGUGCAUGUAAUCUUCUUCUUUCUUUUGGGUUUGUGACACUAUAGGACGAGGUCUUAUGGGAAGAGUGAUCCCUGGUUGCGCUGAGACAUUCCAGGACUCAUCAGUAUUCCAACCAGGCCAGCAGGGACAGGGCCAGCAGGGACGAGGCCAGCAGGGACAAGGGCAGGAACAAGAACAAGAACAGGGACAGGGACAAAGGCAAAGCUUCCGUGAUAUGCACCAGAAAGUGGAGCACAUAAGGAGCGGGGACACAAUCGCAACCCCAACAGGUGUAGCACAAUGGUUCUACAACGACGGAAACCAACCACUUGUCAUCGUUUCCGUCCUUGAUUUAGCCAACCACCAGAACCAGCUCGACCGCAACCCAAGGGUAUAUAUAGACCAAAACCUCAAAAAAAAAAAAACAGAAAUUUAAUUAUAAUCACAAUAUAACAAAACAAAUGUUGUUUUUCUAUGUGUGUUAUGUAGCCAUUUUACUUAGCUGGAAACAACCCACAAGGCCAAGUAUGGCUACAAGGACGUCAACAACAGCCACAAAACAACAUCUUUAAUGGCUUCCCACCAGAGGUUAUUGCUCAAGCUUUGAAAAUCAAUGUUCAGACAGCGCAACAACUUCAGAACCAGCAAGACAACCGUGGAAACAUUGUCUUUGUCAAAGGCGAAUUCGGUGUCAUUAGGCCACCUUUGAGGGGGCAGAGACCACAGGAGGAAGAAGCAGUAGGUAACGGUUUAGAGGAGACCAUAUGCAGCGCGAGGAGCACCGAUAACCUCGAUGACCCGUCCAAUGCUGACGUGUACAAGCCACAGCUCGGUUACAUCAGCACUCUAAACAGUUACGAUCUCCCCAUCCUACGCUUCCUUCGUCUCUCAGCCCUCCGUGGAUCCAUCCGUCAAGUAAGUUCAACAAAGAAUGUUAUCUACAUGACUACCUAUCAAAUCAACUAAUACACAUGCGUUUGAUACGAAAUUAAACCGUUCAAUUUGUUUCGGUUCAGAUUAAUUAUAUAUAUAGUGGUUUUGGUAGAAUCAAAUUUUGAUUUAAAAAAUUCCAUUUGUAAACUUUUUUUUUGCUAAAAUCCAUUUCCAUUUGUAAACUUUCAUUUUGUUCGGUUUGUUUGGUAUUACAAACAAAAUUCUUUCCCACUUGGUCACAUCUCGCUUUAGUUUUUCGGUUUGCUAUAAUUAUGUCAAUUUCUAGAUUUAAACGUGACUUCUGAAACGUGUGUGUGGGUGUAGAACGCAAUGGUGCUUCCACAGUGGAACGCAAACGCCAACGCGAUUCUCUACGUGACAGACGGGGAAGCCCAAGUGCAGGUGGUUAACGACAACGGUGAAAGAGUGUUCGACGGACAAGUCUCUCAAGGACAGCUAUUAGCCAUUCCACAAGGUUUCGCCGUGGUGAAACGCGCAACAAGCGACCAGUUCCGGUGGGUUGAGUUCAAGACAAACGCAAACGCACAAAUCAACACUCUUGCUGGACGAACCUCAAUCAUGGCAGGUCUACCACUAGAGGUCAUAAGCAAUGGGUACCAAAUCUCGCCCCAAGAAGCAAGGAAGGUUAAGUUCAACACGCUUGAGACCACUUUGACUCACGCCAGUGGCCCAGCUAGCUACGGAAGGCCAAGGAAGGCUGAUGCUUGAGAGCUUUAAACACAACGGCGUUUAACAGUGAGCCUCUACUGUGAAAGAAAGUUAAAUAGUAGUAGUAAUAAUAAUAAUGUACGAAAAUAUGACUGGUUUUGUUGAGGUUUACUUGUAAAAUGUAACUCCUUUUCUGAAUAAAAUCAUCAAGUCAUAAAAAUCUAUUGUCGAAACUUCAGAGACUAGUUUUAAUAAGCUCAGAGCAAAAAAGGACUCGAUGGAAGCCGGAUAAUCAAUGGGUCAUCCAAUUAAUUUACUAUGCAAUUUCAUAAUCUUACAUGACUUCUUUCAAUUUUCAACAUCUAAAAGAGCCACAAUAGACCUAAAUCUCUAUAUUAAUACCAAAACUAAUUUUCUUUUUUAAGUUAGCAAUUUCGUUUUGAAACUUUUUUUAUGACCAUUACUUGUAAGAUGAUAAUCAUACAUGACUUAUAAUUUCUUUUUAAGUUAGCAAUUUGUUCUUCGUUUUUUUAUGAAAAAAAAUACUUGUAGGAUGAUAAAAAAUGUUUGCAAAAAAAAGAUGAUAAAAAUCAUAGGUCGUUUAUGUUAUAAGUUAGCAACACGAAACUCUUUCUCUCGAUUGUCUAUUAUAAUUACUAUUGAGGAAAUGUUCACUUUCUCAUUAAUUGGUAAAAGAAUGUACAAGUGUUGAUAUAUAUAGUCACACGGUUUAGCUAAAAGAAACAAACCGGUGAUUUAAUCUAAUCUAUGUACAUUGAACCGGACAUAAUCCGGUAUAUAUCUAAUAUACCCCUUUAAGCCUCUGAAGUCAAAACCAAAGCUGUUGCAGGAUGAAAAAGGACUUGAAAUGCUCAUGUUGAUUUGCACUAUAAGUAUGAAAAAGCUUCAUGAAUCCAUUUUUAACAUGAUCUCUCACGGUAUGACAAUCCACCUCUAUAUGUUUGGUCCUCUCGUGGAAAACAGGAUUGGUGGCGAUGUGCAUUGCUGAUUUGUUGUCGCAGAAGAGCUUCGCAGAGUUGCAGACAGUAACCUUAAGAUCCUUCAGAAGCUGAGAUAGCCAUAGUAGUUCACAAGUAACAAGAGCCGUACUCCUAUACUCGGAUCCAGUGCUACUUCGACUGGCCGUUUGUUGCUUCUUAGACUUCCAGGAUAUUAGAGAUUUACCAAGAUACACGCAGAAACCGGUGAUAGAUCGUCGUGAAUCUGGACAGGUUGCAUAAUCUGCAUCCGCAAAGGCAUUGAGACAAAGCUCAGAAUCCGCAGCAUAGAAUAGACCCUAGCCUGGAUUAGAUUUCAGAUAUCUGAGUAUCCGAUGAGCUGCCUGCAUGUGAAUAUCCGUAGGACUAGAGAGAAACUGACUCAAGUAAUUCACAGCAAAGGUAAUGUCAGGUCGCGUUAUUGUAAGAUAAAGAAGACGACCAAUCAGCUUUCUGUAGGGAAAAGGAUUCUCCAAAGGUGUGCCUGAAGUCUUGUUGAGAUGAACUGUUGGAUCCAUCGGUAUUGAACUCGGUUUGCAAGCAAGCAUUCCAGUUGAGGCAAGGAUAUCUAGAGCGUACUUGCGUUGGCAAAUAGAUAUUCCCGUAGAGUUUCUGGCAAUCUCGAGACCCAAGAAGAACCGUGGAGCUCCCAUAUCUUUGAUUUCAAAAGCUUGAUGGAGAGCAUUCUUAAGCUUCUGCAACUCAAUAUCAUUAUUCGAAGCAAUUAGUAUAUCGUCCACAUAUACUAGGAGAGCAAUAAAAGCAGAAUCAGUCUGCUUGACAAACAAAGUAUUGUCAGCAGGAGACUGAACAAAUCCGGUGUCCAAGACAACUUUGGAAAAGCAAUGGUACCACUGCCGGGAUGCCUGCUUUAAACCGUAUAAGGACUUCUUCAAUCAACAAACUGGAUUAGGUGGAAGAGGAGUUGAUGAAGCAGGUGUGUAACCAUGAGGUAAGCUCAUAAAGAUCUCCUCAUAUAAGUCACCAUGUAAGAAUGCGUUAGUAACGUCCAUCUGAGUAAGCGUCCACUUAUAACACGAAGCUAAGCCUAGCACAAGCUUCACACUAGCUAGCUUCGCAACAGAGGAAAAAGUAUCGAUAUAAUCGAUCCCUUCCUGCUGAGUGAUAACACUAGAUUUUGACCAUUUUUAUGAAUCACUUUAAUGUCUUUUACAAGUGUUUUUACUCCAUUUUCAAAGGUUUUCAAAGGAUUUCUAUGUUUUCGGAUUUUAAAAGACUUUUCAGGUAAUUUGGGAUAAAGAGGCACAAAUUGGAACAAAAAAACUCUUUUGGAUAAAUGCAGACCGUCAGAACUCUCAUAGAGAGACGAAGACCUUCUCACCGUCUGAUCACCCUCAAAAUUGGUCAACAUAUAGAAGAAUCAACUAGCUUUCAAAUGCACUUGGUUUGGAGACAUUCCAACGGUUGGAUCUCAAGAUAUUCUAUUAGCCCCGGAGCCACUGGAAGACGGCCAGCAAGUCACGCGACUGCGGCCAACAGCCCAUUCCUUGCGGUCACAAGCCUCCCGACCACGGCCAGCCACCUAUUUCCCGCGGUUACGUCAUUCCCGAUCGCGGCCGGCCAACUCCGAAUUAAAGCCCACAUUUCUGAAUCCCAAAGUCAUCUUAGCCUCAAUUCCGGUACCCUAGAGACCAUGAAGUGUUGAAGACUAUAAUUACUAGUCAUUUAGGUCGUUUUUAGCAACCAACCUUCAUACUUUACAGAAACCCUUUUUCUUUAGCCGUUUUCAUGCGAUUUUUGUAGAAGAUUGUUCAAGUCCGAGUUCUUCAAUAGAGAAGCUUUCUUUCAUCUCUUUUCUUUACUGUUUUUGAUUACUUUUAUUAAAACCAAUGAUGAUGUCGACCUCAGCUAUGUCUGAGUAGAUCCCGAGUUGGGCUUAGGGUUCCCGAAAGAGGCUCUCAUAAUCGAUUAAGACAUCUAAGUUUAUAGAUCUGGGAUUUUAACUUUGUUCUCUGUUUAUUCUCGUUCUUAUUGCAUGUAUGCUUGAUUGAUCACCAAGUAUCUGAUCUAGAUAGUUAGUGUUGUGAAAGUUUUCAUUAAGUAUCACACCUAGAAUAAAAUAGGCGAUUUUUCCGUAGGAGUGGAAACCUACCUGCGGCGAGAUCGUGAGUUUUGACGAGUCUUGUGCAGCUCUUGCGUUCUCUCCCUUCCAGGUCCAGAGUGGAAACAUACUGGUCAGGGUUGCGAGAAACAGUUGGUUAUGAUCACGACAGUGACGUAGUCAUACCGCCGUACUCUAGCUCUAGAACCCUAUAUAUCGAUAUCCGUAAAUCCCAAUCUAUUAACCCUAGUGUCAAAACCGAUUAUGAUCCAUGUAGAGUUCCCGAAAGCUCAGCGUUUUUAGUCAUAGUUUACAAACCAAUCGAUUUUUACUUGCUUAUUUAGAUCUGCAUUUCAAUUGCUUUAGUUCGAUAUUUUGCUUUCUUUAUCUCCUUUCUAUUCGAUUUUUCUACUUGUUUUCUAGGAUAGAUUUAUUUGCUUUCUUUAGUUUUAGUUUAGUCCGUGACAAACAACCAACCUCUAAAACCAAUCUAGUCUAGACAUAAAGUUAGAAACCGUAGAAGAAUACCAGGCACACAAAUCCCUGUGGAUUCGAUCUCUAAAUACUACAACAGAUUAGCUGUGCACUUGCGGCAUUCAUUUGUUUUUGUUAUGGGUAAAACUUGUUCCCUCACGCAGUUGACACACAUCAAGUUUUUGGCGCCGUUGCCGGGGAUUUGUUUCGCUGCCUUUUGCUAUUUUUCUUGUUUUAACUUUUGUUCUAGACACCUGAUCUCUAUUUCUUUCUUAAAGUUUUGCUGAAUUAUCUUUCCUUCUUUUGUUUUUCUCUGAAUUGCAUGAAUACCAGGCGCAGACCUGUAGAAAACAUUCCAAUUCUAGACGAGAUAGACAGACACGAAAGAGAACUUCGAAGACUAAGACGAACGCAAGGAAUGGCCAACGACGACCAGCCUGGAGAUCCUAUUAACCGAGUUUUAAAUAUGGACCAAGACGGGUCCGAACAUGGAGAAAAUGAAGAGAAUGAUCACAGAGGAGGUGAUCAUGCUCGACAAGAUGGAGAGGAGGAUGAGGUUCCUCCAAGAAACCACCAGAACCGCGAGAGAGAAAAACGUGAAGACCUUGAUGCACCUAUCAAUGCAGCCGAUGGUGACCACCAAGGGAUGCAGCCGAAUGGACGCGUUAACCGCCCAGUUCAGCAAGCAAAUCAACACCGAAGACAAGCCAGGAACCAUCGCAUAGCUAAUUUCGAUGCAACUACUCAAAAUUUUCAGAACCGAUCUGCAAUUCAAGUUCCAUUUCCGAACCGGAAUGAGUUUGAAGUCAAGCCUCAAAUCAUCUCAUUGGUGAACGAAAAACCAAUUCCAUGGAAUUCCUUCUAAACACCCAAUUGACCAUAUCGAGCUCUUUGAAGAAAUCUGCAGCAUGAUGAAAACAAACCAAGUUCCAGCAGACUAUUUAAAGUGUAAGUUGUUCCCUUUUUCAUUAGCAGAAAAAGCUCACCGUUGGUUGAAAUCUUUGCCUGCAGGAUCGAUUACUAAUUGGGAAGAGUGUAAAACUGCUUUCCUGAAUCACUUCUAUACUAAGUCAAGGUCGAACUUGUUGAGAACAAAGAUCUCAAGCUUUCAGCAAGGACCGACUGAAUCUUUCUAUGAAGCCUGGGAACGUUUUAAGGAGUAUGAACGCGAUUGCCCUCACCAUGGAUUUCUUGGAUCAAGCUUUCAGCAAAUACAUUUUACCGAGGUUUGCAACCAAAAUACAAACUUUCGCUUGAUACAGUUAGCAAUGGAGAUUUUGGAGAAAAGACGAUAGCACAAGGAAGAGCCCUCAUCGAGAAUUUGGCUAAAGCCAAUAACAAUGAUUGUCCUGAAUACGAUCGCUCGACGAAGCAGACCGGAGCAGACAACAAAGAGAUAACCGAGUUGAAAAACAUGAUGAGCCCGCUUUUGAAGAGCAACAAUCGCCCAAUCCAUGCUUGUGAGACCAACAAUGGCGCAGAAGAUGAAGGGCCUAGCGAUAUCGAUCACAUUAAUCAAACCUUUCAAGAAGAAGAGGUGAAAUAUGUAGGAGCACAAGCACCAUAUCCAAAUCGCUUCAACAAUGGCUUCAACUACAACUUCCGGAAUGCAAAUUACAACAAUCUCUCUUACCGCAAUCCAAAUGUGGAGAAUCCUCAAGAUCAAUACUACCCACCACAACAAAAAUCCUUCCAAAAAAAUUUCCAAGGUGGAAACUUCGGAGGGAUAGGAGCUUAUCAACCGCGACAGCCAUAUAACUACCAAGGUACGGGUUUUAACAAUCAAUUUUUACAACAGCAGGGAGUCACAACAAACCAGCUAGCUUCACAAAUCGGUAGACUUGAACAGUCCAUCCAACAGCUCGUUAUGACGAACGCAAAAGCAUCUAAAGACAUGAACGUGAAGGUUGACUGCAUGUACAAUGACCUGAACGGGAAGUAUGAAGCUUUAUCUUCGCACGUCAAAAAGCUAGACGUACAAGUUGCCCAAACAGCCGACUCUAUGAAGAGGCAAAGUGGAGUUCUUCCAGGAAGAGUAUAGGAUAACCCUAAGAGGUUUUGCAACGCCAUAACCACAUUGCCCGAAGAAGAGGCCAAAACCGAUGGAAAGAAAGAAGAAACCCCAAUCUUCGUACCACUUUACAAGGAUGUCGAUGCCAAGCAGCCACCAUUCAAGGUACCUCAACGAUCACCGUUUCAAAGGCUUACAAAAGCCGACGAUCCGGGACGUUUUGUUUUCCAAUGUUUCAUUUCAGGAAUCAAGUUCACAGACUGCCUGUGCGAUUCCAGAGCCAAUGUCAACAUCAUGUCAAAGACAUUUGCCAAAAAAUUGGGCAUAAAAACUUUAAGGACAUCGACGGUUAAGGUUAUCUUUGGAGAUUCAUCUCAAAAAAUACUGAAGGGGCGAUCCAUGAUCUACAAGUUCUAGUGGGAGACAAGAUUGUUCCAGCAGAUUUCCAAGUCCUGGAGAUGGAUAUAGACAAGGAGAGGCCACUCAUUUUCGGGAGACCAUUCCUAGCUACCGUAGGAGCAGUAAUCGAUCACGCAAACUGGCAUGCUGUUUUCCUCAAUGUAGAUCGCAGAAAGUUUUACCCGACUAUCCUAGAUGAUUUUCCAAGCAAAGGAAACCGGCCAAAAGAAAAAGAAAAGGAGAAGCCGAAAGCUUUUGCAAAGAUCAAGAUCAUCAUUCCACCGGAUGCAACAGAGACUAGUGAGGACCAAAUCCAGGAGCUGAUCGAAAAUACAAAAAGGGUUUUAAACAAUAUUAAACCGAAAGAAGACGGCCCCUCAAGGAGAAUAAGUGAAACCACCAGCGACCGGAAGUAAUAAAGGCACAUCAAGUGGAGUGUCAUUCAAAUCAGACUGAUUCUUCAGGCCUACAUCGAGCUAAACAACUUAAAACAAAAGCGCUUAAUGGGAGGCAACCCAUUUAGGUACUCUUUCUUUUAGUUUUCUUUUCCUUUUUACAACUUAUGUUUUUCUUUUUCUUUUUAGUUUCAGGUAUUUUAUAAGACAACAACACAAAAAAAUCCAAAAAAAAAAAAACCAAGAAGAAAAUGGUAGGUUUUUAGCUGCUCGGCCCGGCGAAGACCUGAAAGUUGGACGAAGGCCGCAGGAGAAAGGGCCGCGGUCGCGACCAACCGACCCGCGGCCAAGGGAGCAUCGACCGCGGCACCGUGAAUGUGACCGCGGCCGAGCACCACUUCUCCACGGUCGCACGUCUCCUGAUCGCGGCCGUUGGUCGUUGAGAUGAGAACGCGGAUUUCCGCCGCUUUUCAAAAGUUCCUGGUGAUUUCUGGAGUGUUCCCGAUAAGCCCGUUAAGAUUUUCCGUAAGUUUUAAACCUUUGUUGCGUGCAAGACGAGAAAGGUAAGUUCCUGUAAACUUAUGAAUUCCCGGAAAUUUUCCGUUUUUGCUAAAAAACGCUUUUUAAAGAAAGGAAAUGCACUUUUUGGAUCAAAACUCCUUUUUCUCUUCUCUUCCAAAAGACUUGGAGAUUUAGGAGAUAGAAUACCUUUUUCAAUUCUUAAGCUUUUUAAGAGAUUCUUGGCCCAAACCUCACUCUUUUUCAAAGCUGAUUUCAAUUAUGUUAUCAAAUCUCUCUUUCUAGCAAGGUAUGAAGCUCAAACUCGCCAAUUUAAAUUGAUUUUAGAACUUAGGGUUUUCUUAAAAGGCCCAAAUCUCGGUUUAUUGAUUGUGAAAAUAGCUUAAGAACAAUAGAUUAUCCUUCUAGGUUAUCUAAAAAUCGAUUUUAACACCUAGCUUAAGAGGAAUUGAGAUUUUUGAAAUUUGGAUUUCACAUGCUUUAUAAUAAUCGAAUAUGGAACAGCAAAAUUGAUGAAUUUGAUUAAAUCUUGUGUGAUUAGUGAUUAGUAUUAGAUAACAUAUAGAUUUGACAUGGAAAUUGCUCACUAAAACCAAUUUUUAGAAGACUUCUAUGUUGAGAACAUCAAAAAUCCGAAUCUGGUCAUGAACUAGGAUUGGUUUAACUGAUCGUUAAUGUGUUAAAAUCAGCAUCCAUAUUCACUAUUUUUCCAAGAAUCGUCUCGUCUUGUAGGAAAAUGGAACAAACUAGAUCCUGAAGAAGCCGUCGCACUGGUGACAGCUCUGAGGACAUUCUCGAUGAUGUUACUCUUGGAGAGUACAUGCUGAACUAAGCUAAGACCCUACAUGGAGCUGAACCUUCCAACUUAUCAUGAGCUAGUCCGCGAGUUCUUAGCAACUAUUACACUCCACCACAUUAAGAGGAGGAACCCCAGAGCAUCUGAUGGCAUCUUGUCAUUCUAUAUCCGUGGACAGCCUUACUCGCUCACCAUUUCUGCACUUUGUGAGGCUCUUAAACUUCCAUACACCAAUGGCAUUUACCUUGAAGAUGAACCCGAUUUUAACUUGUGAAGAGAGAUGGGUCAUGGAGUCUAUGAUAACGGGAGAUCCAAGUCAGCCAUUUUUACUCAUCCUGCAGUGAGAGUUGUGCACAAACUCUUAGCACACACGAUUUUCUCUAGAGCCAACAUGGGAUCUGUUUUGAAGACCGAGCUCAUUACGCUUCAGAUGCCAUUUAUGGACGACCCACGACUUGCCUGCUUUGCCUGAAUCAUAGCACAGAACAUGGUGAAGGUGAAGCAUGAUUUACAUGGUUGCGAGGACGCUACUCCAGUUUACGGGAGCGCUAUUACAGCGAUACUACAAGCCGUAGGAUUCAAAUUCUCAUCUGACGAUCCACUUCCCGAUGUCUGGUAUGACCUACUUUAUCUCUCUCGCGAUCACACUAUCUCUCGUGCCGCUUUCAAUCCAGACAGGUUUGGUUACAAGUAUUGCACUGGCACUGAGGAGCACCGAGUCUGCUUGCCUUCAGCAUCAGUCCUGAGAUUGUGUAACGGAGGACGUCUGCGAUGGACUCCGGAACCCGAUGAGUUUCUGCCAUCUGUACCUCGUCUAACAUUCACCAUUGGCCAAUACAUAGUGGCCAAGGGAAAGCGUGAUGCAGCUGCGGCCUGUGCUCAUUUUCAGCCAUCUGUUUUGACCGGCCACACCUCAUCAUCGACAUCAUCGCACACACAUUCUGAUCUGGAGCGCAGAGUUAAGAGACAGGGACAACGUUUUGAGCGCGUUGUCACUUUCCUACAGGAGCAGCACCAAUUCGAAGCAGACACAUCGGAGGAUGAGUGAUUGAUCAACACUUCACUGCCAUCACGGUUCUAUCAUCAUUUUCUUUUCUUUUAUUUUAUUUUAUUUCGCUUUUAUUCACCAUCUUCUCACCAACUUUUUCACACUGGGGACAGUGUGAUUUAAGUCUGGGGGAGGAUGUCUAUCCGUACUAAUCAUUUUCUUGCUUUUGCUUUCAAAUUUCAAGCAUUUCUUGAAUUUUAAUAUGUAACCUAUUCGACAUUAAGUAUUUUUUAGGAAUGUUUGACACAAAACUAUGAUGAUUUAGACCUGCACGCUUCUACACUAUGCAUGAUAGCUCAUUUGUGGUUAGCACUAGACUAGGCGGUAGAUGACUUCUAUUCAUGGAGGUUCUUUCUGACAGGAUAUACUAACUCAAUUUACUUGACCUUAAUAAUGAUAUCUAAUUUUCUCAUCAUUGAUUUUAGGCAGGCAUCGACAUACACAUCUAGGACGUCUUUUACCCUCACUUUUACCACUCUUUGACGUCCUAGAUGAUCAGUUCAUCUUUAUCUGGUACCAUACCCUAAACCCAAACUCUUGUUUUCAAUCCUCAUGCAUUCUCUCUUUAGUUUAUAUCAGCAGAUAUGUGCAAAAACGUUGGAGAGAAGAGGAGCGACGCAGUUUCAGUCACUCACAAAGGAGACUGAAUGGAAUUGGGAAGGAAGCGUAUCAUAAACCUCAUGAAGCUUUACAAGACAGAUCUUAACUGGUAAUUUCGUGCUCUCUAUGACUCUAUAUCUAAAGGUAUUCCCUCUCUUUCAAAAAAAAAAACGAACGAAUGAAAAGAGAGAGGGAAACAAAAAGCCUAAUGAGUCCUAGAUUGUCGAAAUUUGUUGAGCAAGAAGCAACUACUAAGCGUUUAUAGAGCUAUGUUUUUGAAAGAUUUACAAAAAUCUAAGUUUGGGGGAGUUAGGAGAGAACCUGAGGAAGAAGACCAGGAAUCUAUGGCAAGAAGAAAGUGACUGAAAACUGUGGAUACCAACAGCUUCACUCUCUCUUGCGGUUUUGCAUAAUAUCUUGCAUCCUCCAGAUCUUCAGGUAACUCGUAAACACUUUAAGCUUUACCCCUAGAAUAACCCUUUUUGACACCUAGCCUAGAUUACCUUGCCUAGACUUUCUUUGAUGAGAACCACCAAGAUUUUUAAUGAAUGUUAAGAGCUAGUUGACUGGAAGUUAGAUCUUAGUGCAUAGAUUUCCGCAUGACGGAUUAACGGACUAGUUAUGCCUGUAUUGCUAGUGAGAAUUUUCUAGGCUAUUCCCGAUUGAUGCAUGCUGAUUGAUAUUGGUCUAGAAGUUUGGUCUAUGAGAUUUUGUUUAGUUCCUGCGUUUUCAAACCUUUCGCCGAGAUUUAGCCUUUGUUUUGUUUGAGGACAAACAAAAGACUAAGUCUGGGGGAGUUGAUAACACCGGAUUUGAACCAUUUUUAUGGAUCACUUUAAUGCUUUUUACAGGUGUUUUUACUCCAUUUUCAAAGGUUUUCAAAGGAUUUCUAUGUUUUCGGAUUUUAAAAAACUUUUCAGGUAAUUUGGGAUAAAGAGGCACAAAUUGGAACAAAAAGACUCUUUUGGAUAAAUGCAGACCGUCAGAACUCUCAUGGAGAGACGAAGAUCUUCUCACCGUCUGAUCACCCUCAAAAUUGGACUACAUAUAGAAGAAUCAACCAGCUUUCAAAUUCACUUGGUUUGGAGAAAUUCCAACGGUUGGAUCUCAAGAUAUUCUAUUAGCCCCGGAGCCACUCGAAGACGGUCAGCAAGUCACGCGACCGCGGCCAACAGCCCAUUCCCCGCGGUCACAAGCCUCCCGACCGCGGCCAGCCACCUAUUUCCCGCGGUUACAUCAUUCCCGACCGUGGCCGACCAACUCCGAAUUAAAGCCCACAUUUCUGAAGCCCAAAGUCAUCUUAGCCUCAAUUCCGGAACCCUAGAGACCAUGGAGUGUUGAAGACUAUAAAUACUUGUCAUUUAGGUCGUUUUUAGCAACCAACCUUCAUACUUUACAGAAACUCUUUUCCUUUAGCCGUUUUUAUGCGAUUUUUGUAGAAGAUUGUUCAAGUCCGAGUUCUUCAAUAGAGAAGCUUUCUUUCAUCUCUUUUCUAUACUGUUUUUGAUUACUUUUAUUUAAACCAAUGAUAAUGUCGACCUCAGCUAUGUCUGAGUAGAUCCCGAGUUGGGCUUAAGGUUCCCGAAAUGGGCGCUCAUAAUUGAUUAAGACAUCUAGGUUUAUAGAUCUGGGAUUUUAACUUUGUUCUCUGUUUAUUCUCGUUCUUAUUGCAUGUAUGCUUGGUUGAUCACCUAGUAUCUGAUCUAGAUAGUUAGUGUUGCGAAAGUUUUCAUUAAGUAUCAGACCUAGAAUAAAACAGGCGAUUUUUCCGUAGGAGUGGAAACCUACCUGCGGCGAGAUCGUGAGUUUUGACGAGUUUUGUGCAGCUCUUGCGUUCUCUCCCUUCCAGGGCCAGAGUGGAAACCUACUGGUCAGGGUUGCAAGAAACAGUUGGUUAUGAUCACGACAGUGACGUAGUCAUACCGCCGUACUCUAGCUCUAGAACCCUAUAUAUCGAUAUCCGUCAAUCCCAAUCUAUUAAUCCUAGUGUCAAAACCGAUUAUGAUCCCUGUAGUGUUCCCGAAAGCUCAGCGUUUUUAGCCAUAGUUUACAAACCAAUCGAUUUUUACUUGCUUAUUUAUAUCUGCAUUUCAAUUGCUUUAGUUCGAUAUUUUGCUUGCUUUAUCUCCUUUCUAUUCGAUUUUUCUACUUGUUUUCUAGGAUAGAUUUAUUUGCUUUCUUUAGUUUUAGUUUAGUCCGUGACAAACAACCAACCUCUAAAACCAAUCAAGUCUAGACAUAAAGUUAGAAACCGUAAAAGAAUACCAGACACACAAAUCCCUGUGGAUUCGAUCCCUAAAUACUACAACUGAUUAGAUGUGCACUUGUGGCUUUCAUUUGUUUUUGUUAAGGGUAAAACUUGUCCCCUCACGCAGUUGACACACAUCACUGAGUAUAUCCUUUGGCCACCAACCGGGCCUUAUAUCUUGCCACAGAACCAUCAGGAUUGUAUUUGAUGGUAUAAACCCAUUUGCAACCAAUGACAUGUUUACCGGGUGGUAAUUUUUCAACAACCCAAGUACCUUUUGAUUCAAGAGCUAUCAAUUCUACAUCCAUGGCCUUUGGAAAGUGUAGAUGAGCCAUGGCCUACUUAAAGUUUUGAGGUUCGGUUUCACUUGUGCAGGAAAGUACAAAGGAUUGAUAAGAAGGAUGGAGUUUGGAAUAAGAAAGAACAGAUGAGAGAGGAUAUAAUAUCCCAGGAGGAGUAGAAAUUUGGGUGAAGUUGCAGUGGUAAUUAGAUAGGUAACUAGGAGCUUUUACCUAUCGUCGAGGUCUACCAACAGGUAGUGCUACUUCCCCUGUACCAGUAGUCACAGUCUCUUGUAUAGGUGUGGCACUAGAUGCAGGUGUAACAGAUGCAGGUGUCGGAUUAUGCAAAGGAACAUGAUUAUCUAAUGCAUGAAAAUCAACAUCAAGUGCCACAGGAAUCGGUAAUGGUAAAAUAGAUUUGCCAAAAAUAUUCGAAUCAGUUGUAGAUGGUGAAGUGUUCUUAUAUGGAAAUAAAGUUUCAUGAAAAAUGACAUUGCGAGAAAUGCUUACCGUAUUUGAUUUCAAAUCUAACACCUUAUAACCUUUAUAACCCGGAGGGUACCCUAAGAAAGCACAAGGUCUAGCAUGCGGUGUAAAUUUGUGUCUAUCUUUAACCAAAGUAGACACAUAACAUAGACAACCAAAAGACCUUAAGAACGAAUAGUCAGGUUUCUUCUUGAAAAGCAUUUCAUAAGGAGAUAAUUUGUUCAAAACAAGUGAAGGUGUUCUAUAUAUCAAGAAAACAGCUGUUUGAACACAGUCAGACCAGUAAGCAAGAGGCACAUUCGAUUGAAAUAAAAGAGCUCUAGUACAUUCAGCAAAUGCUGAUGUUUACGUUCAACCACAGAGUUCUGCUGAGGUGUAUAUGCACAUGAGAAGUGAUGGAGAAUGCCAUGUUCCUUAAGUAAUUGGGUAAAAGCAAGUUCUGGUGCAUUAUCACUACAAAUGAGUUUAAUGACAGUAUCAAAUUGUGUCUUAACAUAGGCAGUGAACGCAGGAAAAAUUGUAGCAACAUCACUUUUAUUUCUCAUCAUGUAAAGCCAAGUGACACGAGUACAGUCAUCUACAAUAGUAAGAAAGUACUUAAAACCAUCUACAUACUCGAUAGAAAAUGGACCCCAAAUAUCUAUAUGAACAAGGUCGAAUGGUGAAUCAGAAAGAUGAUUAUGAGAAACAAAUGGGAGCCGUUUCUGUUUAGCUAAAGGACAGACAUCACAAGGACCUAAACUAGACUUAGACAAAGAUGAAGCACCUGUAAUAUAUUAUAACUUGGCAGGAGAUGGAUGUCCAAGGCGUUGAUGUCAUAGAUGUCCAUCAUCAAGCAAGGAUCCACAGAAGUUGGUAGAGGUAGAAGUAACACUUGUCUCCAGAAUGUAGAGAUUGUGUAUAAGAUUACCUCUACCAAUCGUCAAGUCCCGAGUAUGGUCCUGAAUGAAACACGAAGCAGAGUAAAAAUGAGCAGAUGAGUUGUGACGUUUCAAGAGAGUGCUGACACUUAACAAGUUAAACCGAAAUGCAGACACAUAUAAGACAUCAUCCAGAACAAGAAACUCAGAAAUAUGCACUGUGCCUGUAUGACUAAUCAGUACUCUAGUGCCAUUAGGAAGAGAGACUGUAACUCCGAAAAAUUUCACUAAACAUUGUUAGAUCUGAACAAACAUGAGUAGUUGCCCCACUGUCAAUUAUCCAAUUACCAUAAAGGAGGAUAGAAUAUAGAGUGGACAAACAUUGGUGUUGAAAAGUAAAGGUGUUAUGUUCGUAACGAAGGUUAGUAGAGGGAAACACAAGUGAAAUCAUACCAGCGGAAGAUGUAGUAGCCAUGGCUCCAUUUUCAGUUAUUGUAGCCGGGGGAGCAGAAGUUGUAGGCUCAGGUAGACGAGUGUGAGCACUGAGUUGUUGAAGUAAUGACUGAACUUGAUCCUGAGAGAACAUGCUAAGAUCAAUGUUCUGAGAUAGUGGAGAUACAGCUGUAACCGCAUUGGCUGAAUUGGUGAACUGUGCCUGCGAGGGAAAUGGAGGUCAUGGACCAGUUUGGUAUUGACCACGAGGUUGAAACUGUGGCUGUGGCUGUGAGGUAGGCUGAGUAGAAGCUCGCUGAGACAUCUUAUGACCAGGAGGGUACCCAUGCAAUUUGUAACAUUUCUGUAUAGUGUGUCCAGUUCGGCCACAGUGUGUACAAACUGGCCUUGGUGGUCUAUAACUCGCAGCACAGGCUGUAUUCUCACUAGAUCCAGUAUAAUAUCCAUUAUUCUGAUUAUCAGGAUAACCAACAGGAGCAGAGGUUUGAAAGGCUACAUUCUCCACUUGAGUAGAAGGCUUAAUAGAUUUCUGACGCUCAUCUUGUUCAACCAUAUUGAACACAUCUUCUAUAGAUGGAAUCGGCUUUAGCAUCAGAAUAUGCCUUCGAGUUGGCUCAUAANNNNNNNNNNNNNNNNNNNNNNNNNNNNNNNNNNNNNNNNNNNNNNNNNNNNNNNNNNNNNNNNNNNNNNNNNNNNNNNNNNNNNNNNNNNNNNNNNNNNCCCUCCAAUGUCCCACAGGUGCAAAUCGGAAGUUCAACAUAAUUUCUAUAUCUUCCCAAAGUGUAAGCAAUUCAGUAUAGUAAGCACUAACAUCCAUCGAGCCUUGUUGAAUCGAACUAAACGUUGUUCAAUCUCAUAAACCCUAGGUGCAUCAUUCUGUUUGAAUCGAGAACAAAGAUUCUUCCAAAUAGCUUCAGAAGUAGACAUAAAGAGUAAGCUCUGGCCUAUCUUCUUAGAAACAGAACUCAUAAGCCAAGUAGCUACCAUGUCAUUACACCUAGACCAUGAUCCAACAUCACAGUGAGAAUCAGGAGGUUUCGGAAUUGUACCGUCUAUGAAGCCAAGUUUGUUCCGUACGUUUAACGCCAUGCGAACAGAUCGGCGCCAAGAGUGGAAAUCAGAUCCAGAAGAGAGACGAUCAGAAACAAGAACAAGACCGACGUGAUCAGAUGUGUGCAAGAAAUACGGAUUUUCAUACUGAUCUGUUGAAGAUCGAGAAACAUCCGUCGAAGGAUUUGGAAUCGCUGUAUUCGUCGGAAUUGAUGCCAUUUCAGAGAUUGAAAUCGAAUCGACGAAGAAAAAUCGAGUCGAUUUGAUGUAAAACAAAGAGAAUCGACAACGAAAUUAGGUCAAGAAUAGAAAGAAAAUCAGAAACAAGAUAAGAAAAGAAAGAUACGAAAGAAAGUCGAGCACAGCGAAGAAAAAUCUGACGAGGAAAUCAAAUCGCAGCUGAGGAAUCGAUAAACUCAUUGCUGGAUUGAAGCUCGUUUUACAGAUUUCAUGAGAAGAAAGAUGAAUCGAAGCUCAGAGAUGAGUAACAAUGGCGGAAACAAAAAUUCUCUAAUUAGCCGUUAGAGAGCUCUUGAGGAAAUGUUCACUUUUUCAUUAAUUGGUAAAAGAAUAUACAAGUGUUGAUAUAUAUAGUCACGCGGUUUAACUAAAGGAAACAAACCGGUGAUUUAAUCUAAUCUAUGUACAUUGAACCGGACAUAACUCGGUAUAUAUCUAAUAAUUACCACUUUAACUUUUAUCAUUUGCAUAUAUUUAAUUGAUCGAAGUCUUUCGAAACUUAACAUUUCUUCACGUCGACUGUGACCGCUAUAUUACGAUCUUAUCAGAAUAUAUAGCCUAAUAUCAAACUUUCAAUCUUAUUUUCCCUUCCUAUUUUUUGUCUAACAAUUCUAUUCUCAGAAUCCUUUGUUUGUUGUGAACUUGAUAAAAUCGUUUGAACAAAAUCCUUUGUUUUUUGUCUAACAUUGGAACAAUAUAAAGAAUGGUAAAAUCGUUUUCGAGAUGAUUACGUCAAGCCGGUGAAAAAUAACGCAUUAUUAAAACAAUUAAGAUCUGAAUUCUCGCCUUUUGCGCUAACAAAUCUCUAUAUUAUUAUUUGAGUAGACAUUUAAAAACAUAACUUUUAUUUUGUAAAAUAUCAUAUAAUAUACUAUUAUAAAUAACAUAGAAUAAUUAAAAUAAAAAAAAUAUAGUUAUCUUUCAACUAUAAUAAUAAAAAUAUGGAAAGUUUUUGUUUCUCAUUUUUAUAUUUAUUAUUUAGUUUCUGAAUUCAAAAAUAUGAUAGUUUUUUAUAUUUUUCGUUUCAAAUGAUAUUAUAAAGUAUAUUUAAUUAAAAAAUAUGAAAAUAAAUUUUCUUAUAACUAAAUCAAAUAAAAUCAAGAUUAAAAGUUAUGAUAUUAAAAAAGUGGUGAAAUAUUUAAUUUACUACAUUUAAUUGAUUAUAUACAAAAAUAAUUUUUUAAUUAUUUUUACUAAAAAUUUGAUAUGCGAAAUUUGAUUUUUUAAAUAAAAAAAGUUUGUGGUGAAGUGAGAGUUAUUGAACGUUAGAUAUUAUAAUUAGUUAUUAAAUUUAAUCCAAUAUAAACAUGUUAAGUAAACGGGUUAGUUCGAUAUAAACAGAUUAUAAUUCUAAUUUUUUUAAUAUCCACAAAAAAAACUCACAAUUCAAAAUAUUAAUUUAAUCUACUAAAUAUUAUAAUAUAUUUAAUCUACUAAAUAUUAUAAUUUUUCUUUUAAAAUUAAAUAUAAUUUAUUAUAUAUUUAGUUAUUAUAUAUCAAACUUAAGUGUAAAAAUAUUAUAUUAUUUUCAUAUAUAGUUAAAGAAGAUAAAAUUGAUUUUUUUUAUAGUUUGUGGACAGAUUAUAAAAGUCAGUUAUUAAGCGAUGCAAAUUAGAGUUGAUGAUUAUAAUAUUAUAAUAUUUAAUGUAUUAGUCUAAAUAAUAUUUUAGUUUGGUGCCAACGGGUUAAAAACAGCUUAUUUUGCUUUACACGCUUAUAAAAUAACUUCAUAUACGGAUUAAUUUAUUUUUCAUAAUUUAAACAAAAAAUAAAAAUAAUUUUAUAUACGGAUCAAUUUAUUUUUUAAAAUUCACAAAAAUAUGCAUUAUAUUAUCGUAAAUUAUAUAAUAAUAACUGUUUUUACAAAAUAACUAUUUUUAUAAAAUUGUUUAAAUUAAUUGAAAGUUAAAAUAUUUUUUCCGCGCUAUAACGCGGGUUAAUGCUUAGUAGAUCAUACAAUUCAACAUGGAAUCCAAAAAUGAAAAGAGGUUUUUAAUUUUGGUCAUUAAUUCUGUCUUUUUCGUACUUUGAUUCCUCAUUCUCUAAAUUGCAAGGCUGAAUUAAUUGUUGGUUCGUAAGUAAAAGAGAGGGUUUUAUGCUGUUCGUUAGUAGUAUAAGUUGACAAAAAGGUGGUUAGGUGAGGGAUUCAUUUUGAAACGUAGAACAUAACCUUUCAGACGGUAAAAUUGUCAUCUUAAUCAAGUUUUAGCAGUUCGUAUCAAAUGUAAUAGAAUAAUAUCUUUUUGUAUUUUGAAAAAUAAAACAACUGAGUGUAUACAGUAAUUAAAUAUUUGUCGUAUUACAUGUGCCUAUCUCAUAGCUGAUGUAUAAGAAACAUGGCACUUCAAUAAGCCAUGCAAAUUGAAAUGUGUCAACUCCCUUCAUUGAUAUGUUUGCUUGACAACGUGCAGCCAAAUUUUAUUUUCAAAUAAAGACAUAAGAAUAGCAAUUCAAGUGAACUGUAAAUUGUACAUAGUCGACUCUAUAUACUUGUUUCUUACCUCAAUCAAAUUAUUAUCAAAAAACAUUUAAAAGAAGAAAAAAAAAGAAGAAAACCCCUAUAAAUAGAUUCACUUAACGCAAGUGUAAGACCAGAACAACCACAACAAAUAAGUAAAGAGAAAAUGGCUCGAGUUUCCUCUCUUCUCUCCUUUUCCUUUACACUUUUGAUCUUUCUCCAGGGCUACGCAGCUCAGCAGUUUCCAAACGAGUGCCAGCUCGACCAGCUCAAUGCCAUCGAGCCGUCACACGUACUUAAGGCCGAGGCUGGUCGCAUAGAGGUGUGGGACCACCACGCUCCUCAGCUACGUUGCUCUGGUGUCUCCUUCGUACGUUUCGUCAUUGAGUCUAAGGGUCUUUACUUGCCCUCUUUCCUUAACACCGCGAUGCUCUCCUUCGUGGCUAAAGGUGCGUUUUUUUUUAAACCAACUAGGUUUGGAUCUUUAGUAACUGUUUCGGAUUGGGAGACCAUUUUCAUAUUAAGAUUCAAACUCGUGAUAAGGUUCAGUCUUCUUGGAAUGUGUUAUAGUACAUCUUUAGAGCUACAUACGCCGAGUUUUAUAGAACUGUUUCACAUGGUUUCGACUUGCUUCAAAUUUUGAUCAAUAAUACUAAAUUUUUAUUAGACUUAUGCAUGUAAUCUUUUUUUUUUCUUUUGGGUUGUUGACAUUAUAGGACGAGGUCUUAUGGGAAGAGUGAUCCCUGGUUGCGCUGAGACAUUUCAGGACUUACCAGAAUUCCAACCAGGCCAGCAGGGACAGGGCCAGCAGGGACAGCGCCAGCGUCAGCACAGACGGGGCCAGCAGGGACAGGGACAGGAGCAGGAACAGGAGCAGGGACCAGAACAAAGGCAAAGCUUCUCUGAUAUGCACCAGAAAGUGGAGCACAUAAGGAGCGGGGACACAAUCGCAACCCCAUCAGGUGUAGCACAAUGGUUCUACAACGAUGGAAACCAACCACUUGUCAUCGUUUCCGUCCUUGAUUUAGCAAACCACCAGAACCAGCUUGACCGCAACCCAAGGGUAUAUAUAGACCAAAACCUCAAAAAACAAAUCAUAUAAAAUUUAAUUAUAUAAUCACAAUAUAACAAAAAAUGAUGUUUUUCUAUGUGUGUUAUGUAGCCAUUUUACUUAGCUGGAAACAACCCACAAGGCCAAGCCUGGCUAAAAGGACGUGAGCAACAGCCACAAAACAACAUCUUUAAUGGCUUUCCACCAGAGGUUAUUGCUAAAGCUUUCAAAAUCAAUGUUCAGACAGCACAACAACUUCAGAACCAGGAAGACAACCGUGGAAACAUUGUCUUUGUCAAAGGCGAAUUCGGUGUCAUUAGGCCACCUUUGAGGGGGCAGAGACCACAGGAGGAAGAAGCAGUAGGUAACGGUUUAGAGGAGACCAUAUGCAGCGCGAGGAGCACCGAUAACCUCGAUGACCCGUCCAAUGCUGACGUGUACAAGCCACAGCUCGGUUACAUCAGCACUCUUAACAGUUAUGAUCUCCCUAUCCUUCGCUUCCUUCGUCUCUCAGCACUCCGUGGAUCUAUCCGUCAAGUAAGUAACAAAAAACGUUAUCUAUUUCAAAUCAAACAAUACGUCACUUUCUACAUCUAAACGUGACUUCUGAAACGUGUGUGUGGGUGUAGAACGCAAUGGUGCUUCCACAGUGGAACGCAAACGCCAAUGCGAUUCUCUACGUGACAGAUGGGGAAGCCCAAGUGCAGGUGGUUAACGACAACGGUGAAAGAGUGUUCGACGGACAAGUCUCUCAAGGACAGCUACUUGCCAUUCCACAAGGUUUCGCCGUGAUGAAACGUGCAACAAGCGACCAGUUCCGGUGGGUUGAGUUCAAGACAAACGCAAACGCACAAAUUAACACUCUUGCGGGCAGAAUCUCAAUCAUGGCAGGUCUACCACUAGAGGUCAUAAGCAAUGGGUACCAAAUCUCGCCCCAAGAAGCAAGGAAGGUUAAGUUCAACACGCUUGAGACCACUUUGACUCACGCUAGUGGCCCAGCUAGCUAUGGGAGGCCAAGGAAGGCUUGAUGCUUGAAAGUUUAAAACGGCGAUGUUUAACUAUGAGCCUCUACUGUAAAACGAAGUCAAAUAGUAGUAAUAAUAAUAAUACGAAAAUGUAACUGGUUUUGUUGAGGUUUCUUGUAAAAUGUAACUCCUUUUCUGAAUAAGACCAUCAAGUUCAUAAAAAUCUAUAAUCCAAACUUCAGAUACUAGUUUUAAUAAGCUCAGAGCAAAAAAUGGACUCGACGGAAGCCCGAUAAUCAAUAGACCAUCCAAUUAUUAUUUAUUAUGCAAUUUCAUAAUCUUACAUGAUUUUUUUUAACAUCUAAAAAACCACAAUGUACCUAAAAAUCUAAAACUGGAUAAUUAUCCAAAUCCACCGCCAUACCUAAGUCGGUUACCAAUAUUUUAUGUAUUGUUCUCUUGUAUAAAAACCUGACUUACCUUGUAAGAUGGACGAGUUAAUAAAAAGCAGAAAUUAUCUCAUUUCUCUCGUCUCUCUCCCUUCCCUUCUGCUGGUUCAUUUGUAUACUUUCUAUAUAAUAUAGAUGGAAAUAUAUAUACAUAUAAUUCAUAAUAAAUUUAAAAUACCAAAACUAAUUUUCUUUUUAUGUUAGUAAUUUCGUUAUGCAAUGUACCUAGAAUAAUGGUGUAAUGAAUUUUGUUCAGGGAGCUUUAUCAAUCAAUCUUGGGAAAAACUUUAUCUAUCUUCAACCAUCAUCGAUCUUACCACCAUUGAUUUCUAUUUUUCUAUUUUUACCAUCUAUUUGUACAUCAAAAUGAAGUACUAAAUAUUUUUAUUAGCAACUCAAAGUUAAUAAAAAUGUUGGAGUGAAAAGUUAAUUCUCUUCCGUAUAUUUAUGAAGUGGAAGAUUAAAUCUCCUUCUUACUAAUAUUAUGGAGUAGAAGGUUAUGUCUCCUCCUUGCAUAUAUUUAUAAAAUAGAAGGUUAAACCUUUUCCGUGAUUAUAAAAUUAUGGGGUUGAUAGUUUAGUCCUCCUUUUUAAAACAAAUUUUAUGGAGUGAAAAAUUAAACUUCCUCCAUGAACACAAAAUAAUGGAGUGGAAGGUUAUGCCUCCUCCUUAUUUUUAUGGUAGGCUUGGUGCCUUCAAAACAUAUGGAAACUAUACCAGCUAAAAACCCCGUACGAGCUAAAAGUUCCGGAAGAGCCAAAAGUCCUAUACGAGCUAGAAGCUCCGGAAUAGCUAAAAGCCUUGUAAGAGCUAUAAGUUCCGGAAGAGAAAAAUGUUCCACAAGAGCACACGAUGGUGACAUAUAUAAAUGUGAUAAUAAAAGAUGGCAAGGGUAUAUACCAUAGUAAACUUGAAGUUUACUAAUUGAAUAAACCGGUUAAGUCAUCUCGGUAGUUACAAUGAUAUAAGAUCAUUGAGAAUACAAGUUGAAAAACCAGAAGCUUUUUCAACUAUUGCAUGUCACAAAGAAAGAAAAAAAAAAGCCAUCAUGAAAACCAUCCAUGGAUAGAUCACCAUUUCUUUUGGUUUAAAGCUCAUUAGAUAUGUAGUUGGUCCUAAAGUGGGAUUCAAUUCGAGAUGGAUAGACCUUAAAAGUGUCAUCAUCUCGAGGGGAAGAAUUAAAGAAUCCCACAUCGAGUGUAAGCUGAACAUCCAGAAGAUUAUGUUCGCACUUGAAAUGAGCUUAAAAUAAAACAAAUCCAGGAGAUUGAAAAACCAAUUACGGUGAUCUCCAUAUGGUGACAUAAAAUAUGCAGUAUGACAUAUAGAAAACAACUGAUGGAUCCUCAUAUGAAUCGAAGUUCAUAUUGAUUGAAAAAACAAAAUCUCAUAUCCCAGCUGAGCUCCACUAAAAGUAGAUGUCCAUGAAGGGCGGUCUAUUUGCGUCUAUAACAUGUAAAAAAAAAAACGUGAUAGACUACUUUGGUUCUAAAUCCUCAAAAGAAAAAGAACAAAAGAGGAUUGAUCUCCUGAAGAGAUUAUUGACAUGGUUAAUGAUAAAAUCAUGUACCUGAAUGAAAUCGAUGAUAUAAUUAAGAGAUUUCGAUUUACCAUGUCAUUACAAAAAAAAGGUGGAACCAAAGAUUAACCUCUAGAGGAAUUAAUCCCUAAAUGAUUAUAUUGGAAUUCUGUUUCCGGAAACACUACUCGAUUGAAAUAAAGAAUGAUGAUUAUCAAAACUCUUGGAGAGUUUAUUCGAGUAGUAUAAUAAAAAGGAUUAUUCUAUAGGUGAUAUCUUGAACCGGUAAUUGGAGAUAUGUUUACGACACUUUUGCCACUUUGAUGAAAAUGAAUUCUCUACGUUGAGGGAGAGAAAAAGAAGAAUAUAUAUAUUUUUUAAUGAGAAUGUUACUGUAUUUUUUUCUAUAAUUUUUAUUAUUAAAUAUAUCGGCGGUGAUGAAUAGUUAAGAGAAAGUGUUAUAAACUAGAUAAUUAUCUAAAUCCAUCGUCAUACCUACCAACUCAAUUAAAUCGGUUACCAAUAUUUUAUGUAUUGUUCUCUUGUAUAAAAAUCUGACUUACCUUGUAAGAUGGACGAGUUAAUAAGAAGCAGAAAUUAUCUCAUUUCUCUCGUCUCUCUCCCUUCUGCUGGUUCAUUUGUAUACUUUCUAUAUAAUAUAAUAUAGAUGGAGAUGUAUAUACAUAUAAGUAUAUACAAUAAUUCAUAAUAAAUUUAAAAUACCAAAACUAAUUUUCUUUGUAUGUUAGCAAUUUCGUUAUGCAAUGUACCUAGAAUAAUGGUGUAAUGAAUUUUGUUCAGGGAGCUUUAUCAAUCAAUCUUGGGAAAAACUUUAUCUAUCUUCAACCAUCAUCCAUCUUACCACCAUUGAUUUCUAUUUUUCUAUUCUCACCAUCUAUUUGUACAUCAAAAUGAAGUACUAAAUAUUUUUAUUAGCAACUCGAAGUUAAAAAAAAAACUAACGUUUAAAAAUAGUAAGAACAAUAUUUCCAAUAUAUUAAAUUUUUGUUUUUCUUUUGUUAAUGCAAAAUAUGAAAAGACAAUACAAAGAAUCACAACACGAAAAUCUCUCUCAGCAUAAGACUCACCUUGAUGUACGAAAGUAAAUGCUCUCCUUGGUUUUUCCUUGCAAUGCAACAUUUCUAAACCGGUUGCUUUUGUGAUCCACAAAGUAAACAUACAUCUCUUCAAAUUUGACGGGUGCAUAGAUAAACUCGUCCAUAUGAUCUGUAGCCCCCACCAUUUUCAAAAGGCCAUGGAAUGUCCCAGUAGAACCAAGUAUAGAAUAACAUAGCUUUCGACCACUCUUGUUUCUUGGCGUCCUCUAAAACCCACAAAGUAAAAUUGUAGCCCUGAAUAUUAGUACGAGUGAACUCUCAUCUAUUCUAUUAAAACAGAAGCGCAUUUAGUUCUUGCAUCCAAACACUUCUAAAGUUUUUUUUAUAAUAUUUUAUUUUAUUGUUAUAUUUAAUUUCCGAAAAUUAGUUAUUAAUUUAAAUAUUCUUAGAUUCCUAAAAUCUAGGUCGUCUUUAAUUUAAAUUUAAAAUUAUUAGAAAUUUAAUUAAAUUUAGUUACAAAGAUUUGCAUUCAAUUUAGUUUAAAUUCAAAAAAUUCAAAAAAAAAUUCUAAUUAAAUUUAUUACGAAAAUUUAGAUAAAAAUUUUAAUACUUUAGAAUUUCUUAAAUACAGAAAAGAUUUAAUUUAAAAUUUUAAAUUUAAAUAGUAUUUUUAUAAAAAUUCAUAGUAAAUAAAUAUUUUAUCGUAUUUUAUCAUAAACACUCGGUCUAAAAUAUCAAAUAUUUGAGAUUAAUAAAUAGUUAUAUUAUAUAAUAAUAUGAUCCUGAUUAGAGUUAUAUAUAUAUAUAUAUAUAUAUAUUUAAGAUCCAUGAGUUAAUUUAUUAAAACAUGUAAGAUAUUAAGAUGAUUUGAGACAAUUAAACUAACAUGUUAGCCCGUUUAUAUAUAUAUAUAUAUAUAUAUAUAUAUACAUUUUUUAAUAGCACAAAUAAUAAAUAAAUAUCUUAUUAUAUUUUUUCAUAAUGAAUUGGUCCAAAUAUUCCAUAUUAGUAAAUAUUUAUAGGGUUAUACAAUUAUAAUUAUAGUCUUAUAGGGGUUAGUUUGUCAAAACAUAUAAGAUAUUAAAAAUGAUUUAAGACAACUAAACGGAUGGAUUAGCAAAUUCAUAGAUAUAUAGAUUGUUUAUGUGUAAAUCUAAAUUCAUAUAAUAACAAAGUUUAUAAUUAACAUUAGAUCAAUGUAUACUUAAUUAAUGUAUACUCUUAUUCUACUAAUAUACAAAUUUUACUGUUUAAAAUUAAAAUAUGAUAACAAUUUUUUGAUUUAAAAAAAUAAAUAACAAAAAUAAAUUAUAUUUAAAUAAAAAAGAUAAAGGCAACUUAUAUUAGAAAUAAAAAAUAAAACAUUCACCUGCGGAUGUACGGGGUUAAAAUCUAGUAUUAUAUUAAAACAGAAGCACAUUUAGUACUUGCUUCCAAACACCCCUAAUUUUUUUAAGUAUUUAAAAAUAAUUUUAAUAAUUAUUUAUAUUUAAUUUCGAAAAUUAGUUAUUAAUUUAAAUAUUUUUAGAGUUCCUUAAAUAUAGGUAAUUUAGAUUUGAUUUGAUUUGAUUAAAAAUAAUAAAUCAAAUAUUAAUUUAGAUUUGAUUUAAAGAUUCUAAUUUAAAUAAUUUUUAUACUAUUAAACAUUUUUAUCAAAAAUAUCUAUAAUUUUUUAAAAAAAAUAAUUAACAUAUGAAAAAUAAUGGUCAUAUUUGAAAUAUAAAACAUUUAUAAUGAUGUAAAUGAUAUAAUAUUUAUGUUGCUUAUAUAAUAUAUUUACGAUUAUAAUUUAUUUACAAAUUUAUAAUAAAAUAAUAGGUAAAAUUUAAAUAUAUAAUUUAAAUAUUAAAAAUAUAUUUUAUAAACUUUAUAAAACUAAAAAUAUAUAUAAAAAUCGGGUUAAAAAUAUUUUAGUAACUAAAAUCACUAAUUUUGAAUUAUACAUGUAUAUCGAAAAUAUAUUUUUCAUACAAAAUAAAAACAGAAAAAAUUAAAAAUUAUUGCAUACACUCUAUAAUGUGGUUUGAAAAACCAGUUGUACACUCCCUUCGUUGAUUAAAUUUUAGAAAACUAUAAUGCUAAAUAAUACUUUUAAUACAUCUCAAACUUUUAACAAAUAUUUAUAUUAUACGGUAAUAUGAACGGAAAAGUUAGAAUUAUGUUUUUAUAAUAGUUCAUUUUGAAUUAAUAUUAGCGGACGGUUUAAUAUUAUAUUUUUAUAAUUAUAAUUAAUUUUAAUACUAUAGAAAUAUAUCUAAACACAAAAAUCAAUAUUUUCACUUAUUAAAAAAUAUAUUUAUAAAAAUAAUUAUAUCUAAAAUCAAAAACACAAAUUAUAUUACAAAAUUCGUUAAACAAUAAAAAAUAUUCUUGUGCGGAUGCACGGGGUUAGAAUCUAGUUUGAUCAGUUAAAACAGGUUGAUAAAAAUCUGGAUUAACCCGUGGUUACAAGAACAAAAAACUUCCAAUCUAUUUUUUUUGUUUGUCUAACAAAUUAUUAUAAUUCUUUGUUUGUUGUCAACUAGACUGUAUUAACAUUGGAACGAUAUAGAGAAUGGUACAAUAGUUUUCGAGAUUAUUACGUCAAGCCGGUGAAGAAUAUCGCACCAAACAAAAAACAAUUAAAUCGAAAUCUCGCAUUUUGCGCCAACAAAUAAUAGAUCAUACAAUUGAGAGAAAAGAGAAACAACGUGAAAUUUUAUUCUUAAUGUAACAAACUCAUAGUUCUUUGGUCAUUAAUUCUGCCAUUUUCUUAGUUUGAUUCCCCAUUCUCUAAAUUCCAAGGCUGAUUUAAUUGUUGGUUCGUAUAGUAAAAUCGAGGGUUAAUUUAUGUUGUUCGUUAGUAGUAUACUAGUAUAAGCUCAAAAAAACGGUAAGAGAUUAAUUUUUAAAACGAAGAACAAAACCAUUCACACAUCAGACGGUAAAAUUGUCAUCUUAAUCAAGUUUUAGCAGUUCGUUUCAAACGUAAAGGAAAAAUCUUUUUGUAUUUUUAGAAAUAAAACCACUAUAUAUGUACAAUCAAAAAAUAUUUGUCCUAUUACAUGUGUCUAUCUCAAAGCUGAUGUGUAAGAAACAUGGCACUUUCAAUAAGCCAUGCAAAGUGAAAUGUGUCAACUCCCUUCAUUAAUUAUUACGUUUCGUUAUCAACGUGCAGGUAGAUUUUCUUUUCAAGUGAAGAGCUAAAAUAGUGAUUCUACUAAAUGUAAAUUGUACAUAGUCGACUGAUAUAUAUACCUGGUUAUUAUCUCAAUCAAUUUUUCCUCAAGUUAUUAUCUCAAUCAAUUUUUCCUCAAAACUCUUCAAAACAUUUUUUUUAAUUUAGAGACCCCCUAUAAACUGCUUCACUUAACGCAAGUGUAAGACCAGAAAAACAACAACAUGUAAUUUACGAGCUACAAAAAUGAUUCAUCCUCAAUUUCUUCUAUAUAUAGCAUCGUUUUCUCUUUGGGAACCUCAUGCUUCAAAUCUAUUUUUUUUGUUUAUUUAUCUAUCUCACACAAGUAUAUACUAGAUUGGUAUUUCAUAAUUCUGUAUACAAAGAUGGUGAGAAUGAAAUCAAGAAGAAAAAAUCAAAAACAAAAAUAUCAAUAAAGGUGGGAUCGAUGAUGAAGAAGGGAUCAAAGACCGGUGUAAAUAUGUAAGACAGUUGGAGGUGGUUGUAAGCUUUUAAUUCUUUAUAAACUAUUAUAACAUGUUGGUUUUUGAUUAAUAAGAACAUAAACGGAAACUUAACUUUUAGAUUUACAAUUUAUACUUUGAAUUUAAAAUUGGUUUUUCCUCAACAAAUCUAGAAUGAGUGUCUGAUGAGAUGAGAGAUCGUUAGAGUUGUCAUAGGGACCAUUAUCUCUCUAUUACGUAAAUAAAUAAUUUUUAAUUCAAUUCGUCAUCAAACUAAAAAUUAUUGAAUAUAUUUUCACAUUAAUUUUUCAUAAAAUUUAUGUCUCUAAUUUUUUUUUUAAUACCAAAACAACCACAUAUGUUUUGAUUAUUUUACAUAAUAAUCUAACACAUUAAUUAUACAUGUGUGACUCCAAAUAAUUUUUAUAAUAGUAUUAUCAACAAAUUCUAUUUAGAUUCUGAUCAGUUUUCUCUCUUAUUUUAGUGUUGUUAAUUUCUUCUUCUUCAUUGUAGUUGAGUUUUGUAGUUCCUAUUAUUCUCAAAAUCUUCUACGUGUCGUUUCUUUAGUUUUCUUUUGUAAUCUUUAAUUAUAUAGCUAAAUUUGUUAUUUUAUCUAUUUAUUAUAUUUUCAUAAUUUUGUAUUUCUGUUUCUUCUUUAUUUUUUUGUAUCUACUUUUGUAAUUAACAAUAUAAUUUCUUCUUUAUUGGUUCAUCUUUGAGUUUUGUUAAACAUAUCAACUGCGUGUGAUUCACUGAUUCAUCAUAAUGCAUGUUACAUUGGGAUAAAUGUAAUAUAUAAUUUGAGAUAUCAUUCUCGAGUCUCAUAAGAAGAAAAUGAUUUGGUUAUAGUUUCUUAUGGUGAACCAAAAACCUUUGACGAGAAUUUCAAAAGAAGAAAAAGCUUUCAAUUUGAGAGUUAAUGGCACCUUAAUGUUAGAAUUAUUAAUUAGUUUGCUUUCAUUUGUUACAAAUAGUAGUUUUUCUCUAAAUUAUUGUAAGUAUCACUUUCAAAAUGAUUGUAUGAGCUCCCGAUUCUUAAUUAAAAGUAAAAAAACUAUAUUAUUAUAUUUGCGAUAGAAAAUAUUACAAUCUUCUGAUGAGUUAUAAUAUUAAUGUUUUAUAUCAUCAUCAUAUGUAUUAUAAGCGAAGUAAAAAUUUUGUUUAAAACUCUCCCAUUUAAUUUUAGAGUGGCUAAUUACCCUUUACCCCUCCUUAAAUUAAUUUAAAUUAAUUUUUAUAAAAAUAUAUAUUAAAAAAAUAAAAAUAAUGGUUUAAAUUAAGUUAACAAACCAUUAUCAUACCGUAUAUUAAAAAAAAACAAAAACAAUGGUUUAGGGUUUAAAAAACAAAUACUUGGCGGCUAAUUACUCUUUACUCCUUCUUAAAUUAGUUUAAAUUAAGUUUUAUAAAAAUAUAUAUUAAAAAAAACGAAAAUAAUGGUUUAAAUUAAAUUAACAAACCAUUAUCAUACCAUAUAUUAAUAAAAAAAAAUCCAAAAACAAUGGUUUAGGGUUUAAAAACAAAUACUUUUCCCUUAAAGAGACUGCAGAGUAAAGUAUCUGUGAUUCUUCUGAAUACUAAACUUCCCUGAAGGGCAACAACGAUUGUAUCUGGAUUUCUUCUGGUAUUGUUCUUUUUUAAAUAAAGUCAUACAAGUGUUGCAAGUUGCAGCAGAAGUAAUUAAUUUUCAGACAAACUUUCUUUCGAUGCCAAGAUUCAUGUUUUUUUUAAAAAAAAGCUUGUCUUGGACCAGUUUGACUGCCGAGAAAACUGUGAAAUGAGAAAAAAAAAAGUGAUUUAGGAUUUCUUUAAAGCCAAGGCGAGAGACAAAACGUCAAUAGGUUAAAUUACACAAAUGAUCUCUAAAUCAUUUUGCAGGCCUAUAAGCUUCUAACAGAGGACAAGCUAGCGUAUAUUCUGGAGUUGAUCUCACAGUUUUUCCAGGUUUUAAGCUUCUGUAAUCAUACGAUCAAAUCAAGGGGAAUAAAGGGAAAAGCUGUUGAAUCAGAAAUUAGCUUCGGUUUCCAAAGUUGAUCAACAACCCAUCAGAGAAAAAGAGUUGAAAAAAAAUUCAAAGAGAGAAGUUAACAAAAUUGGUUGAACAAAAAUAAAACUUUCAACUGUUCAACAUUCAAAUUAAGAGAAUAUAUUUUUUGUUCCCACUUGGUGGGCGUCUUUUGACAAACAAGAGAGAGCGAGAGUGAUAUAUUAAAUUGUGUCUUAUCUAUGAUGACCGACAAAACCAUUAGUUUUCAUGGAGUAUUUUCAACUGGGAAAAUGCAAAGAAAAAGUGAGAGACACUAGAGAGGGAGAGAGAUAGAUGGUCGAAAAAUAAGUAAUAGUCGAAGUUUUAUAGCCACAAAGUCGUGGCCUUAAGCUCCACGGGAGGGAAGAAGAAUGAAGUACACAGAGGUAAUCGGUGAAUCCUUUCUCUGGCCAAUUACACAGAGGUGAUCAGUGUAUCAUACCAAGGAGACUUGGUUCCCAAGGAAAAUGAAAAUAGCCAAAGCUUCCACUUUCCUUUCUGGUUGCUAGAGAUUUUUGUAGCCGAUAUUAAAUUUAUAACAAUGUGCAACGAUUAAAAACACAUGUCCAGUUCUAAUUCUUUGGCUAAUCUAUUAUAUGAUCGAUAUAUUGUAUAAAUCUUCUAUAAAAAGUUUUUUAGUUUGCAUGAUGAUAUAUAUAACGGAAGGAAGAAGAGUGUUGUGGUGCACUUUUUCUAUUAAUAUAUAGGUUCAUCUUUUUCUAUUAAAAUACCCAAAUAAAAUGAAAUCCAAGCUAAACUAUAGGAAAGGUUCAUCUUUUUCUAUUAAUAUGUUUGGAAUUACAAAAAAUAUCUCCAAAACAUUAAAAAGAAAAUAAAGUAUAAGAAACCGAAGAAGAAAGAAAACCUAGCAAAUUUUGCCACAGAUAACAACCUUAGACGUUGGCAGCCUGAUUGGAUUCGGUUGCGACAUAUUACUUUGGUCGAGUGAAUUUCAUGGACAACAAAGAUGGUUUGGAUGUGGUAACAUGAAUCUGUUUUUAGGAUUUUAGGUUACGUUUAGUAGAAUUUCAUGUACACGUGAUAGGAAAAGUUACCUAGCUUCACAGUGGGUCUUGUGUUUAACUACAUAACUUUUGAGGAAAUUGUUUUAAAAGUUUGUGUGAGAGGGAGGAAGAGAGAGAGACGUAAAGAGAGAAGUAAAAGCCUUUAAAGACAUAUAGAUCUGGAUAGACAUAGUGAGUGAUGGAGGGAAUGAGUGAGAGAGAGGGAUAGAGGGAAUGAGUGAGAGAGAGAGAGAGAUGGAGGGAAUGAGUGAGGGAGAGGGAAAGAGGGAGCAAUGGAGAGAGGGAGCGAAAGAAAGGUGAAGCGCAAGAAGAAAAAUGCAUGAAAGACAAUGAAGACAAAGUAGAAGAAGGUAAAAAUGAGGAGAAAUACAAGAAAAAAAAGACAAAGAUGGCAAAGAAGAAAAAUCAAACAAAGAAAGAAAACGAAGAAGUCACAUUUAUCUUAAUUUAGUUGGUUAUAUGUUUCAUACACUUAUUUACUAUUAUUUUUUUGGUUUUUAGUUUUGGAUGGUGUUUACUUAGGAUUAGUUAUAUUUUUGAUCUCGUAUGUCUUAAAUGGGUUAUUCUAAUUUACAACUUUUAAAGUUUUUUUUAACGUUUUUGAAGAUUUUCGGCCUGCGCAAGACGCGGGCUAAACAACUAGUUGAAAUUACAAAAGAAAAAAUAUGUAUAAUAAUUUGGAUAAUGAUUUUUAUGAUCAAACUGAUAAAAGAAAACAUAAAAAUGUUUUCAAAACAGAAGUUUAAUUUUGGUCGGAAUUAGAAGAGAGCGAAGGCGAUGAUGAGAGUGAUUUCUAUGAUCUCUAAUCAAAAUUUAUUGAUUCUUUCACACUGCUACUUUUGAUUUGUGUAUUCUAUGGCCAUCGAUUCAAUGAUGAUGGUUCGGUUUGUAACUGUCAUCUUCCCUCUCGUGUUCCUCAUUUUCCUUCGAGGUAACAGUCUCUUCUCUCAAAGUAGCCUUCUUCCGGAGAUAAUGAUCAUGUCUCCAAUGCAAUAACGUGUUUAAUCACGAUGGAAAAGAGAAACUUGAUCACGUACGGAGAAAACGGUUUUCCAUAACCGUUUUUCUUCUUCAACAAAUUUGUUCGAUGAUUGUUGCAAACUAGAGAUUUUCAACCACUUUUCUUUGUUGGAAUUAGUCGCCAACGAGUUAUAUGUUCUCAUCCUUCUAGCUUUGCUUUGGAAACAACCACCAUGAAAACCACUAUGGAGAUGGUGUGUUAGAGUCGGAGAGGCCGAAGAUGAUGGACAAUCACAAGUUUGUCUUAAUUAUUGGCGAAUUUGGGAUUUAAAUUCAUCUUUUUCUGAUGAUUUUACUUUGUCGGAUAUAGCAUUAUUAUGGGAACAACUACCAUGAAAACCACCAUAGAAGGGACGAAGUUUUGAAGCAGAAGAUGCAAACUCUUUGUUGUAUAGUGAUAUUCGUAGAGUCGUUGAAAAUUGGCAAUCUCAAGUAUUUUUUUUGAAAUAAUCAAUAAAUUGUGUUUUUUUUAAAGAAUAAUUUUAAUUUCUAUUUGGGAAUGUGUCAAUGACAUACAACAGAGAAAAAGAUAGAUCAUAACCAACGAAAUCGCAUCAGAUCAAAUGUGAUUAUAAGGAAAGAAAGUAUGGACAUUCUCCCAGCAAGAAAAACUCAGAGAAAUGAAACACUGAAAUUCAUCUUCAUUAUUUUAUUGUUGUAUAUGUUUAUUCCUAUGUAUUGUUGCUUUUAUGUAAUUUGAUUUCAUAUAAAUAAAGAUAGAUGUUUUUUUAAAAAAAAAGAAAACAUAAGAAUCUCAUUGCAAUUGGUCUUCCUCUGCACUUCCGUCUGAUCCAUGUCAUUUGACGAGGACGACGACAAAACCUUCGAGGACACCCUUCUCGUUGUGCCCGAGGUCUCCGUCUACAAAAUCCCACCGCUAACCUCAUACGGCGGCUACAAAUGUGGCGAAUGGCUCCAAUCCGAUAAGUCUGGUCAGUUGUCUCCUUGUCGUAUCUUGCAAGGACUGCUGCAAGAUCCGCCUCGAGGAUCCAAUCUCUGGUGAUCUCUUUGUCGCUUGUUUUGUUGAUAACGGCCGGUGAGAUAACUCCGUCGAGCCAUGUUUGGAUUCGUCGAGGUACUUCGUCCUGAGGAUCGAGGACGAUCACGGGAAGCAUGCGUUCGUUGGGGUAGGGUUUGGGGAGAGGAACGAGGCGUUUUAUUUCAAUGUUGCUUUUUCGGAUCAUGAGAAGUACGCUAGGAGGGAGAAGGAGAAGGAGAUUGGGGAAGCAAGUGAGAGCGAUGAUCAUAUUGAUAUUCAUCAUGCUGUUAACCACAAGUUGAAGGUGAAAUUGAAUCUCUUCUUAAAUUAAGCCUUUGAAAAAAUUAUGAUACGAUCAAUGCAUAAUAUGGAGAAUCAAGAUUUGUUAAAAGUAGCUUUGAUCAGAAAAAUUUGUGGGGUUGCAUUGUUUGCAGUGUCUGUUUUACUAUGGAUCGUGUCAAAGACUACAUUGUUUAGAUUGAAUAAUCAGAGAAACAUGUUGUUGUUAGUGAAAUGGGAGAAUCUCAUAGGUUAAAAGAUAAUGACCUUUUGAUCUUGUUGAAUUUUUGUUGAGAAUUUAGUGAAUUAUUAGUUGUGGAAUCAAAUUACUGUUGCUGGAAUGGAAGAUAUGACUCAAGUUCAGCUAAGAGGAAUCAAGAAUUGUUCAUAGGUUAUUGUUAUAAGUAGCUAUGAUCAGAAAAGUUCUUGGCUUGCAUCGUUUGAAUUGUGGGGUUUACUUAUAUUAAAACCUGGGAUUGAGUAAAAAACUACAUAUGUGGAUUGAAUAAUCAGAGAAACAUGUUGCUCCUUGUGAAAUGGGAGAAUCUCAUAGGCUUGUUUUGAUAAUUGUUUUCUAACUGAUUCGUAGUCUUUUAGUCAAUAGAUUAAAAGACAAUGACCUUUUGAUCUUGUUGGAUUCGUGCUCAGAAUACUAUGGUUGUGGAAUCAAAUUGAUGUUACUGGGAUGGAAGAGAUGUAUCUCGGGCUGACUAUCAUGAGAUUAACAUUCAUAAUUACAUUUCCACUUUCGGGUAAAUGACAGAAAAUUAAUAGCACAUUUGCUCUUCUUAUACUAUUGUCUAGUUUGUGUGGUCAUAUCACUGUUCUGGAAUCAAACAAGAAGUUCCUCUCAGUUUGACAAGUGUUUAUAACAGAAUCUGAAUAACCUAAAUGCUGAUUAUUCUUUUCUUCUUAUGUUUUUGGUGUUAAGGAAAGUGAAACCAUUAGAAUCAAUGUGAAGCCGAAACCAACGACCAGUGGAACCGCAAUGCUCUCAACCACUCUUUCAGGUAAUGGGAAACCUAAACAGCUAGCGCUUGCACCACCACCAGGCAGCACUGGCAAAACCAUAUCGCUUUUACCACUGCCUCCAAAUGAUUCCAAAACCACGAGGAUAACAUCUGUUGGUUGUAAAGAAUUAAAUGAGAACUCAAGAUCCCAUACCGAUCCACUCUCUGAUUUUUCUCAGCUCAAGGUUCUCUUAAUUGCAUUUUUUUCAAGCAGCCUCAUUUUGUAUAUAUACUGUUUUGUAGUUCUCAAUAACUUUGUCCAUUGUUCUUUAGAGAAAUCUUCCUUCAACCAAUUCCACAGAAGCUGCAUUCGGAUGGGCUGUGUUAAGAAAAACGCUCGAUUUUAUUAGCACUCAAAGAAAAGGAAUACAAGAUCGAUUCGGGACUGAGACUCUCAGUUACCAAAGCGACCUAAAACGAAAUCAAAUCUCAAGAACAAGCUCAAGAGAUUCGCCCAUUUGCAGAGAACAAAUUCUCAUACAACCAAAUCAACAAAACAAUCCAUAAAACUCAACUAACAAACAAAAUAUCUAUUUAUACUAUCUCUUCUCUAACCACUUCAGUCAACGCCUUCUUCCACGUCACCGAACGACCCUGUUUGACCAACUGCCAGCUCAACGUCUUCUUCCACGUCACUCAACGACUUCGUUUGAUCAUUUGUUAGCUCUUGCUCCGUUUCUCUUCUUUGAGCUAUCUCUUUCUUCUUCUUCUUAGUAAUGUAGAUCCUCAUCGGUCUCUUAUCAAUACCCUCCCCUUUCACAUGAAGCUUGUCCUCAAGCUUCGAAUCAGGAAACUGCUGUAAUAACAUCGUUGCUCAUUCCCAAGAACAUUCGUGGUCCGGUAAACCUUUCCAACGAACUAAAGCCUCCAAAUAUCCUUCUUCGUCGUAUCUGGUGUCCAAUACCUCAGCCGGUUCAAUCACAAACUCAUCAUUGGCUGAUAAACCUGUUGGUAAAUCUGAGACCAUAUGAUUCUCGCCUAAGACAGGUUUUAACUGAGAAAUGUGGAAUACAUUGUGAAUCCUUGAGUUUUCUGGAAGAUAUAGACGAUAGGCAACAUUUCCCACACGCGCCACAAUCUCAAAUGGGCCGUAAUACCGCGCAGCCAGCUUCUGACAUACACGCCGAGACACAGUUUGUUGUCUAUAUGGUCUAAGCUUCAAGAAGACUCUAUCACCCACAUUAAACUCCAGUUCACGGCGUUUUUUAUCUGCAUUAUUCUUCAUCCGAGCUUGAGCUAGUAAGAGAUGUUCCUUGAUCUCACGAAGCAUUGCGUCUCGUUGUUUUAACAUCAUUUCUAACUCAAAAUUGGCCGUUGAACCAGUUUCAAACUUGAGAAUAGACGGAGGUGAACGCCCAAAUACCACUUGAAAAGGAGUUGUGCCUAAGGAAGUGUGAUGGUUGGUGUUAUACCAUAACUCAGCCCAGGCCAAAAAUUUGUACCAUACUUUGGGAUGUGCCGAUGUGAAACAUCUGAGAAAAGUUUCCAAACAGUGAUUCAGAACUUCAGUUUGACCGUCUGUUUGAGGGUGAUAAGCGGUACUGAACUUCAACUUCGUUCCCGAUAACCUAAACAUCUCACGCCAAAAUGUGCUCAGAAAUAUCUUGUCUCUGUCCGAUACUAUAGACCCUGGGAAGCCAUGUAGACAGACUAUUUCUAUGAUGAAUUUCUGAGCCACAUUUGUUGCGGUAUAAGGAUGCCUUAAACCAAUGAAGUGAGCAAAUUACUCAGGCGAUCCACAACCACUAGUAUCACAUUUGACCCUUGAGAUAGUGGUAAUCCCUCGAUGAAAUCCAUCGAUAUAUCCUCCAAAAUUUUUGUUGGUACCGGUAAGGGCUGCAGCAAGCCUGCCAGAGCAAGUGUGGAAUAUUUAUGUUUUUGACAUACCCCACAAUCAGAUACAUACUUCUGUAUGUCUUCAUUCAUCUUCUUCCAAUAAAAAUUCUGUUGGAUUCUUCUCAGUGUUUUUAAAACACCUGAAUGACCACCAAACACAUCAUCGUGAAACGUUUGAAGAAUAACCGGAAUAUAAACUGAUCUUUGCGGAAGAACGAGUCUACCCUUGUACAACAGUCUUCCCUCUACCACUUUGUAUUUGUCUUGAGUCGAAUUUUCUGCAAUCACUUUCUGUUUUAAGAUUUGUAAGUCCUCGUCGCCUUCUACUUCCUUUAGAAUAUCUUGGAGUUGGAGACUUGUUGGUACAGUCAAGGACAGUAACUGACUUGAAGAGGCCAUGAUUGUCUCAGAAUGUAUUCGAGAAAGACCAUCUGCGGCUCUGUUGUCGAUACCAGGUUUGUAAAUGAUUUCAAAGUCAUAUCCCAACAACUUGCUUAACCAACGCUGGUACUCCAUCGAAACAUCACGCUGAUCCAACAAAAACUUCAAGCUUUUUUGAUCCGUGUGAAUUAUGAAUUUUCUGCCAAUCAAAUAAUGACGCCAUUUCUGAAUGGCUAGCAUGAUCGCCAUUAGUUCACGUUCGUAUAUUGGUUUAAUCUGGUCUCUGUUGGAUAAACCAUGGCUAAAGUAAGCGAUGGGGUUCCUCCCUUGCAUCAAUACUGCUCCAAUGCCGUAUCCCGAUGCAUCCGACUCAACUAUAAAAGUUUCAUUGAAGUUUGGAAGAGCAAGUACUGGUGCGUUCAUCAUGGCUUCUUUUAGCUGUUCAAAAGCGACUUGAGUUUUGUUAUCCCACUCGAAGUUAUCUUUUUUUAACAGAUCAGUCAACGGUCUUGCAAUUGUGUCGUAGCUUCGGACAAAUCUUCUAUAAUAACCAGUGAGACCCAAAAACCCUCGGAGUUCCUUUACUGUCUUAGGCACUGGCCAUUUCUUCAUUGACUCUGUUUUUGCUGGGUCGGUAGCAACUCCUUUACUUGAAAUAACAUGUCCGAGAUAUUCCACUUUGUUUUGACCGAAUAAGCACUUCUUUUUGUUAGCCAAAAGUUGUUGUUGGACAAAUAUAUCCAAUACCUUUUGUAAAUGAGAAUCAUGUUCUUCCAUCGAUGAACUAAAGACCAGUAUAUCAUCAAAAAAUACUAGCACAAACUGGCCAAGAAAUGGACGAAAUAGGGCAUUCUUGAGUGACUGAAAUGUUGCCGGUGCAUUACUUAGUCCAAACGGCAUCACUAAGAACUCAUACUGACCAUUAGAAGAUCUGAAAGCUGUUUUCUCAAUAUCUCUUUUUUCCAUUCGAAUCUGGUGAUAUCCUGACCUUAAAUCUAGUUUCGAGAAAAUCUUUGCUCCGUGUAGUUCAUCCAGCAAUUGAUCUAUCAUAGGUAUUGGGAAUUUGUCAGGCACGGUUAUCUUGUUCAGAGCCCUGUAGUCGAUGCAAAAUCUCCAGGAGUCAUCCUUCUUCUUAACCAACAAUACAGGACUUGAGUAGGGACUUCGACUUGGACGAAUUAUCCCAUCUGAUAACAUCUUGGACACAAGCUUUUCCAUCUCUUCCUUAUAGGCUUGUGGAUACCUAUAUGGACGCACACUUAUUGGUCCAGCUCCUGCAAUCAAGUUGAUGGCAUGUUCGUGACCACGAAUCGGAGGAAGCUGUGUAGGUUCAGCAAAAACUUUCAAAUACUUUCCCAAUAAGUGUUCAAUGGGUUCCGGAAUUACUUGAGUUUCUUCUUCCUUUUCGAUUCGAAAUAAUUCCAUGUCAAAGCCCACUGAGUGAUGGAUCUGCUUCAGAGAACUUUUGCUACUAUGGAGAGAUGGGUCACCAACGAGUUUCACAAUCGCUCCCCCAUGAUUAAAAGAAAUCUUGUGGUUUUUCCAAUCCAUUUCACAUUUCCCUAAUGUCCUGAGCCAUUGUACUCCCAAGAUAAUGUCGUUAUUUCCCAAUUCUAGUACAAUAAAGUCGGCCCUGAAGUCAUUACCCUGUAGGUUGAAUGAUACAUCUCUGCAAAUGCCCGUUCCUUGGGCUGUGAUGCCAGUACCUAACAAGAUUUCCAAUCUUUUGUUACGUACCGGUUGCAUUCGCAAUUUGAUCACUGUCCCCGUAUCUAUGAAGUUAUGCGUGGCACCACUAUCGAGCAUUACAAUCACCCUUGUUUUACCAAUUGUACCCCACAGUUUUGUAGUCGUUGGUGAUGACAACCACAAAUAUGAGAAUAAUGACAAUUCCAUGAGUUCCAUCCUGUCCUCUGUAUCAUAUUCUACGAAAAUGAGUCCUUCCUCAUCUAAAAGUUCCACUUCUGUUUCGUUAAUCACUGUUAAAACCCUCAGUUCCUUGUUUGGACAUUUGUGUGUCUUUGACCAUUUUUCCUUGCACUUGUAGCACAAUCCCAAUCUCUUAUAUUCUUCAAAUUCAGCUUGUGAUAAUUUCCUCACUAACUGACCGUUUUGCUGAUUCUUCCACGGUUGUCUAUCCGUGGUACCCGAACUACUGGUCUGAGCUCUCACAACCUGAUUUUCCUGACCUUUAACCCCUUCUCUGAUGUAGUCUUGGUUUUGUUUCUCACCAUAUACCCGAUGUGAAUUAUAUAUAGACGAUGAGCGUAAUGGCGUGUAGGCUGUUCGUCUACUUUGGUUCUGGUUCGAUGCUGAUGCCAUAGAUGCACAAAAGGCACUGUCGUUCAUACGAAUCACCGCAUGAAAAUGUUCCGUUAAUGUUUUCGGUUCCUUCAGCUUGAUUACCUCUUGCAUUUCUGGUUUUAGCCCUACGUAAAAAACGUGCAUCAUAUUAUCCUCAUCCACACCCUUGACUAUUGUCGAUAAUUCUUCGAAUUCAUUCACAUAAUCCACAAUCGAUCCUGUUUGCUUCAUGCUAAACAAUCUCUUCGCCGGAUUUUCUUCUAACUUCACACAGAAUCUUGCGAUCAACCUUUCUUUGAACUGUUUCCAACUUCUGAAUUCUUGUUUCUCUACCUCUCUGUUAAACCAGUUCAGAACCGGACCUUGUAAACUGAUCGACAUCAGAUCCAACCUCUCUGCAUCAUUGUAAUUCCCCAAUCGGAAGAAUCUUUCAGCUAGAACUAACCAACCGUAUGGUCGAUAUCCCUCGAAUACCGGAAGUUCUAUCUUCUUCAACAUGCCAUUCCUGUUUUCUAAUACAUUGCUAAUUCCCCGAUAACCUAGAGAUUGAUUAUCCCGGUUGAGUUCCAAAUCUAUUGGACUAACCUGAUUCGCUGUUCCGGAGGAUGAUGCAUGUUGUUUCCCCUGAGCUUUAUCGUUGAACUGAUUCACUUCCAUACGAGCUAGAGUUUGCGAAAUCGAGUUGAUAUUUUUGUCAACUGAUUUGCUGCUCAAUUUUUGAAACUCGCGAUGUGAUUUCGUCGUUCGCCGAUGUUAGCCGCUCCCAACCUCCACGGAUAAUCUCGACUUCCUGAUUUAGCUCGGCAAAUGAUUCCUGGAGCUCUGACGCAGUUCGAUCGAGAUCCACCGAUGAUUGAUCAAAUUCCACCAUCUUCGUCGCUAUGCUCGCUGCUUCACCGCACCAAAUGUUAAGGAAAAUGCUCGAUUUUAUUAGCACUCAAAGAAAAGGAAUACAAGAUCGAUUCGGGACUGAGACUCUCAGUUACCAAAGCGACCUAAAACGAAAUCAAAUCUCAAGAACAAGCUCAAGAGAUUCGCCCAUUUGCAGAGAACAAAUUCUCAUACAACCAAAUCAACAAAACAAUCCAUAAAACUCAACUAACAUACACAAUAUCUAUUUAUACUAUCUCUUCUCUAACCACUUCAGUCAACGCCUUCUUCCACGUCACCGAACGACCCUGUUUGACCAACUGCCAGCUCAACGUCUUCUUCCACGUCACUCAACGACUUCGUUUGAUAAUUUGUUAGCUCUUGCUCCGUUUCUCUUCUUUGAGCUAUCUCUUUCUUCUUCUUCUUAGUAAUGUAGAUCCUCAUCGGUCUCUUAUCAGGCUGCUUUCUGAUCACCGGUGAAUAAUUUUUUUUGACGGUCUUUGGAGGCUUCAUAUACUUACAAUAGAGGCAUUGAGACAAAUGCCAUAGACACUAAGACAAGUUUGUUAAAUCAGAGCUAAGAAGUUAAAAAUAGUUUGUGUUUUUGGUAAAUUGAUCUCUUUAUUUCCUGAGACACGAAUAUUUCUUGUUGUAAUCUUUCCUCGCUUCUUCUUAAUAUUAUAGAAUAAAAAAGAGAAAGAAUUAAAGAGAUAAUCUUACUUUGUGGGCGGAUCAAAUAGAUUUAUUAGUUAAGAUUACUCAUCGACAUCUUUCAAAAUUAUGAUCAGUUAUCGGUUCGCUUCUUCGUGUUUUUUCAAAUUUUUUCUAAACUGACAUACAAUAUAAACAUUCACGAAAAUAUAAUUCCAAACCAAAGAAUCAAAGCAAAUCGAAUUAAUUGAACUAAUAGAAAUUAACCAAAAUUAUCGGAUUUAACUGGAUUUCAACACUAAAAAAAAACCAAAAAUUUCGGUUAGUUUCGGUGAAUUGAAAAAGAACCGAAUAAACCGAUAACUGAAUCAAACUGUAAAAUUUUCCGGUUAUUUUCGGUAAGAUUUCUUGAGAUCUGAACUAACUGAAAAAACGGACUGGUUCAGUUUGUCUUAGAAGACAUCAUCUGUUCGAGUCAGUACGCUGUCUUUUUUAUUAUUUGUCGGUAAGCAACAUUCACUGACGUGGCAGCCUUCUGCUGGUUAAACGUAUGACGAUUAACGAAAGACUAAUAAAGUAUGUAAAUCUAAUGGACAGAGAAGUGCGCGACGUGGCAAAAAUCUGAUGGCUUAUCAGGUCUACGUUGAAAACGGAACGUAUUUAAACAACGACAGAUUUAACCGGAGGAGGGAAAAUCGCCGGUCACCGAGUAACAACAACACUCACAUCUCUCUUUCUCUCUCUGAUUGUUUUGAUUUCUCAGAAAAUGGCGGAGAAAGAUGCGACGCCGAGAAGCGACGGCAACAAUGACGGUGCGAUUAGGGUUUGCGGGAUGCAGUUUUCUUACGAAGCCCAGGAUUCUGUUUUCUUCGAUUUCAACCUCGAUCUCCCCGCCGGAUCUCGUUGUCUCUUGGUUGGUGCCAAUGGAUCUGGUAAAUUUUCGUUUUUUCUUCGUUUUUGGGUAUCCCGAUUUGCAAUUUUGCAGUUUCUGCUUCCAUGAAUCUGACUAGAUCGAUUUUUGUAGUUAAAGAUUCGAUUUUUAAUGCUUUUCUUGAUAUUAUAUGACUAUGAAAUCAAACACAUUUGCGAAAUGCAAAAUUUGUAUAUCAUUCGUGUGAUUCUGUUUGUUUAUUGCUCGAAUUCAAUAAAAUCGAGGUUUUCUUCGUCGAAUUCAGCUUUUAGUUUGCUCAAUAACUCUGUAAUUGACAUAAUUUUUGUUUUGUUUUGUAAUGGCAGGGAAGACGACUUUAUUGAAGAUUUUAGCUGGGAAGCAUAUGGUUGGAGGGAAGAACGUUGUACAAGUUCUGAAUCGGUCAGCUUUUCAUGAUACACAGCUUGUUUGUAGUGGUGACUUGUCUUACCUUGGAGGCUCAUGGAGUAAAACCGCUGGUUCUGCUGUGAGUUUAAACACCUUGCAAGAGUCUUGACAUUAACACCAGAUUCUAUAUACAUGUUUUUUGUUUCUAAUUUUCUUGGAUUUUUCUUUUUUUAGGGUGAGAUUCCUCUUCAGGGAGACUUCUCAGCAGAGCAUAUGAUAUUUGGAGGUUGUCUUCUCUGUCUUAGCAUGCCAGUUUUUGGUUUCUUCUUCCUUAUGCUUAUAUAUAUAUAUACUCAGGGAGAUGUUUGUGUUUUUGUAUGAAGCAGUUGAAGGGAUUGAUCCUGUGAGAAGAGAGAAGUUGAUUGAUCUUCUUGAUAUCAAUCUUCAAUGGCGUAUGCACAAGGUUUCUGAUGGGCAGAGACGCCGAGUUCAGAUAUGUAUGGGUCUUUUACAUCCAUUCAAGGUAAGUAGAUUUUGAUUCUGUGAUAUCUGAAAACUCACCAUCACCAUGGUCUCUUUCUGAUCUUUAGAUUGUAAUGAGAUUUGUGAUUUUCAGGUAUUAUUACUGGAUGAGGUUACUGUGGAUCUCGACGUUGUUGCUAGGAUGGAUUUGUUGGAAUUCUUCAAAGAAGAAUGUGAACAAGUAAGCCAUUUACUGAUUCAGUCUUAAAGCACAUUUUCACAUAGCAUAUGUAUACAUGGAUUAUGCAUAAACAUACAGGGGCACAAGCUUUUUCAUUUUGGUACUUGUUGCGUCUUUGUGGUCCGGUUUUAAGCUCCUGAUGUGGAAUGAUUACAAGUAAUACACCUUAUGUCUUGAUAUGAACUUAACCUUAGAACGGUGACACAUCAAGAUUAUUACUUCUCAUACGUUUAGAGGUCUCUAUGAGCUUAUGGUUAGAAACAUGGAAAUGCUGAUUUUGUUUUUUGAUAAAUGACCAGAGAGGAGCAACAAUUGUGUAUGCAACUCAUAUUUUCGACGGACUAGAGACGUGGGCUAGUCAUCUAGCGUACAUUCAUGGCGGGGAGCUGAAACUCUCGGCCAAGCUAAACGAGAUCAAGGAUUUGAAAACCUCACCAAACUUACUCUCUGUGGUUGAGUCGUGGCUUCGCUCUGAAACCAAUGUCGAGAAGAAGACCAAGAAGAAACCUGUUGUUACCUCUCCAUUUAUGUCGUCUAGACAAAUGGCUUAUUACCGAUGAAUCAUCGUAACAUCAAUCUUUGAGACAAUCAGUAAAAGAAUAAGAGCAGUUCCCAUUUGUCAUUGUUAACUUUGUUGCCCUUUAAUACUCUCAUUCUAAUCUAUGAUUUAAAUUAAGAUGUCACAAAUUUUGGUUGUGAUUUUGUUCAAUCUUUUAAUCUUCACACCUACUCAAGAAAAAGGCAAUCUUGCGUAAUCAACAAAGAUGAUUUAAAUCUCAACACGAGUAAAAACAAUAUCUAAAACACUCUAAACCCGGUUUUGGUUUUGCUCGUAAGAAAAUAAAAUAAAAAAUGUAUAACAAAAAAAUUAAAAACAUUAUUGCCAAAACAUGAUUUAAAAGUCUGUUAAAAUAAGCCUUGUUGUAUUCUACCAUAACGCACUAGUGCAUUCUUUUACUGCGGUAUGCAGAUUCUGUUCCGUUUUCGCCUUGUUGGGGUUGCUUUGAUAUUGUUUUCUUCUUUGUGGCAGAUUGCUAAGAAAACUGUUGUUUGUUGCAUCUCUUUAGUGAAUCUGGUCCGAUUGGACUUUCAUAGUCUUAAUUUCUCCAUUUUGGAGUCUUUUCUCCUCCCAAAUAUUUCACUUGUUUUGAGUGUUACAGAGAGCAUUAUCUUGAAGGUUGUUCUGCUUAGAACAGGCACGAAGAUGUUAAUUGUCUUUCGUUUAGCACUUGAUGUUGUUGACGAUUUAGCAUUAACGCCACCGGAAGCUUGGAUCCCUCCUUUUUGUGGUUUCAUCGAUCAAGACGGUCAAGCAAAAGAAGUUUUCUUUUUGCGCUGCCUUUGUUUAGAAGCUACUUGGGUUGAGCUUAUGAACUCCCCUUUAUCUGUAUGUCUCUCUUUGAAUUGUUAUUGUUGUUUAAAUUUUACUAUUACCUCGACCAAUCUGUGGGUCGUUGGUUUGGUUUGUUUGGCUCCAUGUAGCCUUGUGUAUCCUCUACUAAGUAGAGGCAAAACUCAUUUGAUUUGAAUGCAAACUUAGUUCGACCAAAAAAAAAGUCUGUUAGAGUAUGUUGCGCUUAACCUCCCAAAAUUCAGAACAAAAUUUUGUUUUGUUGCUCUCUUCUGUUCUUAAUCCUCUGAUUAAAUUCUUUUUGUUUCGUACACUAACCUUAAUCAGGAUAUUAUUGUUAAUUUUAUCCGACUGUACAAUUAUUAAAACCAAACCAAAAAACAAAUUUUUCUUUUCUAGAGGAAAAAACACAAAGGCGACAGACAAAAAUGUCCCAAAUCUCCAUUUCCUCUCGUCCCUCUUUCUUAGUUUCGUCGUAUUAAAUUACCCAAAUUCCUUUUCUCUGUUCUACGAAACCUCGAUUUUCUUGCCCAGUUUCCGAGUCAUGUCCAUCUAAAAUUUUGCGCUUUUCGUUUUUAAUUGCUCUCGAAUUAGCUCGAUUCCUAAAUCUGAGGUUUUUUUUUUUUUCAUUGGCUUAAUCAAUUCGGCGUUCAAUUUGCAAGCAAUUCGGUCUCCUUUCGAUGAACUGUUUGGGAUUCCGAUUUUAUGAUUUUGAUGGUGGGUUUGAUUUUUGAAGCAAUGAAGAUGAGUUUAUGGCGAAUUGGUUUGCUGGAAUCUGGUUUUUGAUGUUCCAUUACAAUAAUGGAUCUCUGAAGACUUUUUUUUCGAUGUUAAACUCGUGAAUCUGAGGAUUGUCGUCGAGGGUAAAUCUCUUUGGAAAACAGAUCCAGGAGCAAAUUGAGGAAGCGUCUGAUAUUUGAUUUUGGAAUUUGAGGGUCUUUUUUUUUUUGGUUGGUAAAGAGAUUGGAGAAGAUGGAUCUUGUGAUCGCUGGGAAAUUCAAGCUUGGAAGGAAAAUUGGUAGUGGAUCAUUUGGAGAGCUUUAUCUAGGUAGGUGAAAUGAGGACGAAUCCGUUUUUUUUUUUGGAAAUUUAUUUCUAUAUAAGUUUUAGGGUUUACGUAUUGUUUGAGCAUUUUUGCAGGUGUGAAUGUCCAAACAGGAGAAGAAGUUGCUGUCAAGCUGGUAAAGAUUUACCACUUUUAACAACACUUGAAUCUUUAAAUGCAUUUGUUUCUUUUUUUGGAUAAUGCAAAUGCAAAUGCAGAAAAGAAAAAAUUCUUUUUUAGUUCAAUUGCGAUUUUCAUGUGAUGCUGUCUGUAAAAAUUCUUUUUUUUCACAUGAAGACGAUGAGGAAUCACUUUCUUGUUUCAUUCGCCAUUUAUGUGACCUUGUUGUGUCCUUUGAUUCUGCUUCUCUACUUUUUUUUUAUAACUAUCAUUUUGCCUUUUUUUUCUCAGGAAUCUGUGAAGACCAAGCAUCCCCAACUUCAUUAUGAGUCAAAGUUGUAUAUGCUGCUUCAAGGAGGAAGUAAGUGUCACUUUACACUAGAAUUAUAGGCUUCUGUCUAUUGUGUAUGCUUCUUCUGCUUUGUGGGUGAUCAAGUAUAUUCUGUGUAGACAGGCUUUUAUUAAUUUUACAUUUCGUUCUGGUUGCAUUAUUAUUUUGCAAAUAACUAAGACAGUUUCUUUUUUGUUUUUCUUUCUCCCUGAAGCUGGUAUUCCGAAUCUCAAGUGGUUUGGAGUGGAAGGUGAAUACAGCGUAAUGGUUAUUGACCUUCUAGGUCCUAGUCUUGAAGAUUUGUUUAACUACUGCAAUAGGAAGUUCACCUUGAAAACUGUUCUCAUGCUUGCCGACCAGUUAGUGAGUAUAUUUAUCUUGCUAGUUGUUCUGUUCGCUGAGUUUAAUGACUUUGUUCGUAACGGAAGAGUAUCUGUGUUCUCUGUUUACGUUUCAGCUUAACAGGGUUGAAUUUAUGCAUACUCGAGGUUUCCUUCACCGUGAUAUAAAGCCUGAUAAUUUUUUAAUGGGACUUGGACGCAAAGCAAACCAGGUGCUAAAAUAUAUCUUUAUGGUGCUUAGCCAUAAUUUUUAAUUGUGAUGGUGGUUUCGGCUUCAACCUACUGAGAUAACUGUUUUUUUUUUCCUCAUGAUUUCAGGUGUAUAUCAUUGAUUUCGGAUUAGGAAAGAAAUACAGAGACCUUCAGACUCACAAGCACAUUCCUUACAGGUAAGAAUAUGCCAUGUUUAUUUGUUUCCUUUAUCCUUACUCAGGGAUCUGCAUUUUUGCAUCCUAAUAUCCGUGAACUCAAAAGGAAAGAUUAAAUUUUGACAGAGAAAACAAAAAUCUCACUGGGACGGCUCGUUACGCUAGUGUCAACACUCACCUUGGAGUCGGUAAGAGAGUUGUUCUGUGGUGUUAUAUAUAUAUUUGAAUUGUGUGUCUGAAACUUAACUAGUUGCUGGUGUUUGUACAGAACAAAGUCGAAGGGAUGAUUUGGAAUCACUUGGUUAUGUGCUUAUGUAUUUUCUCAAAGGAAGGUAAGAAUCUACAGUUUUUUUCCUUCUUCUUCUUUCAACUACUGUAUAUUUUGUUGGACAAAAAUUCAAACUCUUGUUUUGUUGCAAUCAGCUUACCAUGGCAGGGAUUAAAAGCUGGGACAAAGAAGCAGAAAUAUGACAGAAUCAGUGAGAAGAAAGUAUCAACACCUAUAGAGGUAAAACAACUCGACAAUCUGAUUGCAUCAUAUUAAGAGAUUAAAAUGUUAAAGCUAUCUCGGUAUCUUAGUAUGUUAAUGGAAUGUUUUCGAUGUAGGUGUUGUGUAAAAACCACCCUUCUGAAUUUGUUUCAUACUUCCAUUACUGCCGAUCUUUACGGUUUGAUGACAAACCUGAUUACUCUUACCUUAAGAGGCUUUUCCGCGACUUGUUCAUCCGAGAAGGUUCUUUUUCUUAUCUUAUCAUCAUUAUUUUCACAAAGUUUGCAUACUGUUUAAGCGGUUGUUGUCUCAUUUUUCAAAUUGUUGAUUCUCUUGCAGGUUACCAAUUCGAUUAUGUAUUUGACUGGACAGUCCUAAAGUACCCUCAAAUCGGUUCCAGCUCUGGUUCUAGCUCACGGACAAGGGUGACUUUUCUUUCUUUUUCUUCUACUCUUGUGGUUUUUGAGUUUCUCUAUGCUUACGUAAAUGUUAAUCUCCGGGUCUUGCAGCAUCAUACAACCACGAAACCAGGAUUCAACGCAGGUCCUUCCAUGGAAAGACAAGAGAGGUUCGCAGGUAAAAAUCUACUCCUGCUUCUAUUGGAAAUCUCAGAAUCACACACACAUUCAUUCCUCAUGAUUCUGUGCGUGUAGGUAGGGAAACAACCCGUGAUAGAAUCUCAGGUGCAGUGGAAGCCUUCUCCAGAAGACACCCGACAACAACUUGUACGCCACGUGAUCGUUCCAGAUCAAGAAACUCUGAUGAUGGACCUUUCACUAAGCACACGGUAACAAAUCUCACUUCACCAAAAACACAUAUUGAUACAAAAGCGUGCAUAGAGACUCAAAUUGUAUUUGUUUUUGGCAGCAUAGAGACUCUGAGAGACCAAACAGUUCCUCAAGAUACAGAACAUCUUCUUCUAGGAAAGCUGUUGCUGCUUCAAGCUCUCGGCCAAGUUCUGCAGGCGGACCAAGCGAAAGCCGAGCUUCAAGCCGUCUGGUUUCAUCGAGCGGUGGUGGUGGCAGCGGAAGUGGCAAUGGCCGUCCCUCGACCAGCCAGAGAAUCCAAGCUGGAUAUGAAUCCAAGACUCUGUCUUUCUCUCGUGCAACGGCUUCAAGAAACAAUCGGGAAGAUCCAUUGAGAAGCUUUGAGCUUCUGGAAAUAAAGGAAAAUGAGAGAGACAGAGAGACAGCAAAACUCAAUGAGAACUCAUCAGAAAAACUUCCUCGGAGAAAGCGGUGAAUCUUUUGGUUAAGAAAGAUUUCAUAUACUUGAACGAUCUUUUACAGGUGAUUUCUGCUACAGCUUUGCUGAGAGAUCUUUCCCAGCACUCUUCGUUUGUAUAUUUAAAUCGUGAUGUGUUUAGACAAAAUAACAAUCAAAAAUGUAGAGGGUUUCCAUGUAAAAACGGUGAACAUUGUAUUCCUAUAUUUUCUCUGUAAUAAUAAACCAAAAAAGAAAACAAACAAAAAUUGUUCUUUGGUUCUCUUCUAGUUGACUUUUCGGUCAACGCUGAGGGCUAAAAGUGGAAAAUAAAUACCACCGCUGGGCCGAGUAUUAAUACCAGUUUUUAAUUCAUUCACAUCAUUUACCUUUCCGGGAAAAUUCUCCGAUUUUCUCUCUUUCUCGAACUCUGAAAUUUCCUCUAUUGAUCGGAGAGUGAUCAGUGUUCACUGAUCUGCCACGUUCUUCCUCCUCGGUGCAUAAAUAUUAGUGUUCGAAUCGGCGAAGACGUUGUAUGAUAUUGUAGUCUAUUUUGCUUGUUGAUAGAAUUUGAAAUCUAGGGUUUAUCGAAUCGUUUUUCCUUUUCCUUUUCCGUUUCGGUUUCUUGGAGUUUCCCAGAUAAAGUUAGCAAAUCUUCUCGAUUGGUCAGAGCCGCUUGUGUUGAAUUCUGAAAUUUCUGUGGGUUUCGUGGUGGUUUCGCUCCAUUCAAGUUGGUUGUAGAUCGUUCGAAAAUCUGAAGAUUUCGUCGUAGAGUUAGUGCUUCAAGGUGUUGGAAGAAAUUGAAGAAAUUAGGGUUUCAGUGGUUACGAUCCAGUUUUCGAAAUUGACUUGGAGUUUUGUGGCACUUCUGUUCUCUUAAUUCGAUAAUAUAAGGAGAUCAUGGAGAUUGAUGGUGUAAACGAUGUUCAUAUCUUGGAUCCUGAGCUCUUGCAGCUUCCGGGUUUGUCUCCUUUAUCGGUGAAAACAAACCCUCAUAUUGCUGAGGAACUCUUCUCACAGUGGCUUUCACUCCCUGAGACUGGCCGAUUGGUAAUUUGAUUCCCAAGCCUCUGAUUUCUUGUCUUUUUAUUUCAAUCCCAUAGUGUUUAUCAACGCCACCAUCUAUCUAGUUGAUAGAUCAUUUUGAUUGUCUUUUGGAAAGUUUCGUUUAUCCAUUUGUGAUUUCAAUUGGAUGCUUAAACCUCUGUCUCCUUAUGUGCAUACCGGGUUUGUAAAUUUUAAUCAGUAGUAUAGGUUGGUACUGUGUCUGUUCUUCAGUUUCUUGUUCAUUUGAUUUAUGCGCUUGUUUAUGUAUGCUGAUUCCUGUUCCUGAGCCCAUUGUUAAUAAAGUUGUCGUUGCGACAUCAUUUGAUUUCCCAUAACUUUUCCGUUCAUGGUCGUACAUGGUCCUGAGCUCAUUGUUAUAUAUCUAAGAAUUUUGUUUAUUAAUUAGUGUUAGAUAUAUAGAGAAUGUGUGAAUCUUCUUAUAGAGCUUAGAAUGACUUGGGUGAAAAAAGUACUGGGAUAUAUCAAGUCUCUGCUAGAAAAGCAUUUGUAUUUGUGUAGUACCAACAUUAACUUAAGCUUCCUGAGAAUCUCCUCAGCGUUCCUUUAAUUUGAUAUGGCUGGGAAUCAAUCAUACGGGGAAGAAACUUUAGGUGGCAGUUUUUUUUAAAUGUUUUUUUUGUGACCUUAUUUUGGCUGUUCAUCUUUGUGAUGUUUGUGCAGGUCAAGUCUUUGAUUGAUGAUACUAAAUCUAGUACCCCAGUCAGUGUAUCCAAGAAUUGUGCCAAUCUCAACAUUUCUUGCGGAAGUGCAUUGCCAUCUGUGUUUCUGAACAGUGGCACUCCCCCACUAUCCCCUCGAAGUUCAUCUGGGUCUCCCCGUUUCUCGAGGCAAAAGACAAGUCCUUCUUCUCUACAGUCUCCUUUGAGAUCAGUCAGAGAACCAAAGCGCCAGCUCAUCCCACAGGUUUGAUAUUUAUCCUGCUGCUCCUCGUAAGGAUGUUUUUUUUUUUAAUUACAAUUGGCUUUCUUUCAAAUAACAGGAGAAGACUCUGCCUUGCUUGACAUCUUGAUUUUGGUUUUUUAUGUACGCUCACAUGAUUGUUAUAACUAGAUUGAAAUAGCUAAGUAGAUGUAUAUCCAUGAGCAAAAAAAUUAGUAGAAACUAUUUCUACGGUUAAGUUGAAUUGAUACAUUUUUUUUUUUCACAAAACGUUGACAAAUUGCACGUUUAUUAUGGUAAUUCGUUUAAUAGCGAAUAAUGUUCAACAUCUUGUUUAUAACUUCUAUGCUAUGAUAUGUAUGCAGUUUUACUUCCAACAUGGGCGUCCACCUGCGAAAGAACUAAAGGAGCAAUGUAUAUCCAUGGUCGAUCAUUAUUUUAGUAACUAUAUUGACGGACUUCGUAUGGAUGGUGAUAUUUCACUUCAAACUUUUCUACAUCAGUCUCGUGCUGUAAGGAAUAGGCAAACAGUUGAUCUUACAAACAUAUUCCUGUUAUUGUCCAAUUGCAGAAUUCAAAUCUAUUACGAAAGAAGUCUGCAAGCUGCCUUCUUUUCUUUCUUCGGUACUUUUUAGAAAGAUAGAUACGAAAUGCACCGGUAUCGUUACAAGGUAACUCUUUGUGUGCUUUCUUUUCAUAUGCGUAAUUGUAGUAGUUAAGUGUAUAUACAUACUUGUGUGUUUGUGUAUAUGUAAUAAUAAUAAUAGAACACGCUGGUGUGGAUCUCUGGAUUCACGCUCAACAAUUUGUCUCGUCAAUUGCACACAUUUAAAAAUAAUUGUACAGUUGCAUAAUAAUUUGAUAUUUGAUUGUUAUCCUUUUUACGUAAGCCACUUUUACAUAAUAUACAAGAUAUUUGUAAUUAAGUAAUUUUGAAGUAUCGGCACUGUAGAUUUUUUUGGAAAUUGAUAUACUUCUCAAUUAGCCAAAGCUUGGUUAAGAAUCAUAGAAAUAUACAACAGCUAUGCAAUUUUUUCUGUUUAAAUUCUGACAAAAAAAAAAAGUAUACACCAUAUAUUGUUCCUGAAUAUACUGUUUACCCGCAGGGAUGCAUUUAUCAAGUAUUGGGUUGAUGGACAUAUGUUGGCAAUGGACGUAACCACACAAAUAUAUAAUAUUUUGAGGCAGACAGGCUGCAAGUACCUCAGACAGGUCUAUUUGUGAUUCUUUUCCCAGUUCUUCACUGCUGUUUGAAUUGUUUACCGAAGAUUAUCGUCUUUCUUGUUUUCUUUAAUCCAUUUUCCUGAAGACGUCUCACUUCUAUCAUUUCUUGGAUUUGGGGAUAGGCUGACUUCAAACCAGUUCUUGAUGAGCUGCUGGCAUCUCAUCCUGGCUUGGAAUUCUUGAGGAAUACACCUGAAUUUCAAGAAAGAUAUGGUAAGAACAUAUUUGGUUUAUGAUACAUUGAUUUUAUGGUGAUAUAUAUCUAGAGUACUACGGGAAAGCCUGUUUAUUAUGUAGAAAAUAAGAUGUUCAUGCAAUUUCUUUCCAUCUAUUUGAUUUUUGAGAACACAUUGGCGAACUUGAAAGUGACUUCUUUAGCUGUUCUGGUAGGCCAAGGCAAAUAAUUUUUCCUUUGUUAAUUUUAUUGGCGCUUUCCAUUAUAAUUAUUUCUUGAAAGUUGUGAAAUGACACUUAAUAUACAGUAUAUCAGGUGCAUACUGUUUUAUACAUCUAUUGACUAAAUCAUAUUUUUUUUCUGUGCUUGUUUCAUUCAUCAUUGUGUUCUUUCCCGUCUACCCAGCUGAGACUGUCAUCUACAGAAUAUUUUACUACAUAAACAGAUCAGGAACUGGUUGCAUUACUCUUAGAGAGCUGAAGCGUGGGAAUCUUAUUGCUGCCAUGCAACAAGUUGAUGAAGAAGACGACAUCAAUAAAGUUAUUAGGUGAUCAUGUUUUCCUUUUCAUCGUUUCUUAAAAAGUAGUGAAACAUAUUUUUAGUUAGUUUUGUUUAUUAUAAUAAAAACCAGUUAAGUUGUCUAAGAAUUCAAGCUCAGAAAGGAAAGCUGUGUAGCAUUGUAAGCGAUAUGGGGGUAGUGCUUAGGUCUUCGUAUCGUUUCUUAGACAUAGGCACUACCCGUUAAACUCAUAAAGGAAAAAGAAGUGUAUGGGAAGUUCAGAUUAAUACUCAGAGAGGACAUUAUGCAUGAUUUGUCCAUUCAAUUUGACAUUUUCUUUGCUUUUCAGGUACUUCUCGUAUGAGCAUUUCUACGUUAUAUACUGCAGAUUUUGGGAACUCGAUGGCGACCAUGAUUUCUUUAUUGAUAAGGAAAAUCUCAUCAAGUAUGGUAAUCAUGCCCUUACUUACAGGAUUGUCGACAGGAUAUUUACACAGGUUGGCUCCAGAUGUCAAAAUGUUUUUGUCUGAACACACUGUUAUGAAGCUUAAUUAUAGUCUUACGGGAUUCAUUCCUUUAUGAUUCAUGUUAUGGCUACGUCUCUCACAUAGGUCCCUAGGAAAUUCACGAGCAAAGUUGAGGGGAAGAUGGGUUAUGAAGAUUUUGCAUACUUUAUUCUCGCCGAGGAGGAUAAGUCCUCUGAGUCCAGUCUUGAGUAUUGGUACACUUCUCUCCCCUUCUUUCAUUUUUCUUUACAGACUAUUCUUCAGCCAUUGUGUCCUUAGCUGCUUGACUCACAAUAUGUCAAAAUGAAUGUAUAACCGCUAAGCCAAAACUCGUGGCAUAUCUACCAGAAAUUGUGAUACAGUAAACAUCAAGUAGUACCAUUAUUUCAUGAACAUAGAAUACCCAUAUUGAAUCUAAAACAUUUGUCUGGGUAGUGAUUUAUAGGUCUUUUCUCAUUCAUUAUAUCAUGAAACUAGAACGCUUUCUAUUGACCCGCUGAUAUAGGGCAUGCGUCACUGGUAUGUCAUCCAUCUGCCAUGGAUGUAACACACUGGACUCGUGGUGGCUUUUUGGCUUUUUGGCUUUUUCCCCUGAAAUUGAUUGAAAGGUUUCUUUGCAGGUUCAAGUGCGUAGACCUGGAUGGAGAUGGGGUGAUCACUCCCAACGAAAUGCAGUUUUUCUACGAAGAGCAGCUGCAUCGCAUGGAAUGCAUAACCCAGGAACCUGUACUCUUUGAGGAUAUCCUAUGUCAAAUAUUCGACAUGAUUAAACCGGAGGCAAGAGUUCUUUCAAACCCUAACAUGGUCUUUUGCUAUUUCCCGGGUGUUUUACUUAUUUUGAAUAUCAGUUUGCUUAUUGACUCUUUCAGAAGGAGAACUGCAUCACACUCCAGGAUCUGAAAGCAUCUAAACUUUCUGGAAAUAUUUUCAAUAUACUCUUCAACCUGAAUAAAUUCAUGGCGUUUGAAACCCGUGACCCUUUUCUCAUUCGCCAGGUAACCAGAGCUUUUCUGUAGAGUUUCUUCCACUUUGGUUUUAACAGCUGUUGAAACUAUUACUACUGAAUGGGUUAUUAAUGAUAUAUCAAUUCGUGAAAGGCUCUAAAAGACCUAGAUAGUCUAUAUCAUAACUUGGGAGAAAACUAUGAACGAUGUAACAGGGUUUAGUUAACUUGACCGCUACUAUAUUUUUUUUCUUUCCAUGUCAUAGGAACGUGAAAAUCCAACAUUGACAGAAUGGGACCGAUUUGCUCAGAGAGAGUAUGUGAGGUUAUCGAUGGAAGAAGAUGUGGAGGAAGUCUCGAAUGGGAGUGCAGAUGUUUGGGAUGAACCACUCGAAUCUCCAUUUUAGUUACUUCAUAAGAGGUAAUAAUUUCCCCAGUGCUCAUCGUCAAGAGUUGUUUGUGUAUGAAUUAUGAAAUUUAUUUAUGCUCCCAAGAAACGAAAGCUUGUUCCUUUGCUUAUGACACUUAAUUUGCUCGUUUAUUACUAGUUUCUUGGGAAGAAGAGGAGGAGGUUGAGUUUGGAUCUUCUUGGCCGAGUAACAGCCUCGGAAAGGGAAAGGGUUCUCAGACAACCACGAAAGCCAAUCCCUUUCCAACCUAGGGAUUGGCGAGCAAAUGAGAGUUUGUCUGAGAAAGUGUCAUUUCAUGAAAUAUUUAUCUUGCUUAGGGUUUUUCAGGUCGGACACUCUUUUCAAUCUACUAUGUAUAUUAGUAUACGUCGGUUUAUAGUGUUUUGUGGAACCAAACAACAACGGUUUUAUAUUCAAAAUCGAAAGAACUUGUUUUGUACAAAGACUUUUUUUGUAGGCGAAAAGGGUUCUAAACUUUCAAUUUGUUUUACAUGUUCACGUCCUUUUUUUUGCUUAAACGUACAGCUAUUUUGUGCAUAUGAUAUGAAUAUGACUUUAUGCUAACUAUCUUCGUUAAUUGACCUCUAACCCUAAUGUUUCCUAAUAAAAUAUAUUUAACGUUUUCGAGUGACAUAAGCCAAUAUUGAUUUUACUAUUUUUUGUAUUGGAAAAUAACCAUUUAGCAAAAUAGAGCAAAAAACUACUUUUGUUUAAUUGGAUCAUAUUGUCCAACCUUUUCUUUGUCAAUAGAUGAUACAGUAAUGAUUUGUAUUUUGUGAGGUCAAAACGUGUGUUUCUUCUUUCGUUUAUAACUCACAAGCAUGAACUACAAAGUUGUAGCCUAAUUUUUUUCGAUAACUUUAGUAAAAUAGUCUAUUAAAUUUGUUUUAAUAUAAACUCUUUUAAGACGACAAAAAAAAAAUAUAAACUCUUUUAUAUAUAAGGUAAAAUUUAUAUGUAUUUAUAUAUAUGUAUAUAUAUUAUAUAUUAGAGAGGAAGAGACGUGAGAAAGAGAAAGAGAAGAGAGGAAGAAGCGAUUUCUUCUUAUCACACCUUCUCAUUAUUAUCAUCCAAGAUGUAUUUAUACAGGGAACGGGGAAGAGUGGUAAGUAAAUUAUAUGGACAAUAAAUAUUGUUACCUAUCCCUACAUAUGUGGAUAAUUAUUAUCCAACACUCCCACUUAAUUAUCUAUUACUAAUAAUUUAUUAUGUACUGUCUCGUUAAAAACUUUAUCAUGGAAAAAUUUAUUAGAAUAAAAACUAUGACAAAGGAAAAGAGUACAGCUACGUAAUCUCCCUCUAGAAAUGAUAGAUAUACAUUUCUUUUAUAGAUCUCGCAGUCCACGCAUUCCAAUAUUAUGGACAUGUGUUUCUGAAUGAUAUAGUGGGAAGCGCCUUUGUAAAGAGGUCUGCUGCAUUGUCACUUAAGUGAACAUAUUGGAUAUCCACUUCCUGAUUUUUCUCGAGUUCUUGAGUGUAAGAGAAAAACCAUGGAGGAAUAUGUUUUGUUCGAUCGCUCUUGAUAAAACCUUCUUUGAGUUGAGCGACACAUGCAGCAUUAUCUUCGAACAUUUUUGUUAGUUCCCUAUCAAUGACUAUUCCACUUGCACCUUGAAUAUGUUGAGUCACAGAUCGAAGCCAUAUGCAUUCUCUACAUGCCUCAUGGAGAGCAAUGAUUUCCGCAUAAUUUGAAGAAGUGGCGACCAAAAUCUGUUUUUGAAAACACCACGAGAUCGUUGUUCCACCAAUUGUGAAAACAUAUCCUGUUUGCGAUCUAGCUUUAUGCGGAUCUAAUAAAUAUCCUACAUCUGCAAAACCAACUAGACCAACUUCGAGGUUUCUAGGAUAAAAUAAACCCAGAUCAAUCGUACAUUGGAGAUAACGAAAAAUAUGUUUUAUUUCAUUCCAAUGUUUGCGUGUAAGAGAUGAGCUGUAUCUUGCAAGUAGAUUAGUAGCAAAAGCUAUAUCUGGUCGAGUACAAUUUGCAAGAUACAUAAGUCCACCGAUAGCGCUCAUAUAUAUAAGGUACUUCAGGACCUAAUACGUUUUCGCUAUCUUCACAAGGUCGAAAUGGAUCCUUGUUAAUAUCAAGUGAUAUAUUGACCAUUGGGGUAAUCAAAGGAGUUGCUUUAUCCAUUUUAAAGUAUUUUAACACCUUUUUGGUGUAAUUUGAUUGAUGCACAAAUAUUCCGUCUUGGAAAUGCUCAAUCUGGAGCCCUAGACAAAAUUUUGUAUUUUCAAGAUCUUUCAUUUCGAACUCUUCUUUCAUGUGAGUUCUUGCAUCAUCAAUCUCCUUUUGAGUUCCGAUUAUCUUCAGGUCAUCGACAUAUACAGCAAUGAUCACAAAUCGUGAUGAGGAUUUCUUAAUAAACACGCAAGGGCAUAUCGCAUUGUUGAUGUAUCCUUUACUCAACAAGUAUUCACUCAAGCGAUUAUACCACAUGCGUCCGGAUUGUUUUAAUCCGUAAAGUGAUCGCUGUAAUUUGACUAAAUAUAUAUCUUUAGAUGCUUCAGGCAUCUUUGAUCCUUCUGGGAUCUUUACUUCCUCUAGGAUUUUCAUAUAUAUGUCACUAUCAAGUGAUCCAUAUAGAUAUGCAGUCACAACAUCCAUAAGAUACAUAUCUAGAUUUUUAGAUGCCGUUAGGCUCAUUAAGUACCUGAAUGUGAUUGCAUCCAUCACCGGGGAAUAUGUAUCUUCAUAAUCAAUUCCCGGUCUUUGAGAAAAACCUUGUGCCACAAGUCGGGCUUUAUAUCUUGUGAUCUCGUUUUUCUCAUUUUUUUCUCACAAAGACCCAUUUGCACCCGACUGACAUUACAUCUUCUGGUGUAAUGACUAUAGGUCCAAAGACAUUUCUUUUAUUCAGGGAGAUUAAUUUAUUUCUUAUGGUCAUCUGCCAUUUCUUCCAGUCAGGCCUUUUCUGGCAUUCUGACACUGACCUUGGGUCUGGAUCAUCAUUUUUAUUUUUAAUUUCUUUGGAUACCGAAAAAGAAAAUAUUCCAUUUGUAUCAUUUAUUUCACUUCUAGCCCAUAAUGUCUCACUUUGGGCGAAGUUAAUGGAAAUCUCAUACUUUUCAGUAUCAUGUUCGUCUUCUGGACGAACUUUUUUAACGGGUUUUUCUGGAACCUCUUCAUAUAUGUCUUCAUGACAUAUAUCUUUAUAUGGUUCUUCUAUAACCGUUUCACCAAUGUCUUCAAGAUAUUUUUUUUUAUUCGGUUCUUCUGGAACCUUAUCUCCCAAUUUCUUUUUCUUUCGAGGAUUUUUAUCCUUCGAGCCCAUCGGCCUCUCGCGCUUUAAUUGAACCCGCGGUUCAUUUGCUUUAUUCCCAUCAAUAACUUGUUCCGGAACAUUUAUUUUUGAUGGAGCAUUAGCAACAGGGAUAUAUGAUUUUGUCACCCUUCUCGUAUCUCUGAACGCAUCAGGUAACUGAUUUACCAAACUUUGCAAAUAUAUAAUUUUCUGAACUUCUGCCUCGCGUUGACGGGUAGGGGGAUCAAGAUAAGCCAAGGUUUGUGUACACCAUGUGAUAUCCUUUGGUGAUUAUUUUGAUCCUCCUCCCCCCCCCCCAAUGUUGGGAAUUCAUUUUCAUCAAAGUGGCAAUCGGCAAAACGUGCCGUAAACAUAUCUCCAGUUACCGGUUGAAGAUAUCUUAUUAUACUUGGUGACGUAUAGCCGAUAUAUAUUUCCAAUCUCCUUUGUGGCCCUAUUUUUGUUCUUUGCGGUGGGGCUAUUGGGACAUAGACCGCACAUCCAAAAAUACGGAGAUGAGAUACAUUUGGCUCCUUGCCAGAUGUUAACUGUAUUGGGGAAUAUUCAUUAUAUGCACUUGUCAUCAUCUGGACCAAUGCCCCAGCAUGCAAUAUAGCAUGUCUCCAUACAAUAAUUGAGAGUUUUGUUCUCAAUAUUAAUGGUCUUGCAAUCAACUGCAACUGUUUUAUCAAAGACUUAGCCAUGCCAUUUUGUGUAUGAACAUGUGGAACUGGAUGCUCAACAUCGAUUCCCAAUGACAUACAAUAGUCAUUAAAGACCGCUGAAGUGAAUUUACCAGCGUUAUCAAGCCUGACUUUUUUAUGGCAUAAUCAGGGAAUUGCGCUCUCAACCUGGUUAUUUGGGUAGUUAAUCUUGCGAAAGUCAUAUUUCUUGUGGUCAACAGACACACAUGUGACCAUCUACUAGAUGCGUCAAUUAAUACCAUAAAAUAUCUAAAUGACCCGCACGGUGGGUGAAUCGGCCUACAUAUAUCACCAUGUCUUCUCUCUAAGAAUACAAGGGAUUCAUUCCCAACUUUGGCUGGCGAUGACCUAGUUAUGAGUUUUCCUUGAGAACAUGUCUGACAUGAAAACUCUCCCGAUUGAAAAAUUUUCUGGUUUUUCAAUAGGUGGCCACUCGAAUUUUGCACAAUUCUUCUCAUCAUGACUGAUCUAGGAUGGCCAAAUCUUUUAUGUCAUACUCUAAAUGUACUAGUAAACCCUGGGUUUACAGUAACAUAGGAUUCAAUCAUAUUUAUUUUUGUGCAAUAUAACCCAGAGGACAUCAUUGGUAAUUCUUCCAAUACAUGUUUCCUCUCAGAUGUAAUGCAAAGAUAUUCAAUGCCAUUCUUAUUUAUACUUGUUAUAUGAUAUCCAUUUCCUCGGAUAUUUUUAGAACUUAACAAGUUUCUGCUAGAUUUGGGGGAAUAUAAUGCAUCAGUUAUUUCAAACUUUGUCCCCCUUGGCAUUGAAAAGUUAGCUCUUCUAGAGCCUAUUAUAAUAGUUGCAUUACCAGAUAUGGUACUCACGCUUUCGGCGGAGUCCUUUAUUUUGAGACCGGAGAAAUAUUUUUUAUCUUUAAGUAUAGUAUGUGUCGUAGCACUGUCUGCUAGACAUGUAUUUUCAUCCUGAAUCUCAAACGAUGACAUGUUCUGAAUCACAAUAUGCAAGAAAAUACAUUAAAAACCAAAAUAUGAUUUUAGAAAUUAUUUUAUAUUAAGAAAAACUUUUUCUUGUUAACAAAAAUAUAUUACAUUCUUAUUUAAAAUUACAUUGGUUUUUCUUGUUUUCUUCAAGAAGACUUUAUAUUACAUCGAUCUUAAUCGCUUUGUUUCCAUUGAUUCUUCAGGAUCAACAAGGAAAUCAGCGAUAUCAAGAUGAGUAUAAUCACUUAUGCCAUCAAAGGAAGGUCCAGCUUCAUCAGAGAUGAAAUUGGUUUCAAAAUUCUUUCCUUUAUCCUUUUCUUUGGCAUAUUGUGAUGCUCGGUACAGAUCGGCUAAAUGUCUUGGUGUGCGCCAUGUUUUUGCCCAAUGAUUUUUCAUGCCGCAUAUGUAACAACAUCAUUUUGUCUUUCUCGUCCUCGAUCUCGUCCGCGACCGCGGUUAUGGCCUCGACCGCGUCUGCGUCCGCAUUCGGUUCUAUUAUUUUGACUGGAUGAUGCAACAUUCGCUUCUGAGAAUGGCGAUGAUCCAGUUGGACGAGUUUGAUGGUUUAACAUCACGAGCUGAUUAUUUUGUUCAGCUGCAAGGAGGACUUGCAUCAACUCCGAGUAUGUGGUGUAACCUUUUGCCCGAUAUUGUUGUUGCAGGGUUACUUUUCCAGGAUGAAAUUUUUGGAGAGUUUUUUCGAUCAUGUCGAAAUCACUUACCUCCUGUCCACAUAACAUUAUUCUGGAAGUAAUUCCGAACAUAGCGGAAUUAUAUUCACCAACACUUUUGUAAUCCUAGAACCGAAGGUUCAACCACUCAUAUUUGGAUUUCAGUAAGAUCACAUAUUUCUGGUGAUCAAACCUAUCUUUGAGAGAUUGCCAAAGAUCUGCAGGAUCUUCUUUCGUGAUGUAUUCCUCUUUUAAACUAUUAUCGAUGUGGUGGAGCAAAAAUAUCAAGGCUUUUGCCUUUUUUUCAUCUGAUGUCGUUUCCGACUUAUCGAUGGUAUCGAGAAGUCCGUUUUCUCUUAGAUGAAUUUUUGCACCUACUGCCCAUGACAUGUAAUUUUUACCAGACACAUCAAGGACGCGAAUUUUGAGCUUUGCCAAAUUUGACAUGAUAAUUGUAUGUAUAUCAUAAAUUUAGCAGAAAUUCAAUUUAAAUAUUGUUUUUAAAGAAAAACAUGAUAAAAACUUUUGAAUAUGCAUAUAUAACAAAAAUAUAGAGGCAAAACUUUCUAUAUAAUUGAGGAGGCAGAGCCUACCAUAAUUUUAAAGAGGAGGUAUGACCUUCUACUCUACAAAUAUAAAAUUAAGGAGGAGGUUUAGCCUUCCACUCCAUUAAUAUAAUCCGAGGAGACAUAGUCUACCAUAUGAUCAUAUGAUCGUGAAGGCAUAGUAUAUCAUAACGAUUGGUUUGGGGAAGGCAGAGCCUAUCAUCCCGUAAACUUUAAAAUAAAUUGAACAUAAAUUUAAAUUAAUGGUUCGGGGAAGACAGAGUUUAUCAUCCCCAAAUAAUAUAUAAAUUUAGAAUAAAUUAAACAUAAAUUUAAAUCUUACCUCUUUGGUAUAAGAUCGAGAAGCGCUCGUGCUGAUAACGUAAUAUAAACUCUUCUAUAUAUAAGGUAAGAUUUAUAUGUAUUUGUAUAUGUGUAUAUAUUUUAUAUUAGAGAGAAAGAGACGUGAGAAAGAGAAGAGAGGAAGAAGUGAUUUCUUCUUAUCACACCUUCUCAUUAUUAUCAUCCAAGAUGUAUUUAUACAGGAAAGGGGAAGAGUGGUAAGACCAGGUCCAGUAGUGGUUUGUUGGACGGAUUUGGCUCGAGUUCUAAGGCGAAAUGGACUUAAAAAAAAAAGAAAAUAGAUCCAAAUUCGACGGAUCGGUUCAUCCGGAAGAGCUUGAUGAACACGCAUCUCAGACACGUGGCGAAGCGUGAGUGGAGGCAUUUUCGUGUAAUUUUCGGGGAAGGAAAAUUUUUUUUCCUAGACAAUCAUUUCUCCUUCCCGAUUUUUUUUUCUUCACUCUCUUCCUCUCCUACGGCGAUUCUCGUCGCCUCCGUGAAAUCCGUCGAAACCGUCAACUUUUGCUGGUGUAGUGGACAACCGAGGGUCGGGCUUCCGUGAUUAUUGUCGAGGUAAGCGUUUCUUCUCUUCCUUUGCUGGAUUUUAUUCGAUUUAGGGAAAUUAGGGUUUUGGUUUUCAUGAGCAAAAAUUGUCAGUCUUUAAUCGGUGGUUUAGAUUGGGUAAUUAGUGUCGAUUUCGAGUCAUCUCACCUCAUUGAAACCCGAAGACGAUUAGAAGUAAAUUUUUUGGGAGAUUUGAAAGAAAUUUGAAAUCGGUGAAAUUAGGAUUCAUAUGAAAUGGGGAAAAAUUUUGGGGCUUUCAUUUGGGGUUGCAAUUGGGGUGUAAUACAAUGUAAUUCAACCGCUUUUCACUUGCUUUCGAUACGAAUUCAUGUUAUAUUGUUUAUUUGGUGAAUUUUUGUUCGAUGAAAUUAGGGUUUUUUCAAUUUGGGGAAAUAAAUUGGGGCUUUUCUUUGGUGUUCAAAUUGGAGUUUAGUUCUUCCAUAUGUAUUACUCAUGUGUAUGUUACAAUGCAUUAACAAGCUGAUUAUGUGUUGACGAUUAAUGUGAGUCCAUAUGGCCUUGUCGAAGCAGAAUUUCUUUUAUUGGGUUCAUAUGAAUGUUUGUUUAAACGUUUUCUGUUUGAUAUAAAUGCUAUUACAAUCAUGGCUUUGCCUUUAUCGAUGAUUAACUGAAUUGUUGUUGUUGUUUACAUGAUCGGUUUAGUAUAGUAACUUGUUUAGAUUAUUGAUGAUGAACUGAAUUGUUCUUGGUGUUUACAUGAUCGGUUUACUUGACUUUGCCUUUCUUAUUUAGUUAUUUCAUAAUAUCGAUUGUUAUUUGUGUUUACGUUUUCAUACUUUUACUAAAUUGGUUAUAAUUUUUUUUUUUGUGACAGAUAAUGGUAAGCUAUAGCAGCGAAUCAUCUGAGGAGAUCCCGUACUGGACUUAUGCGGAUGGCACAUACGACAUACCAGAGAAGUGCUUCUGCGGGCGGGUUGUGAAGGUGAAAGCAAAUGCAGCCGGUCGCAAGUACUAUGCCUGCCCGGAAUGGAUCAACGAGGUAUGCAUUCUGUCUUCAUGAAGUCUGUAUUGCUUUGUUAAAAGUUCUUUUGGUUUGUGAUGUGUCGUUUAUGUUAUUGCUAAUGGUUUGUCAUGAAUGUAGGCUACAUUGAUCACAUCCACCAAUGCUGGGAUGACGGGGUCACCGAACAGUUGGAGAUCCUCGCGAGCAGGAUAGAGCAGCAGAAGAACCUGAUCCUCAGCUUUGAUCGGAGUAGAAGCAACGUUCUCGAUCCAGCCAUAAGAGAAAUCCGUGAAGAGCUAUCAACGCUUCAGGGAGAAGUCCGUGAAGAGCUAUCAACGCUCAAGGGAGAAGUCAUUCGUUUGAAGGAGCAGCUUAGUACUCAAGGUGAUAGUUUCCUGAUACUGUUUUUCUUUUCUGUUAUCGCAGCUAUUGCCUAUACGUUUAGGGUUUAGAAAUGUCUCAAGUAAUGUAGUUGGUUAGUGUUUAAGUGUAGUUUAGGUCGGCUCAAGUAAUGUAGUUGUCUAAUGGGUCUUUUAUAUUUUGUUUGAGGGUAAUCUUUAAUGGACUCCACAGAAACAUGGUUUAGUUGAAGGCAUAUGGCUCACCGACUAAAGGUUAGUUCUCUUACAACUUGCCUGGUCGUCUUUAAUAUAGUUGGUAAAUGGCUUUAUGAUGUUAGCUUUAGGACUGGUUAUCAAUGCUUGAUAUGACAUUUUAGGGUUAGGUUGUGUGUUAAAUGAUAUCUAAACUUGCUCGAAAAUGUUGACAACUUGUUAGAAAACUUUAAAACCCUGUUUAAAAGACUCUCAACUACUAUCCCUUUAAACGUAAAAGACACUCAGACAUUAAGACACAAUGAUAAGACAGUCAACCAUAAAAUAAAAGACACUCAACCAUAUUUAAAAACUUAAAUAACUAUCUUCUAAUUCAUUCUACUCACUCUCUUCUUUCUACUUCAUUCUUUCUCUUUUUCGUGUAACUUCUUCACUUGUUCGAAUCUUCUCACUAGCUUGUUCAUUCACUCUCUUUUUUCAAACUCCUUCACUAUCUUCUUGCCUGUUCGUCUCUUUUUAAAACUCUUUGACUAUCUUCUUCAUUCCCUAUCUCAACUCCCAACCAUCAACUCUUUCACUCGUUCUAUGGAUUCCCAGAACUCUGUUACACCAUCUGAAGGGUUUGUAAAUCUGUUAUCCAGUCAGUACAACACUGACACAUACUCACCGUGCAUAGACUUAGGAUCAUCAGAAAUGCCUUCGUUUAGUACGCAAGGCACUGAAGAGCCAACUGAGAAUGCAUUGAAGAGGAAAAUAUGGUCGCCGAAAGAAGACUUGGUCCUCAUAAGUGCGUGGCUCAGCACCAGCAAGGACCCGAUAGUCAGGAAUGAACAGCGUUUAGGUUCGUUCUGGAAGCGGAUUCAGUUGUAUUACAACGCAAGCCAAGAUCUUGAGGGACUCCCAAGGAGAGAGUGGACUCAAUGCAAGCAACGGUGGGGAAGGUUAAAUGAUCAGGUUUGCAAAUUUGUGGGCUCAUACGCAGCUGCGCUAAAGGAGAAAUCAUCGGGUCAGAAUGACAACGACGUGAUGAAGCUCGCACAUGAGAUCUUCUUCAAUGACUACGGCAUCAAGUUUGGCCUGGAACAUGCAUGGAGAGAGUUGAGGCACGACCAAAAAUGGUGCACGAGUGGCAAAGCUCCGGAUGGUGCGUCAUCAAAAAGAAGUAAGGUGGAAGACUCGGCUCAGUCUUCAACCUCCAUGCCGGCAAGCGACAAUGACCAUGGGGUCGAGGCUCGUCCGCCUGGAGUCAAGGCUUCUAAGGCCAGUGCGAAAAACUCAGCAAGUGUUAAAGCCGACAACAAGGACAUGAAGGAGUUUUCUUCAAUGUGGGAAAUGAAACAAAGGGAUCGAGAGCUGAAAGAUAAGAUUAGGGACAAGAGGAUACUUGAGAGCCUUUUAGCUAAAACUGAACCAAUUAAUGAGAUUGAAAUGACACUUAAAACCAAGUUAAUUAGGGCUAUGUAUGAUCUUUAGGUUUGACAUAAAGUUAUUUUUUGUAUGCACUUUGUCAUUGUUUUUUGGUUUUGUCAUUGUGUUUUGGUUUUGUCAUUGUGUUUUGGACGUGUCAUUGUGUUUUGGUUUUGUUUGCACUUUGUUUGCUUUAGGUAUGACUAUGUUUGGUUAUCGGUUGUGAACUAUGUUAUGCUUUGGCUAUAUUUCAAUUGCCGACCUUGUUAUUUUGUUUGAAUGUGUGUUGUUUUGAUGUUCCAUUUACUUGUCCGAUUUACAUCCUCAUAUAAUUGUUCUGACCUUCACGUUUUUUUUUGGCAGGUUAUGGCUGACACUUCCGUGACCAUAUGCACCAAAAUUUGAGGGGCCAUAUGCUUUUGUUGUAUUCUCUACUAUCCACAUAUUUUCUGUUGUAAUAUAGACCAUAUGUUUCCCACUAUCUUAUUAUUGCCACUCGUUUUAGCAUCUCCCCUGUAUUUAUAUGCUCUCAAACAUUUGUAUGUUCUCAAACUUGUAGUUGCAAACAUCGCCCUUCCAAUAUUGCUCUAAAAAAACUUCAUUCCUCUUUCCCAUCAAAAUCUUUCAUUAUCAAAACACAUUCCUCUUUACUAAGCACAAAAAAAUUCUACACAUCUCUCUCUCUCUUUUAUUACAAACACUUAAACACCUAAACAUUAUGGCAUCUUCAAGCAAUCGAUUAGAUGAUCCGUAUGAAGAUUCAGUCGAUGAUGCACUAGAUGAUGCAUUUGAUGACAUGUUCGAUCAGAAAUUUGAUGACAUGUUUGAUUCUAUGUUAAAUCAACUUGCACAAAAAAAGCAAAAAAAAAAAAAAGUACAUUGAAAGAGAGCGGGAACAAGGCCACAUCCGAUUAUGGAACGAUUACUUCAGUGAUGAUGCAACCUAUCCUCCACAUACAUUCCGACACCGUUUUCGUAUGAACAAGGAUUUGUUCCUGCGUAUUGUUUACCGCCUAUCCAGUGAAGUUCCAUAUUUUCAACAAAGAAGAAAUCCUACCGGCAGAUUAGGUCUCUCCGCUCUACAAAAAUGUACGGCAGCCAUCCGUAUGAUGGCAUAUGGCACACCAGCUGAUGCAGUUGACGAAUAUCUCCAACUCGGUGCUAGUACGGCCUUGUUAUGUUUGGAAAAUUUCACUGAGGGAAUAAUAUCCUUGUUCGGAGAUGAGUAUCUAAGAAGACCCACACCUGAUG